rnacentral:lncRNA from 1 species
UCGUGCUUUCAUAACGAGAUCCUUGUUUGUUAUCUUUCCAUCAUUGCUCGCAAGAAUGGCCUGGAUGGCAUUACUCAUCGCACCGAAGGAGGUACCCCCCGGUAUGGUUGCAUCUGCUGAUGUCUGGCUGGUUUGGCACCCACUGAUGAGGAUGCCGUUGUUAGGCGCCCAUGACUUUGUCCCGGCAUACGCCUCUUCUUUACUGCCCAUAUCUUGUUCUAUUGCUGGCUUGAAAGUCUCUUCCUCGUUGCCAUCAAGCUUUGCCUUCAGGAACUCGUGAGCUAGGGCACCAACCAUGCCCAUGACACCACCUUGAUCACCUGAUCCACCUUCAUGGAACUUAUUAAGCAUGACUUUCAUGAACUUCUUGAUCUUUGGGCUGGCAUCCUCCCCGAAGACGUUAAACAGAGUCAGCCGGAUUGAGCCCUCUUCAAUGUCAUCCUUCCCAGUUUGCUCCUUCAGCAUCUCAAUAAGUGUUGACAGUGGCAGCGAGCGAUUUUUAGUGAGGCCAUCCCCAGUUGGUUGCUCAUCCUGGUCCUCACCUCCGUGGCGGCUAUGAGACUCAAAUACGUCACGAACGGUUUCUUUGAGGAAGGACCGGAAGCCGCUGCCAGAACUAGAUCGCUCUUCGGGUUCACGAGACUGGGUCUGAUUCUGCCUGGUGCUGUUGCCUAUCUGUUCCUUUGCCUUGUCCAGUAGGCCACCACUGUGGCAUGAGUCAGAGACGAUGGUAAAAAUGCAACCAUCUGGGACCUUCUGCACCAGAUCUCUGAAAUCUUGAUCUGCAGAUCAUAACAAGUUAGGGACUUCUACAGCUGAGAAUCAUUCAUUGGAAGCAGAAUGGUUCAGAAAUGUAUUUAGAAUUAUAGUGCAAGGGGGUAAAAUGCUUACUCUAGCAAAUUUUCAGAAAAUGAACAUCAGUUACAUGGAAAAUAACAGCCAAUUAGCUAGAAAAUAUAGUGAAUAAACAUGCAGAAACAACAGACUGACAUAUGGCCUAAGCACUCGGCUCGCCGGGAGCCUACAUUCCUCAAAUGGUCAAGCAUUGGUCAAAGGCCCUGGCAGUGCUACAACGAAGCAAAUCGGAAACAACACGGCCACUAAGCUGCAAGAUCUUGGGAAUUACUACAACCAGAAUUCUGUGCAAAACAUGCACUAUACAUAGUAAUGUCACUAUGCGAAUGGUAAGCACAUAUAUGCAUCUUUACAACUAAUUGUUAUCCCCUUUCCUAUCCUCAAUAGUUUCAGCAGUUGAACUGCAGCUCCAAGUUAUCCUAGCCGAACCAUUUACGCCAUAUAUUAAGUUCAAACUUCACCAAGAUCAUCUUAAACUUACUGCAAACAAAACAAAUGAAUAAAUGAGCCAAAAAAAUGCCCAUUGAAUUCAUCUAGUAUUUAGGUAGGGCUUAAUCCUGGAUCAGAUCCACAUCACAUCGGCGUUCACCUGCCUCGAUUACUGUACUGGUUUCAGAUCUGAAGGCUGUACUGGUUAACUAAUCCAACCGUUUCUCGAUUACUUCGGUAGAAAGGAGAGAAGCACACAUAUGGGGCAGGUGAUGCUGAUCUUAUCCCCGAUCGCACCUGUGAUGAGAUUCAUGUCGCUGGGCACGAUGCACUCGUCGUACCCGGUGUCGUCGUCCUGCCCGGUCUCGGCCGGCAGCCGCGUGCCGUGGCCGCUGUAGUGGAAGAAGAGGAAGUCCCCGGGGCGCGCGUCCCCGACGAGCUUGGCCAGCGCGUGGCGGAUGUUGGCGCCGGUGGGCUGCGGCCCGGAGGAGCCGCGGUCGAGGAGGACGGUGAUGUCCUCCUCGUCGAAGCCGAACCGGUCGACGAGGCAACGGUGCAUGCGGUCAACGUCGUUGUGGCAGCCCUUGAGCUCGGCCUUGGUGCCGGGGUAGUUGAUGCCCACCAGGAGCGCGAGCUUGCGGCCCAUCGCGGCGAUACGCCGGCUGCGACGUCGGUCGGGUCGGGUGGCCGGAGGGGAGGACGAGGGGGUGGAGUGGGUUGGGUGCGGGUUUCGUCGGUUGCCGGUGGUAGUGGGGGAGAGGUGCGCUGCGCGUAUUGGCGUUUCCGAUCUGACGGGUGGGGACUCGAGGGACGGGAUUGGAGCAGCUGUGCGAGCCUGGAAAGUGAACGAAAACGAUUGGACGGCGUCCGUCCACUCGGCCUGGUCGGCUCGGCAUGACACGUCGGCACAUUUCCUGCUUGCAAAUUUGUGAUGACUCACGGCUCCGAGAAUUUGCUACUACCCAUCUCUCGGAACGGAUUUUUUUUUUAAACAGGCGCAAGCGGCGUACAUCUAUUCUUAUAAAUGUAUAUACUUUAUUCUUAUUUUUAUGAACACCUUCAAACUAAGCUGGCAUACAAUCUUAAGAUUUUAUGAAAUCAUCGUAAACAUCUUGUAGUCGUUGAAAACGUCUUCUCACUAAGAGCAAGUACAAUAGUAUAGUCAGCUGCUGGCUAUAAGUCAUUGACAUGUCAUCUAUAGCCCAUCUUAUAACCAACAUGUACAAUAGUUCAUUGCAAAAGUGUACUACUUCUUUAUUAUAUACUCCACCUUUCAUACUCACAAAAUGCUUAGGAGCACGUGCUAGAGCUGGCUCUUAGCUAAGAGCUCGCUUACCUUCUCUCUCCUCUUCUCUUUCCUCUAACUAAACAAAAAUAUAUUAGUUUAUGGACAUGGAGUAUAUGAGCUCGAGCUCAUAUACUCCCGGAUGAACAGAAAAAUUAAAAAAAAUAGUUAAAAAGGUCGAAAAAAUCUGAAUUUUUGGGACAUGAAACAUUGAUAUUUUUUCUACAUGGGUGCAAAAUUUCAUGGUGAAAUCACAUUUGUAGAGGGGUGGGCAAAAAAAACAAAAUCAAUGCUCAAAAUGAGUGUUUUUUGAAGCAUUUUGGAGCAUCAAUUUUGUUUUUUUUUUCUACACCUCUAGGAAUGUGAUUCCGUUAUGAAUUUUUGCAUGCAUGUAGGAAAAAUAUCAAUAUUUCUCACCACAAAAAUUUAGAAUUUUUUGAAAUGUUUUAUUAUUUUUUCGGAUUUUACUGUUCAUCCGAGAGCAUAUGAGCUCGAGUUCAGAAUAGCACUUCCCUUAGUUUAUUCCUUAUAGCCAGCUGACUCAGCUCUAUUGUACUUGCUCUAAAUAUGCUUUGUUGAAAGUCCUGAAAUGAAUUAAAAAUAAAUACGAGCAUCAGGAGAUGAACUUUGAUACCAUUGUCCUCCUAAUCAUCCAAACAUAGGUUAGUUCAUAAUUUACUCCUCCAAUUUGUAACAAGGAAUUUUGUCAGCGAUGUACUAGUCCUUUUUUUCGAAAAUCUUAUUUGGCUAGCAUUUCUCCUGGGAUUCCUGACGAAUGUCCUCGCAGCCCUCCCUCCGAAUCUAGGGCGGGCUCUAUAUUUUUCGGGGCCCUUGGGCAAAGUUAAAAAAAUGGACCCCUACAAAUAAUAUAUGUAUGCAUCUAUAGAUAUAUAGCGCAAAAUAUUAAAGUUUACAUCCGACCACAUUGUUAUUUAGAGACGAAUAUAAAAAAGAGUAGCAAAAUUUAAGAAAUAAUAUUCCCUGCUAGUUUAGUUACCUCAAAUAAGAAUGAAGUUCAUAUGAGUUCAUGGACAAUAAUACUUCAGUGCUUCACAAAAAAUCUUCUUCCGGCAUUUCUAGAUGCAAAAUCGUUGAUGAGAGUAUCAAGAUCAAUUUUGUCUAAGACAUCCUUCUCAAUACAACACAUAGCCAAGCCAUUCAAUCUGUCUUGUAACAUAGUUGACCUCAAACAAUUUUUCAGCAGUUUUAAUUUAGAGAAACUUCUUUCAGCUGAGGCUACGGUCACUGGUAUAGUUAAGAGGAUCCGAUAGGCAACUGACACAUUUGGAUAACAGUCUACAGCUGUAACAAAUUGAAGGAUCUACGGUCACCGGUAUAGUUAAGAGGAUCCGAUAGGCAACUCAUAGUUACUUACUUACUUCUACAAAAAAAAUUGACGCUAUUUAAUUACUUACUAUCCUCCAAGGAAUGUUUGUUGACUUCAGAAUUGUCAUUUUAAUUAAGAUCAUCAUCUUGUUCGGGUUCAAAUUCUUGCCUUUGAUUAUCAACACUAGUUACCACCGGAAAAAACCUAUUUAGAGCACCUUUUUGUGAUUCAAUGAGUUGAUUCUCUCGCUUUUUUGUUUCCUUCUCUCAGAACCGGACUUCUGUUUCGGCGGCAUUGGAACACCUAAGGUUACAAUUUUCAAAGAAUUAUCAGCUCAACUGAUCAAAAUAAUUAGGGCACUAGGCCAAUAUCACAUGAUAAAUCAUACCUUUAUGUUGAAACCGUGAGUAAAGCAGAGGAGGGCGAAUAGGCUAUCCGAGGGCAAGGAUCCGGCCUGGGUGAUCUUGUAGCGCCCACGAUGCGAUCCUAUCCUUAUUUUGGCAUGAGGGCCUCGACAGGGAUAAAAAUGCAUCUCGUCGUUUCGCAAGAAUGAAUAUCGUUACAAGUACAUGUAUUGAAAACAUGAGUAUAAGGAGUUGACUUACACUCGCCACAAGCUACAUCAGUGUCACAUCAGUACAAUACAUAUAAUCAUCAUGAAGAAGACCAGUGUCCGACUACGGACGAAAACAAACGAUAAAAUAACGACGUCCAUCCUUGCUAUCCCAGGCUGCCGCCCUAGAACCCAUCCUAGAUCAAUGAAGAGGAAGAAGAAAAAACUCCAAAUAGCACAAUCAUCGCGCUCACGUCUUACUAUCACCUUACCUGUACCUGCAACUGGUGUUGUAGUAAUAUGUGAGCCACAGGGGACUCGGCAAUCGCAUUUCCAAAGGUAUCAAGACUAGCAAAGCUUAAUGGGUGAGGUAAGGUUAAGUGGUGAUGGUACAGCAAAUGACUAAGCAUUUAUUUAGUGACUAACUUAGGAGUACAAGAAUCAAGAGGGGGAUGAUCUACGCAUAGAGGACGUGAACUAAUAAUGAUCAAAUAAAUGAUCUUAAAUACCUACUUACGUUAGACAUAACCCCACCGUGUCCUCGGUCGGAGAAGGAGCUCACGAAAUGGACAGUCACGGUUACGCACUCAGUUCUCAAGUUUUAAUUAAGCUUACUUCAAGUCGUCUAGAAUCGGAUGUUAAACAAAGUUUCCACGUUGCCACAUAACCGCGGGCACGACUUUCCGAAAGAUUUAACCAUGCAGGGGUGCUCCAACUGAUCCAUCACAAAUUACCAUAAGCCGCAUAGAAAUCCUCGAUCACGAAACUCGCGAUCUUGUCGGACUCCUUAGUGGAAAACCUCAACUCUGAGAUUACCCAAAGCAUCACCGGAAUCCCGAUGCACAAGAUAUUUCGUAAAAGGUAAAACUAAUCCAGCAAGGCCGCCCGACGUGUCGACGAUCCCGAUAGGAGCCGCGUAUCUCGUUCUCAGGACACGACGGAUGAGCUAGAUGUCGGGUUGGCUAAACCCUGGGUGACCAGGGGGCGCCGGGCAUCACUCAGGUUGGACCAACACGCAUGAGGAGCACUGGCCCGGAGUUGAUUAAUUACUCCGCGGGUCCCUAUGCAUUUUUAUUAGAUUAUUAGGCAAAUUUAGUACCAAAGUUGGGCCUUGCGAGACUAGUCUUAAUCUAAAACGAAUUAUCAAGGGGGUCCCCAUAACAACCCCAAUCGUGUUAGGAGCGCUCAAUUAUGGAAUAUAACACCGGUAGCCAAAACUAAGGCGACAAAGGUGGAACAAAACACCAGGCUAGAAAGGCCGAGCCUUCCACCUUUUACCAAGUAUAUAGGUGCAUUAAAUUAACUAGCAUUAAUAUGGUGAUAUAACGAGGGACCCAUGUUAUCACAUGGAAGCAACUGCAACUGCAACUAACAACGCUAACACAUGGUUAAGCAAGCGGUAACAUAGCCAAUCAAUGGUUUGCUAGGUUGAACAAGUUGAAGGUUUCAUGGCAAUGUUGGGAGGUUGAUAUUUAACACGUGGUAGGCAGCGAGACAUAACGAUGGCAACGAAACACUAGCAUGGCAAUGAUAGUAAUGAUAUCUGGGGAAAUGAUCAUCUUGCCUGAAAUCCUGCUUGGAAGAAGAACGACUCCGUGAAGCAGACAAACCGAAGUAGUCGUACGGAUCCUCACUUUCCGACACGCUUGUGAAACUCUAUCGGGACGAAGCAAACCGGAAACAAGAAUCAACACACGAUAUACACCACACGAUGUCACAACACAUAUGAUGCAUGAACGGUAUCAAUUAUACAGGGUAUGGCAUGGCAAAUCACCACAAUCAAACAAUACACAUUAAGUGAAGUUCAAUCUUGAUUAGGUAUCCACAUUAUGCAAUAAUCAAACACUACACAUUAUGUUGCAUAUUGACGAAACUCCACAUACGAAUUAUUUAGUUCUAUCCUUAUUAGAUACACGACAAUAUUAAAUGUUGGUUAAACAUGGCAAGAGGUGAAGCAUAAGUAAGCUACCUAUCUAGGCAUUUUAAAUGAGGUUGGAAACGACUUAUAGCAUCUCUGAACUGACCCCAUGUGUUACUUUCUAAAUCUGUCCAUAUUUGUCCUAAUCACAUUUUAUGCUUGUUAAAUGGCAGAACAAAGGGAUUCACGUGAUUCUACACGUCGUUCUAGUCCAUUUACAUAUAUGGAACAUCUCCAACGGAGCUACGGUUGAAAAGAUACGAACACUGCAAGAUAUGAUGCCAUGAAUGCAAUGUGUAUGCAGAUGACAGUCACAAGCACUCCAAAACAUACAAGCAACAAGAUAUUAUGAAACUACACGAGAUUCUAAGCAAGUUUCAUAUAUGACACGUUCAAAACGGAGCAACGGUUCAACAAAUACAAGCUACACAAGAAAUAUGUACAAUCUGCCCAAAACAACAACAAGACAUUUUCUACACCCCAAAACAACAAGGUACAUAUUUCUAUAAUGCUCAAACAAGACAUGAGGCGAUAGUGGUCAAGAUGCACAACAACACGCUACUAAGUGCAACUAGCAUGGAAGCAUGGAACAAUUGGAGAAGAACUCACAAAAUGGUAUCUCGCACACAAUUUCAGACUUAGAGAAAUAACAGUUUUGACACUGUAGUUUUCAACCAGAAGGCAUAUUGACAGAAGUAAAACUAUAUGUUACAGGGCACCGAAUGACAUGAAAAUUUAUAGCAUGCUAGAGAAUCUUAAGGACUACAAAUAACUCCAUUGCACCAAUCCCAAAGGAGAUGUAGAUAACUAGCAAAACUCAUGACAAGACAACAACAAAAUAUAACAGAUCUCGGACUUAGAAAUAUUUCAGCAUCUUUAAAUUAUCACUAUUUUCUAGCAUGUUGGCAACAAGCAAACAGAACCUAAACAAGAAUUUCUAUCGUAACCAAAAUUACCACGGACUAGCAUCCACAUCCAAGGGCAUAUCUCUAGUUCAAAACUAACUCAUAUUAUGCACGGAAUAAAUCACACAAAAUACACAAGAGGGCAAUAUGGCAAUAUAUCAUGCACGCAAACUUACCCGAAGGCAAAACUAAAUGCACAGUUAAACUAUAUGGAUUGAUCUAUCCCGAAAACAUAUAUAAUAUGUGGGGUUGCAAAAUAAAACUAACGCCACACAUAUAUGCGAGAAUAUGGCCUAAACAUGACAUAGCAAACUACUGACAACUCCUACAUGCAAAAAUGCAAGAACUUACUGUAAAAUACAUGGCAAAGGGUCCCGAACAACGUGAACAUUUUAUCUACGGGAUUUGAACAAUCCAGACACGCUUAAUAAUAACUACGGGAUAUUAACCUAUUAGCACAUAACGCAAAUCUAGGCAAAUGGCGGUUCAAACUACUUCAAACAUGCAUGCAAGUUGCAAAAUAAUGUUCUACGUGGAAAACUACACGAGUUACAUAUAUCAUUCGUCACGAUCCAACACACGAGUAAAAAGUUAUAGCCGUUUUAAAAUAUACCCUAUUCCCCAAAAAUAAUAAAUCGAAACCCUAAAAAAAUAGCUAACGAGCUGAAAACUUCUAUGGGCCGAAACAGAGCACGGACGCUACUUAGCAAUCCUACGCGCGGGCGUCGAAUAGGGGAAAAGGGGGGGGGUGCUCACCCUGGGCUUGGGCCGGCUGAAGAGGAGGCUGGCAGGUCGGUGGCUGGUUGGGCCUGGAGGCGGAGCGGGCCAGUCGCGGUGGUUGGCGGCCCACGCGGGAUGGGGCGCUGCCUAAGCAAGAGAGCGACUCGCUCGCUCUCUCCCGAUCCCGCUCGGGACGAAGAGGAGGCGGCGGCGCGGCUAGCAGUUCGCGACGGAGCGGGGCAAACUACCGGCGGCGAGGGCGGCCGAGGAGGGUGGCCGGAGCCAGGCGGAUGUGGCGGCGCAGCUUGGCCGGAGGGCACGACACGCAGCGGCUGGCAGGGUAAGAGGUGGCGACGGCGCCGGAGCCCUUGAAAGGAGCUCGGCUCGGGGCAACGAGGGCUGCCGGCGAGCGGCGGCGGCGGGAGCCACCAGUGGUUGGGGGCGGAGGCCGGUGGCGCAAGGCGCGGGGAGGCAGGGGCCGGCGGCAGGGUGGCGGUGGUGACCGGGGAGCUGGCGGCACGCUAGGGGAGGCAGGGAGGCGCUGGCUCGCUCGGGUGUAGGCGCGACGAUGGGCUGCCCCGGGCCCCGAUCUGGGCUGGGAGGGCCGCGUGAAGAACGAGAUAGGGAAGGAGGCGGUGGGGAGCUGGUUGGCUGGGUGCGGAUCCCGAGGUGGCUAGGGUUAGGCCAUAUUAGGAAGGGCUAGCAUUCCUUUUUAAGCAAGAGGGGCUAGGUUUAGGGAUACACGCUGUUUUCGGGCCAUUCGAUCGAUAUCGGAUGGUCCGAUAGCGGAGGGGGCUAUCUAGGCGGUUGUUGGGCUGUGUAGAGGGGGUGUAGGCUGAGACGAGAGGGAAAAUGGGCAACCCGGUGACAGAGUUUAAAACAACAAAAAACGUCCGACGACAACCAAAGACGGUGCCACUACGGUCGACCGUUCGUGUACCAAACGGACUCCGAUUGCGACGAAAUUUGGCAGACGGCCUACCUAUAUUAAAAUAAGACCGCAUGUCAAGUUUCAACCCAAUGCAAGAAUAUUUUUAACACAAUUUAGAAAAACAAGAUUUUUGAAGUGCCGUAGGCGCGUGCAUGUGUGGUUGGUCUCAAAACGGGCCACGCCGAGAAUAGAGAGAACCGUCAACUAACAGCGGAUGCAAGUUUUGAAAACUGGGGGCAACAGAGUGCCGAUGCAAUGCGAAUGAUGCGAAUUAUGCAAUGAUGAAUGCGGCAAACAAAAUAAUAACACGGCGACAACGGAAAAGAGGGGAAUCUUCUGAAGCGUCGGUCUCAGGCUGUCACAGAUCUGUCGAUCUCCACUGCAGUCUUUGGGCGCGGCGCAUAGGCACAGGGGGUUCAAGGGCGGCGAAGGCAGGAGGCCGAGGAGUCGAGAGAAACAGGCGUAAGGCGUUUCUCCCUUUCUGGCCUAUGGGCGGCUGGACGAUUGAUUGAUCGAUCGAUUGUGUAGGUACAUGUAGCACGUACAAGUCUCCCGAUCAGGAUCAUGACUUGGUCUUUAAGCUUCAGGCCUUUAGCUUAUCUUUUUUUCCAGCCCAUAUAGCAGCACGUAUACUUAUACACAUGUAAUGAUGCCCCCCCAAACAUGGGCCCUUGGGCGUCGCCUAUGUUCGACUAGGGCCAGAGCCGGCCCUGUCCGGAUCUAAGGGUGGUUGUUUUUUUAGGAUAAAUACUAUAAAAUGUGAAAAAAUGCCAUUUGUAUUUUCAUGUGCCAUCCUAGUUGAUGACCGUUCGCGAGGUAGCGGGAUCCUUUUUCUUUUAGAUACUACUUCAUCCAUUCUCUUAUAUCAGGUGUAUUUAUUUUUUAAUAAAAAUUUAGAAUAUGAGAUGCAUCUGUUCUACUUUCUCAUAAUUUCAAUCUUGACCCUCCACAAAAAGGAAAGCAUCUCUCCGCUGACUUCAUACAUCUCUCCUUGUAGAUAAAAAAAAGGAAUAGAUGGCUAUGUUCCAAAUAAAGAGCAUCUACACCCGGACCACUCAAAUGACCCUUCAUAUGCUUGCGGUCCCGCCAGAUGAGUAACCACACAUGAGAGAGAAGGAAAAAGUGACCCAACUGAACCCCUCGUAUCGUUCCUAUAUGUCCGGGCUGCCCGCGAACACUCAUAUCCAUCUCAAAUAUGGAAAGGAUACAAGGGCAUCCAGACGCGCAGAGGCACGCCCGGUCAAUCCGUCACAUAGGACGCGAUCCCACCUCCGACCACCUUUUCUUUUCUUUAUCCAUUCUUUUUUAUUUUAUUCUUCUCCACCAAUCACAUGCAAAUGACCGGACAUAUGAGGAAAAAAUGAAGAGUGUAGCUAUGCGCACGAACAAAUAGCUAACCGGACGUAUUUGUGUGCAUUUAAGGGUCAUAUUUGCAAUGUUGGGCUGUAGAUGCUUUAAUUGUACCAAUCAUAUUGCAAAGCGUCGAAUACAUGGAGAUGAUAAUUUAUUUCUGCAAUCUUUAUGAGUGCACCCUCUUCAGGGGGUUAUGAAAGGUGAGACGCGGAGCAAGAAGUAAAUCACGCUAAAAUAUGCUCAUUGAAUGUGCUCUUCUCUUUAUAUAAGCUAAGAGUAUAUGUAGCUAGAAUUUGCAAAUCUAAAUCCUCAAACGUUUGCACAUACACAUAGUUAGUGACCGGGUGUGUCCGUUUAAGACCUUACUUUUUUCAUAUUAUUUUUUAUAUGUCCAGUCACUUGCAUGUAAUUGAUGGAGAAGAAGAGAGAAAAAGAAAAGAAUGAAUUAAGAAAAAGAAGGUGCUCCGAGGUGGGGUUGUAUCCUACGUGGCAGACUGACCAGGCAUCCCCGGGCGCGUUCAAGAACCCUCAUAUCGUUCUAAUAUUUGAGAUGGAUAUGAGAGGUACGAGUUAGUCCGAGCGUUUGAGCUGGAUAUGACACGACCGGUUGGAUCACGUUUUCAUGACCGGUCACUCACGGGACGGUCUAUCUGGGCAUUUGAGACGGAUAUGAGGGUUCGGAUUCUAUAUACUCUAAGAGCAUCUACAGUCGCGACUUGCAUAUCCGCCCCCUCAAACGCCCNNNNNNNNNNNNNNNNNNNNNNNNNNNNNNNNNNNNNNNNNNNNNNNNNNNNNNNNNNNNNNNNNNNNNNNNNNNNNNNNNNNNNNNNNNNNNNNNNNNNCUAAGCAUGAGAUGAAACCAACAUGUGGUAGAGGGGGUCACCCUUAACUACCACAACCAAGAAACAAACUCUUGGGCACCCCACAUCUCAUGGAACCAAGCUCUAAACAUAGAACAAAACUGAAAUAAGUCAUCUCCAGAAAGUGUUCCAAUGGCAAAGUUGACUUCACCAAUGGAUUCCUGGGAUGAUUCUACCCCCCAAAAACAUAUAUAAUAACUAUGCACUUGCAUAGAACAAAUGGGCACAAACUAGAAAAGAAAAACUACAUGGAAUCAUAUCUAUUGAAUAGUGCACCAUCACAUGUGCUAUUCACUAGAACAACACCCACAUAAGCAUAACCACACUCUCAACAUUACCUAGGUGCACAUGAGGGGUAGACCUCAUGCUCAUGUGCCUUAGCACACCACCACACGCCACACACAUCAUGCACAUCCAUAUAAUCACCUACACUUGCUAGAAUCACCACCACUAGCUUCAGACACCUCAUGCACUCUGCUCCUACACACACAAGUUGGAACAUGUGCACAUCCAAGGCUCACCAAGCCUUGGGCAUGUGUAGGUCACCACACACUCACAUCACCCCAUGGGCAUGAGUCCAUCACCAUGCAAAUGGACACACACACACACACAUCAUGACAAUCACUUGCACUACAAGGAAACAUCACCUUAGUGCCAUACACCCACAAGGUGCACACACACACAUCAUCUACACAUGAUACAUGCAAAACCAUCUAUUCAUGCAUAGCUACCAAGGACAAUCCUACACACAUGCACACAAUACCAAGUAAACCUACACAAGCUACACAAGCCUACACCAACAUAUAUUCACAAACUAGCAAAAUAAGAUACACAACGAUAGAUGGAACUCAACUAGCCUUACAUAACCUGACUCGCAUGCACCUGCAGCCACUGUUGCAAGCAACAAAAUUACACAACAAAAGAGGAAACGGGAAAAAAUAAGGGCUUGGGGGGGUUCGAACCCAAGCCCCUCUGAACCUAUCCUGCUGCUCUUGCCACCCUGCGUGUUUUCACUGCAUUCAACAGAGAAGGGAGGCUAACAGAGAUAUCUCCUCUGCUUCAGCUAGGCUACUCACGAAACAGAAAAAUAAACAAAAGGGGGGGGGUGCACUAACUGGGAUUUGAACCUGCACCUGACGGAACACACACAACAGGCACGCGCUGCUAACCACUAGGACUCUCUUCGGGACUUGAUAGAACAUAGGGGGGGUAUGGUAGGUAUACUCACAUGCCACUCUGCUCUGCCCACAGCUAGACGCCGGCGACAGGGAGGCUGCCGGGGCUAACUGUUACUGCUGCUGCGCCACGAAGGGGGGAUAAACCACUGCUACGAUGCUGCUGCUGCGAGGGAAGGCCCAUGCCCUGCGUUGCUGCGCACGGGCACGCACCCAAGCAAAACCCAUGCACACGUCAUCUACUUCUGCUCGGGACAGGAACGCACACACAUCACAUCACCGGAUCUAUUCGUGGGAGAAGGGAGGAGGAGGCCGGCUCACCUCGGGAAGGAAGAGAGGGCGCCGAUCGAGCGGGAAGAAGCCGGAGAAGUUGCCCUGACGAUGACCUAUGACGCUCUACUGCAGAACCGAGGGAGAGGACGGAGAUCACCGGGACCGAGCUGAUGGCGAGCUCCUGCACGUCGGUGAGGUCGCUCCUCGACCUCAGCGACGGCCAGAAUGGAGCGCGGGGAGCAUCCCCGAGCCCCUGGACAUGGCGGCGGCGGACGCCGACGAGAGUGGGGUAGACGCCGGCGAGUUGCUGCUCUCUCUCUAUGCUGCAAACUACGGAGACUCACCUAGGGAAGGAAGAAGAGAGAUGGGGAAGGAGGAAGAAGUGGCGGCGGCGGAUGGGAGAGGAGGAACCCUAGAAGAGGGGAGGCACGGACGCCCACGUUAUAUGGGGACCUCGACGUCCGAGCCCUCAUGGCGCUUGCUCUCUCUCUCUCUCUCGGCAAGUCUGACGGAAAGGUGGCGCGUGGUGCAGACGGCGUCUGAAGGAGGAAGGCGAUCGUGGGUGCUAGGCUACCACGCGGGGGAAUGGGAAUAUGGGCCGCCAAGAGGGAGAGAGCCCACCAGUGGCGCAACUUAGAUAGGAAAAACCCUGGGCUGCCUUUGUUUAAGAAAAUAACCCAGAGAAAGAAAUAAAAGCAAAGGUUAAACCUACAAGGCUAAAAAUAAAACAAAGGCACCCCUGGACAUAAGGAAUUAUGCCCCAUUUAAGAAAAAUAGAAAAGGGGUAUUUGGGGCAUUUAAAUAUUUUCAACACAGCAUUUAUAUUGGCUGUUUUGGAAAUAUUUGCACCUCUUGCCCACCUAUUCAAAACAGCUAUUACACUUCUCAAAUCCAACACAACACAAAGCUAACUCAUGGACAUUUUUAAAACAGAGAUGAGGCAAAAAUUAAUUGGCUUAGGGCAAACUAGAGAAGGGGAAGUUUUAUAUCAUAAAGCUACCACAUAGAGCUACAAGAAAAUGCAUCACACUACUUGUCAACACACUUCCACAUCACAUCACAUAGGCAAGGUUCCAAAAAGGGAAGGUUGCACACUUGGGGCAUUACACGACACUACUAGCAACCUUACAAGUACCAAUCGGAGUCGCGAGACGGAGAUUAGUUACAAGUGAUGAACUAGGGUUUGGAGAUGAGAUGGUGUUGAUGAAGAUGUUGAUAGUGACGAGUCCCCUCCGAUGAGAGGAGUGUUGGUGCUGACGAUGGCGACGAUUUCCCCCUCCGAGAGGGAAGUUUCCCCGGCAGGAUCGUCCUACCGGAGCUCUAGAUUGGUUAUGCUCAAGUUCCGCCUCGUGGCGGCGGCGAAUCCACGAAAAAGCUCCUCCUUGUUUUUUUCCUGGACGAAACGCUUCAGAUAGCAAAAGAGGGGGGCCAGUGGGCCAGCAGGUUGCCCACAAGCCCUCAUGGCGCGGCCUGGGGGGUGGCCGUGUCGUGCAGGCUUGUGGCCAACCCCUGGCGCCCCUCUGGCACUUCCUCGGCCCAAUAUUUUUGAUAAAUCCGGAAAAAAAUCCUCGUUGAUUUUUAUGGCGUUUGGAGUUGCGCAGAAUAGGUAUCUCAACUUUGCUCCACUUUCACGCGAGAAUUCCAGUUGCCGGCAUUCUCCCUCUUCAUGUAAACCUUGCAAAAUAAGAGAAAAAGGCAUGAGAAUUGUACCGUGAAGUGAAAUAACAGCCAAAGAAGAGAUAAAUAUUAACAUGAAAACAUGAUGCAAAAUGGACGUAUCAACUCCCCCAAGCUAGAACUCGCUUGUCCUCAAGCGAAUGCCUAGCUCAAUAAAUAUGUCCACAUGUUUAGGGAGAAAGGUGUCGACAAAACAAGAUACGAACAUGCAUGCAUCAUGAUCAUGAUCAGAACAGCAAUACCAACAUAUAAUCUCUCAUGCUAAAGUGAGAAUUCCUUCACAAAGUAAAGCAUGGAUCACAAACCUUACCGAGAAGUAACAACCGAUAGCCUGUAGUCAUUAAAGCAAUUGCAAUUUAUCACAACAUCAGAAAGAGUCAAAUAAGAGCUUGUAAAGCAAAUCCACAUACUCAAUCAUUCUUUCGUUCUCUACAAUUGCUACAACUCACGUAGUACUCAUGAGAUCAAAGUUUCAACUGGACACAGAGAAAGAUAGGGGCUUACAGUUUUGCCUCCCAACUACUUACCUCAAGGGUAAUGUCAACAAUAAUAAUUCAUGAAUACUUACCUCCAAGUUGACAUAUGAAUAUAGAUCUUUCCCAAGCAUAUGACGUUAGCCAAGAUAAAGGCGAAAUAAGGAAUUGGUGAAGAUCACCAUGACUCUUUCAAGGGCAAAAAGUAAAGGUACAAUAUAGGCCCUUCGCAGAGGGAAGCAGAGGUUGUCAUGUGCUUUUGAGGUUUGGUUGCGUGUCCUCUUAGUGCGGAGGAACGUCACUUUAUAUUGCCUCCUGUGAUAAAGAACUUUAUUAUGCAGUCUGUCGCUUUUAUGUCUUCUUUAUCACAGGUUCGUACAAAGCUUAUUUUCCACACACUAAUAGAUCAUACAUAUUAGAGAGAAAUUUUUAUUGCUUGCACCGAUGACAACUUACUUGAGGGAUCUUAUUCAAUCCAUAGGUACGCAUGGUGGACACUCAUGGCAAAACUGGUUUGAAGGUUUAUGGAUGCACAAGUAGUAUCUCUACUUGGUGCGGGAGGUUUUGGCUAAUAUGAGGUGGAAGCAAUCGUCACAUGCUAAGGGAUCUCUAAUCAUAUAACAUUGUUCGGAGCCAAGCAAACACAAUUCAUUAUGUUGUCUUCCUUGUCCAACAUCUACUUCUAGGCAUGUAAUAGUUUAGUGAGUGUUCACAAUCAUAGAUGGUGUCAGAGAUGAUAUAUUUAUAUGUUAACCUCUCCUUCUUUAUUACUUCCUAUUAAUUGCAACCAUGACCAAGGUCUACAUUUGUCUACCCUCAACAAGUUUCAAUCAUCAUUCUUUUUACAUGUGAAGCCAUCACUUCCCAUAAGAUCAUUACAUGAUCUUUCAUGCUUUUGUUCUAUUCUCACUCUUUUGAUCAUGGCAAGAGGCAAAGCCCUUCAACUAAGACACUCUUUAUUAUAUGGCUCACGAGCUCGAAUACAUCGGGGGUGACACAAAGCAAAACUCAACACUAAAACACUAAGACUUUUAAUCUACUAGAGAAAGAGAAAACUGAAAAGGAAAACUAGAACAAAGGUAAAGGCAAAAGAUGUGAUGGUGAUACGAUACCAGGGCAACUCCCCCAAGCUUGGCACAAGCCAAGGGGAUUGCCCAUACCCAUGUUUAGUUGUCUUCCUUUGGUGGUGAUGGUGGUGGAAUUGUUGCAAACUUUGACUCCAAGGGGGCCAUUAAUCUUUGAUUUAUACCUUGGAGAUCUGCGAUAUGUUUUUCCAGCAAAACAACUUCACGAGUGAGACAAGUAUUGCGACCACGAGUUGUUUCACAAAACCUCAAGAGUUCAAUCAAAGAUGGAGACAGUAGGUGGAGGUAGGGUUGGAGGAAAUCCACUUCUUCAACUUCUUCCUUGUUGAGCACAGAUUGCAGUUCGUCCCAUGCCUGAUCCUUCUCCUUAGCUUUGCCCUUGGUUUCUUUAGGUAGCCUUUCCUUAGCCUCCAUGACCUCCAUCCUUUUCAGAUCAGCAUGAACUUCUCCAUAGAUUUGAGGGAGGUUGUUCUCCCCUACAGAUUCCUGGGAUGACAUCUUGACCUAGAUCUGCGGCAGAAAAUAGGCUCGAAACGAAAAACAGAGGAAAUCAGCGUGAUGCAGGGGUCAGACCAAACAGAAGUAUAUAUAAUGAUUUUUUUCAGACCAGAAGGAGUACCCUGCACGAAAACGGAGUCCAGGAGGCGCACGAGGUGGCCACAAGCCCUCACGGUGCGGCCAGGGGGUGGGCCCGCGCCGUGCAGGCUUGUCACCUCCUCGCGCACUUUCCGGACUACUUCCAAUUUUUGUGUUUUUUCAAAUAUUCCAAAACGGAGAAAAAUUCCUACUGGAAAAGUUUUGGACUCUGUUUUCUUACCGAAUCACAUACCUCUUCCUUUUCGGACUCUGAAACAAGCUGAUAAAUGUCCCUUAGGUAUUCUUCCAGAGUUAUGGUAUUGAUGAUAUUGCUUUCAACAUUUAUGGGAGUACCUCAGAUAUAAUGCUUGAUUCUCUGCCCAUUUACCACUCUCAGACAAUUACCUUCCGUGUUGUUGAUCUUGAUAGCACCGGAACGAUAUACUUCCUCAACAACAUAGGGACCUUCCCAUUUAGAGAGAAGCUUGCCUGCAAAGAAUCUUAAAGGAGAGUUAUAUAGCAAGACAUAAUCACCUACGUUGGACUCACGCUUUUGUAUCCUCUUAUCAUGCCACCUCUUAACCUUCUCUUUGAACAGCUUGGCAUUCUCAUAUGCCUGAGUUCUCCACUCAUCAAGCGAGCUAAUAUCAAAUAACCUCUUCUCACCGGCAUGUUUGAAAUCAAAGUUGAGCUCUUUGAUUGCCCAAUAAGCUUUAUGCUCUAGCUCAAGAGGUAAAUGACCUGCUUUACCGUACACCAUUUUGUACGAAGACAUGCCCAUGGGAUUCUUAUAGGCAGUUCUAUAAGCCCACAGUGCAUCAUCAAGCUUUUUAGACCAAUUCUUUCUAGACCUGUUGACAGUUUUUUGCAGAAUCAGUUUGAUCUCUCUAUUACUUAGCUCUACUUGACCACUGGACUGAGGGUGAUAGGGAGACGCAAUUCUAUGGUUGACAUCGUACUUAGCAAGAAUUUUACGGAAAGCACCAUGAAUGAAGUGUGAACCACCGUCGGUCAUUAGAUAUCUAGGGACUCCAAAUCUAGGGAAGAUAACUUCUUUCAGCAUCCUGAUAGAGGUGUUGUGAUCAGCACUACUAGUGGGGAUAGCUUCUACCCACUUAGUGAUGUAAUCAACAGCAACUAAGAUGUGAGUAUACCCACUGGAUUUUGGAAAAGGUCCCAUAUAAUCAAAGCCCCAGACAUCAAAUGGUUCAAUGACAAGUGAAUAGUUCAUAGGCAUUUCCUGACGUUUGCUAAUAUUACCUAUUCUUUGACAUUCGUCACAAGACAAGACAAACUUACGGGCAUCCUUGAAGAGAGUGGGCCAAUCGAAACCUGAUUGCAAUAACUUGUGUGCAGUUCUAUCUCCCGCGUGGUGUCCUCCAUAGGCCUCGGAGUGACACUUCUGUAGGAUCUGUCCCUGUUCAUGUUCAGGUACACAACGUCUAAUAACACCAUUUACUCCUUCCUUAUAAAGGUGAGGAUCAUCCCAGAAGUAAUGUCUCAAGUCAAAGAAGAAUUUCUUCUUUUGCUGGUACGUGAAACUAGGUGGUAUAUAUUUGGCAACGAUAUAGUUUGCAUAAUCAGCAUACCACGGUGCACUACGUGAAGCAUUGAUGACACUCAAUUGCUCAUCGGGAAAGCUAUCAUCAAUAGGUUGUGGGUCAUCAAGAAUGUUCUCCAACCUAGACAAGUUAUCUGCUACUGGGUUAUCAGCACCCUUUCUGUCGACAACGUGCAAAUCAAAUUCUUGUAGCAAGAAAACCCAUCUGAUAAGUCUAGGUUUAGCGUCUUUCUUCUCCAUGAGGUACUUAAUAGUAGCAUGAUCAGUGUGAAUAGUGACUUUGGAAUCAACUAUGUAAGACCUGAACUUUUCACAUGCAAACACGACUGCUAAAAAUUCCUUCUCCAUAGUGGCAUAGUUUCUUUGGGCACUUACUAGAGUUUUACUAGCGUAGUGAAUAACAUUCAACUUCUUAUCAACUCUUUGCCCUAGAACAGCAGCAACAGCAUAAUCACUAGCGUCACACAUGAUCUCAAAAGGUACGUUCCAAUCAGGUGGUUGAAUAAUAGGUGCAGUUAUCAAAGCCCUCUUAAGUAUUUCGAAGGCUUCCUCACAAUCAUCGUCAAAGACAAAAGGAAUAUCCUUUUGCAAGAGAUUGGUAAGAGGCCUAGAAAUCUUAGAGAAGUCUAUAAUGAACCUUCUAUAGAAACCAGCAUGACCAAGGAAACUUCUUAUCCCUUUAAUAUCUGUGGGGUAUGGCAUUUUCUCGAUUGCAUCAACCUUAGCCUUAUCGACUUCAAUACCUCUUUCAGAAAUUUUAUGUCCUAAGACAAUGCCUUCAUUAACCAUAAAGUGGCACUUCUCCCAAUUCAAGACAAGAUUGUUGUCUGCACAUCUCUACAAGACUCGAUCAAGGUUGCUAAGGCAAUCAUCAAAGGAAGACCCGUAACCAGAAAAUUCAUCCAUGAAAACCUCGACAACCUUUUCACAAAAGUCAGAGAAUAUAGCCAUCAUACAUCUUUGAAAGGUGGUAGGUGCAUUACAUAAGCCAAAAGGCAUACGUCUGUAAGCAAAGGUACUGAAAGGGUGGGUGAAAGUGGUUUUCCCCUGAUCAGAUUGUGCAACUGGUAUUUGGGAGAAACCAGGAUAUUUGUCUAGAAAGUAGAAGUGUGUGUGUUUGGACAGCCUUUCUAGCAUUUGGUCGAUAAAAGGCAAAGGGUAAUGAUCUUUCCUAGUGGCUUUAUUCAAUUUCCUAAAAUCAAUCACCAUCAUAUAGCCAGUAAUAAUCCUCUAUGGGAUAAGUUCAUCCUUAUCAUUAGGGACAACGGUAAUGCCUCCUUUCUUAGGAACGCAAUGCACCGGACUCACCCAAUCGCUGUGAGCAACAGUAUAAAUGAUACCUGCUUCCAGGAGCUUUAGUAUUUAUUUUCUCACUAAUUCUUCCAUCUUAGGAUUCAAUCUCCUUUGAUGAUGAGCAACUGGUUUCAAGUCAGGAUCAGUUUUAAUCUUGUGCUGGCAUAGGGUAGGACAAAUGCCCUUAAGAUCAUCAAGAGUAUAUCCAAUAGCAGCACGGUGCUUUUUCAGAUUUUUUUAGUAACUUCUUUUCUUCCUGCUCUGAGAGGCUACCACUAAUAAUAACAGGAUAUAUCUCCUUUUCAUCAAGAUAAGCAUACUUAAGAGUAUCAGGCAACUGUUUAAGCUCGAACACUGGAUCACUCUUUGGUGGGGGUGGAUCCCUAAGCAGUUCAACAUGCAAGUUAUUCUUGAGGAUAGGAUAUUGUUCUAAUACAACUCUAUCUAUCUCAUCCCUUUCAUCCAUAUGCAUAUCAUUUUCAUGCUCAAGCAAGUAUUGCUCUAAGGGAUCAGUAGGAGGCACGGCAAUAGAGGCUAAGGCAAUAGUUUCAUCCCUACUAAGCAACUCCUUUUCAUGAGGUUGUCUACCAAACUUAGAGAAAGUGAACUCAUGUGACACACCUUCAAAGCCAACAGUGACAGUUUGCUUCUCACAGUCAAUAUGAGCAUUGACAGUAUUGAGAAAAGGUCUACCAAAUAUGAUGGGACAAAAGCUAUCUUGUGCGGUAGCAAGAACGAGGAAAUCAGCAGGAUACUUCGUUUUACCACACAAGACUUCAACAUCCCUAAAAAUUCCCACACGGCAGAUAGUAUCUCUAUUGGCAAGAUGAACAGUGACAUCAAUGGGUUCUAUCUCAGCAGGUGCAAUCUCAUCUUUGAUUUCAUCGUAUAAGGAUUGAGGUAUUGCACUAACACUAGCACCCACGUCACAUAAACCAUGAUAACAAUGAUCUCCUAUCUUAACAGAAACCACAGGCAUGCCAACAACAGGCCUAUGUUUGUCUCUAACGUGAGGUUUAGCAAUUCUAGCAGCAUCUUCACGGAAGUGAAUAUUAUGUCCCUCAACAUCGUCGGACAGAAGAUCUUUAAUAAUAGGAAUGCUAGGUUCAACUCUAAUUUGCUCAGGGGGUGUAGGUGUUCUAAUAUAGCCUCUACGUAUCACAGUUGAAGCUUUGGAAUGAUCCAUUAUCCUAACAGGGAAAGGUGAUUUCUCAAUGUAAGCGCUGGGAACAACAGGAUCAUUAUAGGCAAUGACUUUCUCUUCAACUAGUGUCGGUUUAACUACAUUGACUUCUAAAGGAGGAUGAUAUUUAAACCACUUCUCUUUGGGGAGAUCAAUAUGAGCAGCAAAGGAUUCACACAAUGAAGCUACUAUCUCGGAGUCAAGUCCAGACUUAGCGCUAAAAUCACUAAAGGUAUGUGUCUCAACAAAGGAUUUAACACAAUCAAACGUGAAAUUCAUACCUGACUCCUUACCUUCUUCAAGCUCCCAAUCUUCAGAGUUGCGUUUAAUUAUCUCCAAUAAAUUACAUUUGAAGUCAAUAUCUCUCUUCAUAAAAGAACCAGUACAAGAAGUGUCAAGCAUGGUGCGAUCAUCAUCAGAAAGCCGAGCAUAGAAGUUCUGAAUAAUAAUUUCUCUUGAGAGCUCAUGAUUGGGGCAUGAAUAUAGCAUUGAUUUAAGCCUCCCCCAAGCUUGAGCGAUGCUUUCUCAGUCACGAGGCCAAAAAUUAUAAAUAUAAUUCCAAUCACAUGUACUAAAUGCAUAGGAUAAAACUUUUGAUGAAAUUCCAAUUUCAACCGAUUGUAGUCCCAUGAUCCAGUAUCAUCACAUAGCCUAUACCAUGUCAACGCCUUAUCCUUCAAAGAUAAAGGAAAGACCCUCUUCUUGACCUCAUCCUCGGGCAAACCUGCAAGCUUAAAUAAACCACAAACUUCAUCUACAUAGAUUAGAUGCAAGUCUGGAUGUGAUGUUCCAUCGCCUGUAAAAGGCUUUCCAGCACAUUGGGAUCCUAAGCUUNNNNNNNNNNNNNNNNNNNNNNNNNNNNNNNNNNNNNNNNNNNNNNNNNNNNNNNNNNNNNNNNNNNNNNNNNNNNNNNNNNNNNNNNNNNNNNNNNNNNAAAACUGGGGGCAACAGAGUGCCGAUGCAAUGCGAAUGAUGCGAAUUAUGCAAUGAUGAAUGCGGCAAACAAAAUAAUAACACGGCGACAACGGAAAGAAGGGAAGUCUUCUGAAGCGUCGGUCUCAGGCUGUCACAGAUCUGUCGAUCUCCACUGCAGUCUUUGGGCGCGGCGCAUAGGCACAGGGGGUUCAAGGGCGGCGAAGGCAGGAGGCCGAGGAGUCGAGAGAAACAGGCGUAAGGCGUUUCUCCCUUUCUGGCCUAUGGGCGGCUGGACGAUUGAUUGAUCGAUCGAUUGUGUAGGUACAUGUAGCACGUACAAGUCUCCCGAUCAGGAUCAUGACUUGGUCUUUAAGCUUCAGGCCUUUAGCUUAUCUUUUUUUCCAGCCCAUAUAGCAGCACGUAUACUUAUACACAUGUAAUGAUGCCCCCCCAAACAUGGGCCCUUGGGCGUCGCCUAUGUUCGACUAGGGCCAGAGCCGGCCCUGUCCGGAUCUAAGGGUGGUUGUUUUUUAGGAUAAAUACUAUAAAAUGUGAAAAAAUGCCAUUUGUAUUUUCAUGUGCCAUCCUAGUUGAUGACCGUUCGCGAGGUAGCGGGAUCCUUUUUCUUUUAGUAUACUACUUCAUCCAUUCUCUUAUAUCNNNNNNNNNNNNNNNNNNNNNNNNNNNNNNNNNNNNNNNNNNNNNNNNNNNNNNNNNNNNNNNNNNNNNNNNNNNNNNNNNNNNNNNNNNNNNNNNNNNNUAGGGCGAAUUCAUAUGUGCAAGUUGUUCUUAGUAUAAGUAGGCAUGUGGCUGAAAUUCCAGAUUAGUGAAAAUCUGUGAUUUUCACUAAGUCCGAGAAUCUGUUUAUAUUUUCUUCUCCUGUAGAUGAGCUUGUGCAGGUCAAUGUGUUGUGAUUCAGGCUUAGCCUUCAACUGGAAAGUUGAAGCUUAUGUGUUUGUCUAUCUACUUCUAAAUUUUCAUUACAUUUGUAGUCCUGUACAUAUUGUUUUGGGUGCUGUCAAAAUGCUUCAGAGCAUAAACAGAUAGUGAGAAUCUGGAAUUUUCACUAAGUCCCUGAAAUCUGAUAUUUUUGGGCAAGUUAGCAGCUGUGUAACUUUCUGUGUGAAACUCCUUUGCAUUAUAUUUUUUGCUUGUGCUUGUAGUAAUCUUGGAUAGCUACUACCACAUAUCUUAUUUGGCAUGUUUGGGUGGCUGUAGGUGCUUUGCAUGUAGCUCGCAAAGUGCUAUGAUGCUGUUUAUGGCAGAUUGUGUAGUUUUGGUAUUUUGAUGUUUGUGAGUGCAUAGUUGAUGGUGUGGUGAUAUUCUUGGCACCACCCCAUCCAUGUUAGUUUGUUUUAUGUCUUGGCAACCUGGAAAUACCAGAGUUAUGCCAUUUGAGUGUGUUGUGAUGUAUUUGACACGUAGGGCUUCAUUUCUUGUUUCGUUGUUUCCCGUUGAUCCGUAGCUCCGUUUGUAAUGUUCUUUAUAUGGUUUUGCAUCGUUUUCACGUGACGCAUAUGAUCAUGUCAUCCUCAUGCAUGUCAAGAUAGCUUAGGGUGCAGUUCCGUCCAGGAACAUGUAUUUACUUCUCAUGCUUGUGCUAGUGAUAGAAAUAGAGAUGCAUGUUCAUUUUCAUCUCAUGCAUCAUGUGAUUGUUGCAUCUUGAGGUGUUGUUGUUCAUUGGAUGCUAUUUUUAUGUUGGGUAGCACCGGGAUUGGAGAACGAGUAUGUGGAUUCAGGAGAGUACGUGCAGGACGAACAAGAGCAGUUCCAAGCUGAGGAUAUCACACGCAAGAUGAUAUGACCUUGAUUCCAUCUCUGGAAUUGUUAUGCUAGAUUACGUUUCCUUUGUCAUAUGCUCGCUGCCUACCACUGAAAUAAUUUCCUCCUGAAUUGCCAUGAAACCCAAACACUUAUCCCUUCCUAGCAAAUCUUGAUUGGCUAAGUAGGCUUUGCUAAGCUUCUAAUGUUAGCGUUGCUAGUUGCAGGUGCUUUGUCUCGUGUAAUAACAUGAGUUGAUAUCAUUAUACUAAUCUGUUAUUUGAUUAAUGCACCUAUAUACUUGGUAAAUAACGGAAGGCCUAGCCUUUUGUCGGGUGUUUUGUUCCGUUAUUGCCGCCUUAGUUACCGGCUACCGGUGUUUGAUUCCAUAUUGAUCGCUCCUAACACGUUCGGGGUUGUUAUGGGGACCCCCUUGAUAAAUCGCGUAGUGUUAAGACUUGUCCGAGAGGACCCAACAUUGGUGUUAAUUUGCUAAUCACUUAAUAAUAAUCUGCAUAGGGAAUGAUCACCCUGAGGAUCUUUAAUCAACAACCCGGGCCAGUGCUCCUCAUGAGUGUUGGUCGAAACUGGUCUGCCUACGGGGCCACCACAAGGAAACUUGAGGUUUGGUUCUCGUAGCUAGUUCCAUCCGCCGUGUCCUGAGACUGAGAUACGCGGCUCUUAUUAGGGUCGUCGACACAUCGGGAGGUCCUGCUAGUCUUGUCUUACCUUAGCGAUAUAUCUUGCGUAUAGGAAUUCUGGUGAAGCUUUGGUUCUCCCCAGAGUUGAGCGUUUCCUCUAAGGAAUCCGACGAGAUCACGAGAUUCGUGAUAGAGGAUUACUUUGCGGCCCGUGUAUGUUUGUGAUGGACUAGUUGGAGCACCCCUGCAGGGUUUAGUCUUUCGGAAAGCCGUGCCCGCGGUUAUGUGGCAACUUGGAAUAUUUGUUAACAUCCGGUAAUAGAUAACUUAAACACAAGCUAAUAAAAUUGCCAACUGUGUGUGUAACCGUGACUGCCCCCUUCGAAGAUCUCUCUUUGACCGGGAACACGGUGGGGUUAUGAUUGACGUAAGUAGGUAAUCAGGAUCUCUUAGUGAUCAGUUAAUCAUCGAUCGCUAGUAUAGACCACUUUCAAUACAUGUUCUACGUAAGUUAGCCACCAUAUAAAGCUUAGGAUGCUGCAACCUGAACACUCAACCUUUCCAACCUAAUAACUUGACUAGUUCCGGCACCAAGGUCAUAGAUUGCUGAGUCCCCCGUGGCUCACAGAAUCCUUCACAACACCAGAAGGUUCAGGUACCCCCAAGACAGAUGAUCCCGUCGGCAUGCAGCUGGCGUGGCAGUACGAUGAGGAGAACGACCGCCUGUACGUGAACUAUCCAGAAGACUGAGGCAUGGUCGUGGUCGUGGGCAAGCAUGCAGGGUAGCAUAGUCAUUUCUCAUGUUUUGUAGUCCGUAGCAGAACUACCUUGUUUGGAUGUGUGAUGUAACUCUGAUAUAUUUAUGAGAUGACAGUUGAAUCCCUUAUUGUCAUUCCUCUAUUAUUAUGUAUAUGCUAUGUUACCUUGUUUGUGAAACGCUUAGAUGCGCUUCUUUCCACUUCGGUGCCUCGUUCCCCAAAUCGGAAAGGACCGCAUCUUAGUCGUUACAUGUCGAUUACUCUUUGUAGUUGAUGCUAGUUGGAUUAUUUGGUGGAAGAGUUUAUGUUCAUAUCCUUGAUGCUGCGCAUUACCUCUCUGGUCAUGGAUAUGAUUAUGCUUUGUGAGUAGUUACUUUUGUUCCUGAGGACAUGGGAUAAGUCAUCCUAACAGUAGUCAUGUGAAUUUGGUAUUCGUUCGGUAAUUUGAUAUGUUGUAUGUUAUUUUUCCUCUAGUGGUGUUAUGUGAACGUCGACUACAUAACACUUCACCAUUAUUUGGGCCUAGAGGAAGGCAUUGGGAAGUAGUAAGUAGAUGAUGGGUUGCUAGAGUGACAGAAGCUUAAACCCUAGUUUAUGCGUUGCUUCGUAAGGGGCUGAUUUGGAUCCACUAGUUUAAUGCUAUGGUUACACUUUGUCUUAAUUCUUCUUUGGUAGUUGCGGAUGCUUGCAAGAGGGGUUAAUCAUAAGUGAGAUGCUUGUCCAAGUAAGGGCAGUACCCAAGCGCCGGUCCACCCACAUAUCAAACUAUCAAAGUAACGAACGCGAAUCAUAUGAACAUGAUGAAACUAGCAUGACAGAAAUUCCCGUGUGUCCUCGGGAGCGUUUUCCUCCUAUAAGACUUUGUCCAGGCUUGUCCCUUGCUACAAAAGGGAUUGGGCCGCUUUGCUGCACCGUUUCUACUUUUGUUACUUAUUGCUUGCUACGAAUCAUCUCACCACACAAUCAGUUGUUACCGACAAUUUCAGUGCCUGCAGAUUUUACCUUGCUGAAAACCACUUGUCAGAUCCUUCUGCUCCUCGUUGGGUUCGACACUCUUACUUAUCGAAAAGACUACGAUUGAUCCCCUAUACUUGUGGGUCAGCAAACAUCGGCAAGAACAGCGGCAACCAAACCCGUGCCAAACAAUGGUAGGGCCUCUAAGCGCAGAGUAGCCAUAAAGACUACCUUGGCCACACCUCCAUCCAAGAGGUAAUCAAUUAAACUCAUUACUCGGGUGUUUUUUACAGCCAAUAGUGAGCAUUCAUAAUUUGUCCCGAACUCAGUCGGAACCGUACACAACCAUGGCAUUGAAGGAAGUUACCCCAGACCAUGGCAUUCAAAAAAACGGGAGGUAAUGCAAAGGUUCCUGCCACAAACCAACUUCCAGAUGAUCCCGAGGAAGUUUUAGUCACAAAUUCCAAAGUUGAGAGCGUGAUGAAUCACUGUCAAUGCAAAGAGUCAGUACAUCACCCUGAAUUUUCCGAAGAUGAGUUUAAUGCUCUUAAUACGAUGGAUGCAUACCUCGGAGUUGCUCGAGCAGGACUUGAAGGACUUUUCAACCGUAUGUCAACCAGUCUUAAGAUAAGUGUUUGAUUUUAACAACUGAACAUAAAUCCUAACCAAGUAGCCCUCGAGCCUUAAUUUGGUUGGGGCAGCCAAGCUAAGGGUCUGAAUAAUAUUGUUGUGACAUUUUAUAGGCCUCGAGGGAUCAAAAUUAGAAUUUGUCCAAGGACCUUGAGAUCAACUAAACACACGUAGAGGAUGCAAAGGCCGAACUAGAGGAAGUGAAAAAUUCACAAGGGAAGCAAACGGUGAGUAAUUACUUCAAAAUAAUUCACACUUGUGCCAUGCACACUUUUCUAAUGAAAGUUUACUUUAUAGCAGCCGUGCCCAUAGGUGAGUUGCAAAAAGAUCUAGACGGAGCCAGAGAAUCACAAAGAUAUGUUGAAUUGCAGGACAAGGCCGGUCGUCGGGUUUUAUCCUAGAAUCUUAACAAAAAGAAAAGACUCGAGGCGGAAAACCAAUGACGGUUGGAGAAAUCGAGAGUUUAAAAAUUCAACUGGCACACGCCCACGAAAGGCACUAGAGAUUGAAAGGUGACACGUUCGGUAUGUGAAAUUAUGAGCUUGUAGUUCCAUAUACAUACUAUUCCAAACUAACAAGCAUACCACGUAUCUUUGUAGCUCUCCUAUCUGGGAGCCCUGAAGAAGAGACCAACUCAUUUGGAGGGAACCUUUUAAGGGAACUGUCCAUCGUGCAUGAGCAAGGGAAAAAGGCAAUGAAUAGCAUGAUCAAGGUCCUAUGGCCGACCAAGAAGCCCCCGAAAGGGAUGACCGAACUGGUAGAUUGUUUUAAAGGAGCUCGACAUUGGUUUCAAUUGUGGAAAAUGUCAGUCUGCCAAGAAGGUGCACGAGAGGCAUGGGGAAUGGUGAAGAUCAGAUUUACCAAACUUGACCUAGAGAAUUUGGCUCGAGUUGGGCCAGUAGGGCAGAUGGUCAAGAGGUUGCCCUCCAUUUGAUAUAUGACCAGAUGAUGCCUCCUGCGUGUAUCUCAUAUCAAAACUGCCGCUUGGAUGUGAUAAUAUAUAAUCUCAAUCAGCAUCCAGUUGUUUAAUUCUAUGUAACUAUGUACUUUAGAUCAAAUAUUCCUCCAUCCGAACUAUAAAUGUUGUCUUAACCGGCCAUCAGCGUCUACCACCCCUCAUAAUGGUCGGGGAGUGUUCCGUAUUAUGUAACCCGUGAUAAUAGGAAAGCAUUCCACAGAACCAGACAAUCCGACCAUAUGGUGCUAACAGACAGAACGUGAUCAUGGAGUUAUGUUAUAUUACAUUUUAACAUAAGAAAUAUCUUCUAGAGAAAAUAGUUCCUCUAUGGGUUCCUUUCUUCGGGUUGCAACACUAGUGUAGACGCAAUAACCGAAUAUCCGCAGUAUGCGUGUGAUGGCUAUUUCGGGAAAAUAACCCUUGAUUUUGGUGAUGAUCACCUAAUUAUUUUCACUUCCUUUGCAGCCGGUCAAUUGUUUUCUUAAGAACCGUCGCUUUCGGCUUCAACCGUCUGAGGUACGUAUCCGAGUGACCCGGUCGUAACGAUCCAGAGGUGCUCCCUUUGCCCACUAUCCAAAAAACGGGAACAUAGAGGGUAAGCACGGGAUCAAGGCAACCCAGCUUGGCCAAAUCUUAAGUCAAAUUGAUGCAUAUGAUGUCUUAAAAAAAUAUAGGAAGGAUGCAUACAUCAUAAAGGAGAAAGUAGAUGCACAAACAAACAUUGAUCAACUUUUAUUAAGAAGCCCCCACGUGUUACCAGAAAAUACAUUUAAAGGUAAUGCCAAAGAAUUCAUGAAUAUAACUUGAUUUAGCCGAACAUAACCUCGUAUAUGCUAAUCAAUCUAAAUGAGAAAAAGUACAGAAAAAAUAAAGGAGAAAAGAAAAACUAGUUAAGUUGACGACACGAGUCUAGUCGUAGAGGCGCCGAAGAGGAGUUGCGUUCCAUGGGUUCAAUUCGAGGCGAUUAUGUGAUGGGUUGUGGAGGCGAUACUUACCUCGUGCUAGUACUUCCAUCAAUUAUGAAAGGUCCCUCCCAUUUAAGUGAAAGUUUAUUUUUCUUCUUCUUCGAGAGGCGUAGAAGAAGCUCACCCACAUUAUAUGCUUUCUCCCGAACAUCCCUGCUCUCGUAGCGCCGAAAUUGUUGUAGAUAAAAGGUGGAAUGUGCCAAAGCUACAUCACGCUCCUCUUGAGGGCAUCUAAGUCGUCCUGCGGAUCUAUCUCGGCUUCCUUUCCCUUGUACAUGCGCACUCUAGGUGCAUCAUGGAUGAUAUCGCACGGGAGGACCGCUUCUACCCCGUACACCAUAAAAAUGGUGCAUAUACCGUUAAUCGGUUCGGCGUGGUGCGUGAUACAUCCCAAACGUAUCUCUAAUUUCUGCUUGUUCCAUGAUCUUUUGGGUGACAUUGUUAUAUAUUUUGCUACACUUUUAUAUCAUUUUACACAUAUUUGGACCAACCUACUAACUCAGUGCACCGACUGCCAGAUUCUGUGUGAUGAUGUAUUUUUUGCACGGGCUUUUACCGAAUUUUCCGAAGCCCGAAAAAAUCCGGAAAAUAUAUAUAAAAGAAUCAGCGAAACAUAAGCUUCGGGAUCAACGAAGGGGGCCAAAGGGGGGCCAGGGGCCUCCCAAGCGGCCUGCAGGCGCGGCUAGGGCCCAGGCCGCCCCACGAGGUCGCCUGGGUGGGCCCCACCUCCUCCGGUGCCCUCCUUUGGCCUAUAUUUAGUGUUCCAUGAGGAAACCCUCACAAACUUUCUGGAAUCGCGAAUUUAUCCAUAGUUCCGCCGCCGCAACACUUCCAAGAUCGGGAACGUCAGGAGACCUCUUCCCGGCACCUUGCCGGAGGGAGGAUUGACCUUCGGGAGCUUGUCCACCACCAUGGACGUCUCCCGGAUGUGUCGUGAGUAGUUUCCCUUGGACCAUGAGUCUAGGACCAGUAGUUAUGUGAUGUCUUCUCUCCAAUCAUGUGCUUCAAUGGUUAGUCCUUGUGAGCUGCCCUACAUGAUCAAGGCAUCUAUGUAAUCCUCUUGCUUUUGCUAUGCUCGGUUUGUUGGGAUCCGAUGGAUUAUGAGAUUAUGUUCAGAUAUUUAUGAGUUAUAUAUUUGAUUAUCCUCUUUAUAUUAUGUUCCUUAGUGAUUCUUGCAUGUUCCCCGUUGCUUUUUAUUGCUUUGGCCAAGUCGUAGAUCGUAACUCCAAGAGGGAGCGUUAUGCAUGAUUGUGGGUUCGGGCCCCUCGAUGUCGAGCUUGAGUGACAGAAACAUGAGACUGGGGGAUGUGCUUGUUGCCACCAGGGAGAAAACAAUGGUGCUUGUGAACAAGGUUGCAAGGAUUGUUUACCUUACACAUAGUUCAUUAAUGAAGUUGUUCGUUGCUUUGAGUUUACACUUUGGAUGGGGCUCGCAACUUAAUACCGGAGAGAUGUUCUGGAUAGAUAUCUCAAGGUGGAUGAUUAGUAAGUAGACGUUGAUGAAUAAACGGUCUACUUGUCUUGGCGUAUUGCCCAUUACUAUUGAACGUCAUACUAUGAAGGAGCAUAAUUAGCAUUGCGGUGCGAUCAUAAUUCUGUUAAUUACACAAAUGUCAUUUGUUUACCCUAGGAUAGUUGUUUAUUGUCUUUUGGGAGAGAGACAUCACUAGUGAACAUCAUGUGACUCUGAUCCAUAUCACCACUAUUGCUUACACCUCCACCAUUUACCGCUUUAUUUAAUUUUCCGUUGCAACCACUAUUACCUUCCCGCUUGUGUUUUGAUCCUUUGCAAACUACAAGGCCGGAGAGAUUGACAACCUCUCUGUACUCGUUGGGAGCAAUGUUAUUUGUUGUGUGUGCAGGUCCACGUCUUCUGCUAGCGCCAGGGUGGGAGAGACCUACUUGUUGAGCCUAGGAGUCCUCCUGGUUCGAUAAACCUUACAGUCUCUGUGUGAGGGAAAUUUGCUGCUGACUACAUCUGCACCUUCCACUUGGGGUCCAACGAGGAGCGAGAAGUAUAUACACCACCUCGUCAUCAGUGCGCAGACCCCACAAUAUGGAUUCGAACUCCUCUACCCAAUGGCAAUAAGAUUCCUUCAGAGAAUGGACCAGUCAAGGUUUGAUUCCGCUCAUAUUAAGACCGUUGGCCCGUUCAACAUGUUCAUUGGUUUGUGGGUGAUAUACGGAGGCGUAAUCGAGCUUGAUGCCCAUGUUAGCGCACUAGUCCUUCACUUCCUCAGUUGUGAAAUUGGAUCCCUUGUCCGUUAUUAUACUAUGGGGGACACUAUAACGGUGAACAUUGUCGGAUAUAAAAUCGAUAACUGGUCGGGACUUAGCAGAAGUUACUACUUUGGCUUCAAUCCACUUAGUGAAUUUAUCGACCAUGACUAGUAAGUAUUCCUUUUUCUUGGUCCCCCCUUUAAGGGGUUUGACGAUGUGAGCCCCAGACCACAAAAGGCCAGGUGAUCCAUAUCGUCCGAAGAGGUUUUGCGGGCAUGUGGCUUUGGUUAGCAAAGAGCUGAAAACCAACACAAUGUUGGACGAGUGUGUGAGUCUGUGCGUGAACCAUGGGACAAAAGAAGCAAGCACGUAAAGCCUUGCUUACCAAGGCCCGAUCUGCUACAUGGUGGCCGCCCAUACCUGCCUGUGUCUCAUCCAAGUGUUGUUUACCCUCUUCUUCAGAUAUGCACCCCUGGAGGACUCCGGUGGUGCUAUUCUUGUAUAAGUCCCCCUCAUGGACCAUGUAGGCCUUGGAUCAACAAAUUAUUCAUCUUGCCUAAGUUUGGUCAUCACGGAGUUCUUGGCAAACAUAGGCGAGAAAAUGCUUGUCCAUGGCACGAUUACUGCCAUGACUUCGUGAGCCGAAGGUGUUUCUUCAAGUGUAGAGCCGCCAAUGAUUUGUUCAUCUCAUUCAAUUACAUGAGGGGUGACCUGUUCGUGACCACUUGCUCAGAUGUCAUUGUCCUCGUCUUGCCAUACCACGGAUGACAUGAAGAGCCGUCUGAUACGUCUCCAACGUAUCUAUAAUUUUUGAUUGUUUCAUGCUAUUAUCUUGUCAAACUUUGGAUGUUUUGUAUGCCUUUUAUAAUUUUUUUGGGACUAACUUAUUAACUCAGUGCCAAGUGCCAGUUCCUAUUUUUUUUGUGUUUUUGACCUUUUUCAGAGGAAGAUUUGAAACGGAGUCCAAACGGAAUAAAAUCCCAGAAAAUAUUUUUUCCGAAACAAAAGAAGAUCGGGAGACUUGAGAACCAAGGCAGGGGGUCCCCAGGGACCCCACAAGCCCUCUAGCCCCGGCCAGGGGGGAGGCCGGGCCUCCUAGGCUUGUGGGUCCCCUGGAGCUCCUCUGCCGUAGGUUUUGCCCCUAUAUAUUCCCUAAAAUCCCAGAAAAAAUCAGGAGAUCAUCGAAAAUACUUUUCUGCCACCGCAAGCUUCUGUCUCCGCAAUAUCCCAUAUGGGCACGUUUUGGUGCCCUGCCAGAGGGAGAUUCGGAUAUGGAGGGCUUCUUCAUCAACACCAUGACCUCUCCGAUGAUGCGUGAGUAGUUCACCAUAGACCUACGGGUCCAUAACUAGUAGAUAGAUGGCUUCUUCUCUCUCUUGGAUCUUCAAUACAAAGUUCUCCAUGAUCUUCAUGGAGAUAUAUCCGAUGUAAUAUUCUUUUGCGGUGUGUUUGUCGAGAUCCGAUGAAUUGUGGAUUUAUGAUCAGAUUAUCUAUUAAUCUUAUUUGAGUUUGUUCUGAUCUCUCGUAUGCAUGAUUUCAUAUCCUUGUAAUUCUCUUCGAGUUGUGGGUUUUGUUUGGCCAACUAGAUCUAUGAUUCUUGCAAUGGGAGAAGUGCUUGGUUUUGGGUUCAUACCGUGCGGUGACCUCACCCAGUGACAGAAGGGGUAGCGAGGCACACAUCAUAUUGUUGCCAUCAAGGGUAAAAACAUGGGGUUUUCAUCAUUGGUUUGAGAUUAUCCCUCUACAUCAUGUCAUCUUGCUUAAGGCGUUACUCUGUUCGUCAUGAACUCAAUACACUAGAUGCAUGCUGGAUAGCGGUCGAUGUGUGGAGUAAUAGUAGUAGAUGCAGAAAGUAUCGGUCUACUUGUCUCGGACGUGAUGCCUAUAUGUAUGAUCAUUGCCUUAGAUAUCGUCAUAACUUUGCACGGUUCUAUCAAUUGCUCGACAGUAAUUUGUUCACCCACCGUGAUAUUUUCUAUUUUGAGAGAAGCCUCUAGUGAACACUAUGGCCCCCGGGUCUACUCCAUACCAUAUUAUCAGCCUUACACUUUUACUUCGUUGCACUUUCCGCCUUCAGAUCUCACUUUGCAAUCAAUCUUGAAGGGAUUGAAAACCCCUUUAUAGCGUUGGGUGCAAGCUCUUUGUGUUUGUGCAGGUCCUCUGGAAUUGACGAGAUUCUCCUACUGGAUUGAUACCUUGGUUCUCAAACUGAGGGAAAUACUUACUGCUCCUGUGCUGCAUCGCCCUUUCCUCUUCAAGGGAAAAACCAACGCAAGCCCAAGAGACGAUAGAAGGAUUUCUAGCACCACUGCCUGGAAAGAACUUUUGUUGCCGUAGGAGAAGAAUUUUUGGCGCCGUUGUCGGGGAAGAACUUUUGUAUGCGUUUAGCACUUUGUUUUGAUUACUAAUAUAAACUUUCGCAACAAGUAUGUGAGUUCUUCAUGACUAAUGUGAGUCCAUGGUAUAGAGGCUCUUUCACCUUCCACCAUUGCUAUCCUCUCUAGUACCACGAAUUCUCGCCGGUGCACAAACCCACCAUAUGCAUUCCUCAAAAUAGCCACCAUACCUACCUACUAUGGCAUUUUCAUAGCAAUUCCGAGAUAUAUUGCAUGCAAUUCCCACUGUUCCAUCUCAUGACUUGUGCCAUCACUCUCAUAUUGCCAUUGCAUGAUCGUAAGAUAGCUAGCGAGAUGUUUCAAUGUCAUACGCCAAGCUAGAUCGUUGCACAUCCCGGUACACUGCCGGAGGCAUUUCCUAUAGAGUCAUCAUCGUUCUAAGCUUUGAGUUGUGAGUAAAUAAAAUUGUGAUGAUCAUCAUUAUUAGAGCAUUGUCCCAUGUGAGGAAAUAAAAAAAGAGGCCAAAGAGCCCAAAAAAAGAGGCCAAGACCCCCUAAAAAAAGAGAAGAGAGAAAAAGAGAGAAGGGACAAUGCUACUAUCUUUUUCCACACUUGUGCUUCCUAAUAGCACCAUGUUCUUCAUGAUUGAGAGCCUCUCGUUUCGUCACUACCAUAUGCUAGUGGGAAUCUUCAUUAUAUAACUUGGCUUGGAUAUUCCAAUGAUGGGAUUCCUCAGAAGCUUUCACACACUUAUAGCUCUAGUGCAUCCCUUGUAUGGCAAUCCCUACUCAUUCACAUUGAUAUCGAUUAAUGGGCAUCUCCAUAGCCCUUUGAUACACCGAGUCAAUGUGACCAUCUCCUCCUUUUUGUCUCACAACCACCACCACACUCUAUUCCACCUAUAGUGCUAUAUCCAUGGCUCACGCUCAUGUAUUGCGUGAUAGUUAUAAAAGGUUUGAGAAAGUAAGAGUGCGAAAACAAUUACUUGGCCAAUACCGGGGUUGUGCAUGAUUUACAUUAGUUGUGUGAGGAUGAUGGAGCAUAGCCAGACUAUAUGAUUUUGUAGGGAUAACUUUCUUUGGCCUUGUUAUUUUGAAAGUUCACGAUUACCUUGCUAGUUUGCUUGAAGUAUUAUUGUUUUCAUGUCAAUAGAAAACUAUUGUUUUGAAUCUUACGGAUCUGAACAUUCAUGUCACAUGAAAGAAGUUGCAAAGGACAACUAUGCUAGGUAGCAUUCCACAUCAAAAAUUCAGUCUUUAUCACUUCCCUACCCGAGGACGAGCAGGAGCUAAGCUUGGGGAUGCUUGAUACGUCUCCAACGUAUCUAUAAUUUUUGAUUGUUUCAUGCUAUUAUCUUGUCAAACUUUGGAUGUUUUGUAUGCCUUUUAUAUCUUUUUUGGGACUAACUUAUUAACUCAGUGCCAAGUGCCAGUUCCUGUUUUUUCUGUGUUUUGACCUUUUUCAGAGGAAGAUUUGAAACAGAGUUCAAACGGAAUAAAAUCCUCGAAAAGAUUCUUUUGAAACAAAAGAAGAUCGGGAGACUUGAGAACCAAGGCAGGGGGUCCCUAGGGACCCCACAAGCCCUCUAGCCCCGGCCAGGGGGGGAGGCCGGGCCUCCCAGGCUUGUGGGUCCCUUGGACCUCCUCUGCCCUAGGUUUUGCGCCUAUAUAUUCCCUAAAAUCCCAGAUAAAAUCAGGAGAUCAUCUUAAAUACUUUUCCGCCGCCGCAAGCUUCUGUCUCCACAAGAUCCCAUCUGGGGCACGUUCUGGUGCCCUGCCGGAGGGGGGAUUCAGAUACGGAGGGCUUCUUCAUCAACACCAUGACCUCUCUGAUGAUGCGUGAGUAGUUCACCAUACAUCUACGGGUCCAUAGCUAGUAGCUAGAUGGCUUCUUCUCUCUCUUGGAUCUUCAAUACAAAGUUCUCCAUGAUCUUCAUGGAGAUCUAUCCGAUGUAAUCUUCUUUUGCGGUGUGUUUGUCGAGAUCCGAUGAAUUGUGGUUUUAUGAUCAGAUUAUCUAUGAAUCUUAUUUGAGUUUCUUAUGAUCUCUCUUAUGCAUGAUUUCAUAUCCUUGUAAUUCUCUUCGAGUUGUGGGUUUUGUUUUGCCAACUAGAUCUAUGAUUUUUGCAAUGGGAUAAGUGCUUGGUUUUGGGUUUAUACCAUGCGGUGACCUCACCCAGUGACAUAAGAGGCAGCGAGGCACGCAUCGUGUUGUUGCCAUCAAGGGUUAAAAAGAUACGGGGGUUUUCAUCAUUGGUUUGAGAUUAUCCCUCUACAUCAUGUCAUGUUGCUUAAGGCGUUACUCUGUUCGUCAUGAACUUAAUACACUAGAUGCAUGCUGGAUAGCGGUCGAUGUGUGGAGUAAUAAUAGUAGAUGCAGAAAGUAUCGGUCUACUUAUCUCGGACGUGAUGCCUAUAUGUAUGAUCAUUGCCUUAGAUGUCGGCAUGACUUUGCACGGUUUUAUCAAUUGCUCGACAAUAAUUUGUUCACCCACCGUGAUAUUUUCUAUUUUGAGAGAAGCCUCUAGUGAACACUAUGGCCCCCGGGUCUACUCCACACCAUAUUUUCACCCUUACACUUUUACUUCGUUGCACUUUCCGCCUUCAGAUCUCACUUUGCAAUCAAUCUUGAAGGGAUUGACAACCCCUUUAUAGCGUUGGGUGCAAGUUCUUUGUGUUUGUGCAGGUACUCUGGACUUGAUGAGAUUCUCCUACUGGAUUGAUACCUUGGUUCUCAAACUGAGGGAAAUACUUACUACUCGUGUGCUGCAUCGCCCUUUCCUCCUCAAGGGAAAAACCAACGCAAGCCCAAGAGACGACAGAAGGAAUUCUGGCACCACUGCCGGGAAAGAACUUUUGUUGCCGUAGCACCGUCCCAAAAAGUUAUUCUUAGGAAUAGGGUCGCAUUUGACGCCUGUGCAAGAAAGAACAUUAGUAGCUUGAUUGUUGUCUCUGGUGACAUGGUCAAAUUUGAGGCCUUCCGACCGUGCUGAUAUUUUAAGAACAUAGUUCCUUUAUUCAGCCAUUUUUGGAUUAUUAGUGUCAAAUACACCGUUGAUUUGGGAGAUGGUGAGGUUGGAUUCACCUCGUACCUCGAGCCAUUGUACGCCCAUUGAAGUUGCCAUUCGAAGUCCAUGCAACAAAGCCUCGCAUUCGGCCACAUUGUUGGAAUCGUUGUACAUGAUCAAUCGUACAUACCGGAUGUUGUCACUAUAGGGGGAUGUAAGUAUAACACUAGCCCCCAGUCCGGCAAGCGUCUUUGAGCCGUCGAAGUACAUCAUCGAAUGGAGUAUGUACUGUAAUCUUUAGGGAGGUCGGCCUCCGUCCAUUCGGCAAGAAAUAAGCCAACACUUGAGAUUUAAUAUAUCGGCGUGGCUUGUACAUGAUUUCAAAAGGUAGGAUCUCAAUGGCCCAUUUAGCUAUACGGCUCAUGGCGUCCCUGUUGUUGAUUAUAUCAUUUAGUGGUACUUCACAUGCUACCCUGACCGAACACUCUUGAAAGUAGUGUCCGAGCUUGCGAGAUGCCAUAAAAACUGUAUAGGAUUUCUUCUGUAGUGCGGAUACCGAUAUUUGCACGGGGUGAGUAAAUCGGACACAUAGUAGACUGCUUUUACACCCGGAGCUUGUGGCCUUCAGCCUCUCAUUUGAGAACAAGAACUACGCUGACCACAUGAUUGGUGGGAGAGAUGUACAACAACAUUGGUUCACCUGUAGCAGGUGCUGCCAGUAUGGGGUUACUGGCUAAUAGUGUUUUAAAUUCUUCCAAUGCGGUUGUUGCCUUGUCGGUCCACUCAAAGUUAUUGGUCCGUUUGAACAGUCUGUAGAGCGCGAGUGCCUUUUCACCAAGGCGGGAUAUGAAGCGCCUUAAAGCCGUCACACAACCACCAAUUUUUGCACGUGCUUCAAUUCUAUCAGGAUCACUACCUAGGAUAGAGCUUGGAUAUUAGCCGGAUUGGCCUCUAUUCCUCUACGGGAGAUGAUGAAUCUGAGCAGUUUACCCAUGGGAACCCCGAAGACACAUUUAUCUGGACUAAGCCGUAUAUCGUAAGCAUGCAGAUUAUAGAAGGUUUGUCGAAGAUCGUCCACCCGCUGGCUGACGUGUUUGGUUUUGAUGACCACGUCGUCCAUGUAUGCCUCGACUAUUUCCCGGUUUCAUUUUCUAGGCAUGUCUGAAUCAUGCGCUGAUACAUGUCACCAUCAGUUUUUAACCCAAAAGGCAUUGUAUUGAAGCAGAAUGGCCCGCAGGGAGUGAUGAAGGCAGUAGCGGCUUGGUUGGACUCCUUCAUUUUGAUUUGAUGGUAUCCGGAGUAGGCAUCAAGGAAGUACGGUGAGUCGUGUUGAUAACCCACAAAUAUAGGAGGUCGUUUGUAGCCCUUUUCGAUAAAUAAGAGUGUCCAUCCCAAUGAGGAGCUAAAGGUAGAACAAAUAACCCCUCAAGUUCUAUCGACCACCGAUGCAACUCUACGCACACUUAAAUUUUCUUUACCUAAAACAAGAAUACAACUAGUAGUACUUUGCGAGAAUAAAACUAGAAAUAAACUGCAAGAUAAUAAAAAUAGUAGUGUAGUAGCAAGCUUGAGAACUAUUUUUCCCUAGGCAAUUGACGACGUUACUGGUCCGAUAGCAAGUUUUUAUGCGGGAGAGGCCACUUCUAGCAUGUCAUCCCUUACUUGGAAUUCUAUGCACUUAUGAUUGGAACUAUUAGCAAGCAUCCGCAAGUACUAAUGUUCAUUGAGGCAAAACCCAACCAUAGCAUUAAGAUAUAUAUUGGUCCCCUUCAAUCCAGUAUGCAUCAAUUUGUAUGUUCGGAAGAAGUAUUCUGUAACUCUUGCCCUCCAAUGCAUAGUCCUAUUAACAUACAACUAACACUAUGGUGUGAUCCACACGCACGCUUAUAUGAUGGGCACCAAAGGACAACAACAUAUCCACAAGUAAAUUAAACCAAUCAUAGCAAUUUCACCAAUUAUCUGAGAGGGAAAAAAAUUCUACUCAAACAUCAUAGGACAGCCACAUAUCAUUGGGAAAUAGUAUGUAGUGGUGAGCAUGAUCUUUAAGUAGAGAGUUACAACAGUAAAAGAGGUGUUACACCUCUGCAUAGAGGGGGAGAGAGUUGGUGUUGACAAUGGCAAAAUUGUUGAUGUAGACUGCCGUCAUGCUCCUUGCCCCGGCGGCACUCCCGCACCACCAGCAGAGAGAGGGGAGAGCCCCCCUCAUUCUUAUUCUUCCUUGGCCUCCCCCGUAGAUGGGAGGAGAGUUCUCCCUCUUUUCCAUGGCCUCCCCCAUAGAUGGGAGGAGAGUUACCCCUCUUUUCCGUGGCCUCCAUGGAGCAAGAGGGGCGGGAGCCCCACAAAGAUUGGAUCUCUCCCUCUGUUCUCUUAUGUUUCGCGUUCCUAGUUUCUCGCUCUUCACCGUUUCUUAAAUUCCUAGAGAUCCGUAACUCCUAUCGGGCUGAAUUUUUUACACAAUUGUUUCCAUAAAUUAUCUUUCUUGCGCUCCAAUAAGAUCCGCAUCCUACUUAAGGUGUGGUGCCCAGGGGGUAUGGGCCGCGCCGAGGUAUCUAGUGGAGCCCGUGUUCCUUUGUUGACGUUGGAUCCAACUCAAAAAAAUCACAUAUAUUCCAAAAUAAUUCUUCGUAAAUUCUUACCACGUUUGGACUUCGUUUGAUAUGGAUAUUCUAUGAAACAAAAAACAUGCAAUAAAGAGUAACUUGCACUAGGCACUCGAUCAAUAUGUUAGUCCAAUAAAUCAUAUAAAAUGUUGGCAAAAAUAUGUAAAAGUUGUAUAAUAUUGGCAUGGAUAAUAAAGAAAUUAUAGAUACGGCGGAGACGUAUCAGUAUCCCCAAGCUUACUUCCUCCUCGUCCUCGAGUAGGUAAAUGAUAAAAACAUAAUUUUUGAAGUGGAAUGCUACCUAACAUAGUCUUGAACAAAUGUCUGAUCAUGGCAUGAAUAUUAAUAUACAAGUGAUUCAAAGCAAUAGUCUAUAAUUUUACAUAAAUACAUUAAUACUCAGGCAUCCCAACAAAAAACUCUUGUCUUUCAAAAUAUCAACACUAAAGAAAGCUUUCCCUACAAAAUCAUAUAACUUGUUAUGCUUGGUCUUCCUAGCAUAAGGAUAAAUCAUGAGCAUCUUGGGGUCAAAUCAAGCAAUUAGAUUGUACUUUUUAACGCGCUUCAGAUUUUUAUUACUCACACAAUACAUGAGCGUGAACUAUGGAUAUAGCAUACACGUGGUAGGUUUCAAAGGUGUAAAAUUGAGGAAGAAAGUCUCGUAUGAAAUCGGCGUAUCAACGGGAUAUAGAGAUGACCAUCAAUAGAUAUCAACGCAAGGAGGAGGGAUUGCCAUGCAACGAAUGCACUGGAGCUAUAAGUGUAUGAAAGCUCAAUAUGAAAACUAAGUGGGUGUGCAUAAAACUCUAUAAUGAAAAAUUUCCACUAGUAUAUGAAAGUGACAACAUAGGAGACUCUCCAUAUGAAAAACAUGGUGCUACUUUGAAGCACAAGUACUGUUGAAUUAACAUGCCCCUUGUCUCUUUUCUCUCAUUUUUCCUUUUUUUCUUUCUUUUUCCUUUUUCCUUUUUUCUAUUUUUUUCUUUUUGUCCGGAGUCUCAUCCCGACUUGUGGGGGAAUCAUAGUCUCCAUCAUCCCUCCUCACUCGGACAAUGCUCUAAUAAUGAAUAAUGAUGAUCAUCACACAUCUAUUUACUUACAACUCAAUAUUACCACUCAAUACCUAGAACAAAGUAUGACUCUAUAUGAAAGCCUCUCGCAGUGUACGAGGAUGUGAAAUGAUCUAGCAUAGCACAGACAAAAAAUGGACAAGCCAUGGAAAUAUCAUGCUAGCUAUCUUACGAUCAUGCAAGGCAAUAUGACAAUGAAUGCUCAAGUCAUCAAAAUGGAAGUGGUGGAAGUUGCAUGGCAAUAUAUCUCGGAAUGGCUAUGGAUAUGCCUUAAUAGGUAGGUAUGGUGGCUAUUUUGCGGAAGAUAUAAAAAGGAUUAUGUGUGAUAGAUCAUAUCAUAUCACGGGGUUUGCAUGCACCUGCGAAGUUUUCAUCGACCCUCGAGGUGAGAUAGGGCAAUGCACGGUACCAAAGAGGCUAGCAAAUAUGUGGAGGUGAGAGUGCAUAUAUCCAUGGAUUCACAUUAGUCAUAAAGAACUCACAUACUUAUAGCAAAAAAAUAUUAUCUUUAUAGAAUGAAAACACUACCCGCAUGCCCCGAGGGAGACGGUCGGGAAGAUUUCACCAUUGCGCGACUCCGAUUAUAACAGCGCAAAGGAUUUCAAUUAAGGAUAAAUUAUGCUCCAACUUCAUCGCACAACCAUAGACUAUACGUGCAUGCUUUGGGAAUCACAAACAUUAACAUCAAUAUUCCUACUAAUCCACAAUCAUCAACUAGUUGACCCACAUAUUACUAUCUUAAUGUCCAAAACUAUUGCACGGAAUCAAACAUAUCAUACUCAGUGAUCUACAAGUUUUAUGUAGGAUUUUAUAACUAACUAUGUAAAUGACCAAUUCCUUUUGACUAUUUAAACAGGUAUAAGUGAAGCAUGAGAGUUUAACUCUUUCUACAAAAUACCACACCCUAAUAAGUAUAAGUGAAGCAAAAGAGCAUUCUACAAAUAACGGUUUUCUAUAUGUAGAGAAACACGCAAUCCAAACUUCAAAUGAUAUAAGUGAAGCACAUGAAGCAUUCUAUAAAGCCAUACUCAAAAGAUACAAGUGAAGUGCAAUGAGAAUUCUAUAAAUCAACCAAGGACUAUCUCAUAUCAACAUGGUGCAUAAAAUAAAAGUGAAAACUAAACACAAAAGAUGCUCCAAGGUUUACACAUAUCACUUGAACAAAACAAAGACGAAAACAUAUCGAUACUUGUUGAAGAAAGAUGGGACACCUGAGUCUACUUGGAUAUUUACUUGGGGCGACUUGGCUAUCCCCAAUCUUGAACUCUUGUCUCCCCUCCUUCUCCUCAUAUCGAGACCUCCUCGAUCUUCGAACACUUCAUCCACACAAAACUUAACAAGAAACUCGUGAGAUAUGUUAGUAUAAUAAUGCAAAUUACUACCUUAAGUACUGUUGAAAACCCAUUCAUAGUUUUUUUUUCGUCAUAUUACUGUAAUACAACUUAUCCACGUCUUAUACCACCAAUAUAAUCGAUAGUUUCAUCAAAAUGAGCAAAACAAUGCAUCAAAAACAAAAUCUGUCAAAAAGAGGACAACCUGUAGUAAUCUAAACAUUGACUGUACUUCUAUGAAUUUAGUAAUUAUGAAACAUUCAGAUGAGAUAAACAAUUUUCAUAUCAUUACUAUGUAAAAAUUUCAAUAACUUUGACGUUCGAGUAGAAAAUGUAAAUUCACGCACUACAGCGAAAGUUUCCGUUUUUGCACCGCACAUACCAACAAGAUAUCUAUUCAUCCUAAAUGCAAAUCUUGGAACAUUUUAUUAUAAUACAAUUGAUUUGUAUAAGGGGAUAUUUUUUGUUGAAAAUUUUCUGUAAUCGAGAUUCACAAAGUUUCCAUGGGCAUGAACAAAGUUCAAUGACGUCCCCUCUUCAAUGGUGUUUGUCUUUCUCAAUUUCACUUUCCUUUUUGAAAAGUUUUAGGUUCCCUUCCAUAUUUUUUUGUUUUUAAACUUUAUCAAAGCACACAACAGAAAUAAAUGACUCUUUAAAACUUCUGGGUUGUCUCACUAGCAGCGCUUUCUUCAAAGCCAUUAAGCUAGGCAUAAAGUUCUCAAGUAAUGGAUCCACCCGGAUCCCUAGGUAUAUCAAAGACAAUUUUAAUUAACAAUGAUUUGUAAUUUAAUAGUGAGCACAAAGCAACAUAUAUCAUACAAUACGAAGUUUAACUCUCGUCCCAUGCAUCGGCAUGUCAUAAAAGAACAUUUCAUACACAACAAGUAAAGGCCAAUACAUAGCAUAAGCAGUUUCUUGCAAUUUUACCGUGUUGGAAACAUAAAGAGGUGGAGAUGUAGUUCCUCUCUCAUAAUAAUUGCAAGUAGGAGUAGCAAUCACAUGCAUAUUAUAUCCAUAAAAAUCCUCAUGUGUAAUGGUAAAACGCAACCCAUCAAUAUAAUCCUUAAUAAGAGCAAACUUCUCAGAAAUUGUGUAGUUGGGAGAAUUCAGAAAGAAAAUAGGACUAUCAUGUGUGGGUGCAAUAGCAAAAACUUCAUUGUCGCAUGCCUGUGGUUUCUAUUAAGAAUUGCUAAACCUCACACUAGAGACAAACAUAGGCCUCUUGUUGGCAUGCGUGUGGUUUCUAUUAAGAUAGGAAAUCAUUGUUAUCAUGGCUUAUGUGACGUGGGUGCUAGUGUUAGUGCAAUACCUCAAUCCUUAUACGAUAAAAUCAAAGAUUAGAUUGCACCUGUUGAGAUAGAACCUAUAUAUGUCACUAUUCAGCUUGCCAAUAGAGAUACUAUCUGCCAUGUGGGAAUUGUUAGGGAUGUUGUAGUCUUGUGUGGUAAAACGAAGUAUCCUGCUGAUUUCCUCGCUCUUGCUACCGCACAAGAUAGCUUUUGUCCCAUCAUAUUUGGUAGACCUUUUCUCAAUACUGUCAAUGCUCAUAUUGACUGUGAGAAGUAAACUGUCACUGUUGGCUUUGAAGGUGUGUCACAUGAGUUCAAUUUCUCUAAGUUUGGUAGACAACCUCAUGAAAAGGAGUUAGCUAGUAGGGAUGAAACUAUUGCCUUAGCCUCUAUUGACGUGCCUCCUACUGAUCCCUUAGAGCAAUACUUGCUUGGGCAUGAAAAUGAUAUGCAUAUGGAUGAAAGGGAUGAGAUAGAUAGAGUUGUCUUAGAACAAUAUCCUAUCCUUAAGAAUAACUUGCGUGUUGAACUGCUUGGGGAUCCACCCCCACCAAAGGGUGAUCCUGUGUUCGAGCUUAAACAGUUGCCUGAUACUCUUAAGUAUGCCUACCUUGAUGAAAAGGAGAUAUAUCCUAUUAUUAUUAGUGCUACCCUCUCAGAGCAUGAAGACAAGAAGUUAAUAAAAACUCUGAGGAAGCACCGUGCUGCUAUUGGAUAUACGCUUGAUGAUCUUAAGGGCAUUAGUCCUACCCUAUACCAGCACAGGAUUAAAACUGAUCCUGACUUCAAACGAGUUGUUGAUCAUCAAAGGAGAUUAAAUCCUAAGAUGAAAGAAGUAGUGACAAAAGAAAUACUAAAGCUCCUGUAAGCGGGUAUCAUUUAUCCUGUUGCUCAAAGCGAUUGGGUGAGUCCGGUGCAUUGCGUUCCUAAGAAGGGAGGCAUUACCGUUGUCCCUAAUGAUAAGGAUGAAUUGGUCCCACAGAGGAUUAUCACUGGCUAUAGGAUGGUGAUGGAUUUUAAGAAAUUGAAGAAAACCACUAGGAAAGAUCAUUACCCUUUGCGUUUUAUCGACCAAAUGCUAGAAAGACUGUCUAAACACACACACUUCUGCUUUCUAGACGGUUAUUCUGGUUUCUCCCAAAUACCAGUUGCACAAUCUGAUCAGGAGAAGACCACUUUCACCUGCCCUUUCGGUAUCUUUGCUUAUAGAGGUAUGCCUUUUGGCUUAUGUAAUGCACCUGCCACUUUUCAAAGAUGUAUGAUGGCUAUAUUCUCUUACUUUUCUGAAAAGAUUGUUGUGGUUUUCAUGGAUGACUUCUCUGUUUCCGGGUCUUCCUUUGACGAUUGCCUCAGCAACCUUGAUCGAGUCUUAUAGAGAUAUAAAGAAACUAAUCUUGUCUUGAAUUGGGAGAAGUGCCACUUUAUGGUUAAUGAAGGCAUCGUCUUAGGACAUAAGAUUUCUGAAAGAGGCAUUGAAGUCGAUAAGGCUAAGGUUGAUGCAAUCGAGAAGAUGCCAUACCCCACAGAUAUCAAAGGGAUAAGAAGUUUCCUUGGGCAUGCUUGUUUCUAUAGAAGGUUCAUCAAAGACUUCUCUAAGAUUUCUACACCUCUUACCAAUCUCUUAGAAAAGGAUAUUCCUUUUGUCUUUGAUGAUGAUUGUGAGGAAGCCUUCGAAAUACUUAAGAGGGCUUUGAUAACUGCACCUAUUGUUCAACCACCUGAUUGGAACUUGCCUUUUGAGAUCAUGUGUGACGCUAGUGAUUAUGCUGUUGGUGCUGUUCUAGGGCAAAGAGUUGACAAGAAGUUGAAUGUUAUUCACUACGCUAGUAAAACUCUAGACAGUGCCAGAGAAACUAUGCCACUAUGGAAAAGGAAUUUUUAGGAGUCGUGUUUGCAUGUGAAAAGUUCAGGUCUUACAUAGUUGAUUCCAAAGUCACUGAUCAUGCUGCUAUUAAGUACCUUAUGGAGAAGAAAGACGCUAAACCUAGACUUAUCAGAUGGGUUCUCUUGCUACAAGAAUUUGAUUUGCACGUUGUCGACACAAAGGGUGGUGAUAACUGAUACGCCUCAAACGUAUCUAUAAUUUUUGAUGGUUUCAUGUUGUUAUCUUGUCAACUUUGGAUGUUUUAUAUACCUUUUAUAUCUUUUUUGGGACUAACUUAUUAAUUCAGUGCCAAGUGCCAGUUCCUGUAUUUUCUGUGUUUUUGACUCUUUUCAGAUCUGAUUUUGGAACGGAGUCCAAACGGAAUAAAAUCCUCGAAAUAAAUUUUUCCAGAACAGAAGAAGAUCGGGGGACUCGAGGGCCAAGGCAGGAGGCCCACAGGGAGCCCACAAGCCCUGUUGCCACGGCCACCAGGCUUGUGGCCUCCCUGGUGCUCCCCUGCCCUAGCUCUUUGGCCUAUAUAUUCCCUAAUAUCCUAGAAAAAAAACCAGGGCGUCCAUGAAACCACUUUUCCGCCGCCGCAAGCUUCUGUUUCCGCGAGAUCUCAUCUGGAGACCCUUCCCGGUGCCCUGCCAGAGCGGACUUUGGAGCUGGAGGGCUUCUACAUCAACAUCAUUGCCUCUCCAAUGACUCGUGAGUAGUCCACUUCAGACCUACGGGUCCGUAGUUGUAAGUGCAUCUAGUGCCCCUUAGUGAUUUUGGUGGUUUCAAGACUUAUAGGUUAAGUAUCUAAUGUGUUUAUGAGUGUACACAGGACCUAUAAGUCAUUAAGGAGUUUGAGAUAUUUGAAGAAUAUCGACCCCUAAAAAUAUAUGUCUUUAGUUGAAGAAAUUGGUCUGAAGCUGAAGAAAUGAAUCACGAGGAAUCUGCGAUGAAAUUGAUAUUCCUCAUGAAGAUACUGAUAUUGAGAAGACCGGUGGUUCCUGAAGAAAAUCAUUCUGAAGAAUUUACACUUUCUGUUUUACUUUCUUCGCAUUUGAGUAAUAGGAACACCGUACUGUUAAAGGGGGUCGAAGUUACACUAUGGAAUGAAUUUCCUCAUGAUGCUCAACCCAAGCCUAAUCCUACCAAAAGCCUCAAGUGAGGAAUAUGAGUGACAUGAGGACUCUCACAGUUGAGGGUUCCGACCGUUUUGAUAGCCACGCCAAGUCAUUGGUCUUAUCCAUUCCAACGGUCAUAUUAUUUAAGGGCAUAAGUGUCAAAUCAUGUCAGGAUGCUCCCAGGCUAUAAAUAGCCACCCCCACAACCACUAGCUGGUUGGCUGCUCCGUUAGAAACUGACACUUGUCAUAAGAGCAACCCAAAUUCCUCAGAGCCUUCGAGAGUAAAUCAUCAGUGAGGAAAUACACCACCCACCGAAACCACAAACCAAACCUAGUGAUUAAGCAUCACCGAAGAAGUUGUUCCUGUGUGGGACUGAAGCCUUUUACCUUUGAGGACUGUGCAUCCUCCAGACGGUUAGGCAUCAUGGUCUAGAGCUUUCCAGCAGUCAAUUGUGGAUCGCCGGGUAACCAAGUUUGUGAGGGUUUGGAAGUCUGCCCUGAAGACUUACCACGAGUGUUGGGCGAGGACUGUGUGUCCUUAGCUCAAGGAGAAUACGGUAGCGACUGUGUGUCCCGGGACUGGGUGUCCUUUGGUUUCAAUACCAAGCCGCUCCAAACCAGAUGUACGACUGUCACAGCAGUUGGAACUGGGUCAUCAACGACUGUCUUCACUGAGAAACGAGUUCUAAUUCCUCAACUCUUUACUUUCCCGUAUUAUGUGUUGAUGACUUUGACUGUGACUGUUUGAAGAAUUUGCUGAAGACUUUCUCCGAAUUUCCUCAACCCCAAAUUCUUCACAUUAGUUAUUCCUCACCUGUAUUCUGCGUGCCUCCUCAGUGUGCAAUUUGUUUUCACAUUCUUCACUCUGAAAAACUGCUGUUGUGAAACUUUGCACUUCUGAUCCUUUACUGUUUUCGUUGUAAGUUAGUCAUCAGUGAGGAAUUUCCUCAAAAGGAAUUUCCUCAAUGAUGAAAUUCUAAAAAUCUCCUAUUCACCCCCUCUAGUCGAUAUAACGCACUUUCAAUUGGUAUUAGAGCAAGGUACUCCCUUGUUCUGUGUGAUUUUGGUUUAACCAUCUGGAGUUUUAGUUAUGUCGACUGCAGACAUGUUUAAGGUGACUGCAGCAUGUCCUACCUACGAAGGAAAGAACUUUCCCUUCUGGAAGAACAAAAUGCAAAUGCAUCUACAAGCUAUUGAUAAUGAUCACUGGUAUAUUGUGGAACAUGGAGUCCCCAUCAUCUCUGCCAGUGUCUCUGCUGCUGAUGUGAAGAAAUUCAAGCAACUCAAUUCUCAAGCGAAGAACAUCAUCUGUGGCCAUCUGAGCCCAGGCCAGUUUGGAAGAGUAAGUGCUUUGGGCUCUGCAACACUGAUCUGGGAGAGACUGUGCAAGGUAAAUGAAGGAGUAUCAACCCAACGUGACUCUCGUGUUAAUAUUCUUCGCAAUCUCUUCAAUCGCUUCAAGAGACAUGACAAUGAAAGCUGCCAAGACACCUUUGAUCGCCUCACUGACAUAUCAAAUGAACUGCAAGCAUUGGGAGCUCGAGACAUUACUGAUCACGAAGUUGUGAAGAAACUGCUGAGAUCCUUGGAUUCUUCAUUUGAUACUUUCGUUCUCAUGAUUCAAGAAAGACCAGAUUACAAGAUGCUUGAUCCAGCUGAUAUACUAGAAAGGCUAAAUACUCAUGAAUUCCAACUAGAAGAAAAGAGAGAUCUAUAUGGACCAAGCUAUUCCAAACCACGUGCACUGAAGGCUAGAGCGAUUUCCUCAUCUGAAGACGAAGACACAGAUGACAGUAUUUGUGACCCUGAAGAAUUUGGACAGGAGCUUGCAAUGCUCGUGAGGAAAUUCCAGAGAUUUACACGACGUGGUCAGUUCGGUAAAUCUUCAAGAAGAGACAUGAGGAAAUCAGAAUCUUCAUCUGAGGACUACAAGAAACGAACCUGUCACAAGUGCAAGAAAUCAGGUCAUUACAUUGCUGAUUGUCCCCGUUGGGGAAAGGAAUAAAAGAAGAAGAAAUACAAGGAUGACAGUUCUGGUGACUAAAGAAGAAGAAGAAAUCUUCGAAAUCCUCAUCUUCAAAGCCCUCAUCGCACAGGAAGACUAGUUUCUGAAAGUCUCGCGCACUUAUUGGCAAGGAAAUGGACUCCGAGGCAGAAUCAGAGGAAUGUGAUGAAGAAGAGGGUUCUGAUGAAGACUCGGAAUCCGGACAGGCUAGUCUUGCACUGGCAACCACUUUCGUGAGCAAGCCAAUCUUCAACUUUGAAGAAAAUGAUAGCACCAUCCUCACAGAUGACUAUGCUGAUGACUUCGCUCCAACCUUUUGCUUCAUGGCAAAAGGUUCAAAGGUAACAAAUAAUGCCUCCUCCUCUGAUUCAAGUGACUAUGAACCUGAUAAUUAUAAGAAACCCAGUUACAGUAAACUUGCUAUCAUUGCCACUAAACAACAAACUGCUCUGGAAAAGCUUCAGAAACUGCUAGACAAAAGUGAUGAUCUGUUGAAUGACGAAAUGAACCUUACCCAAAUCCUCACUGAUGACAUGAAAAGUCUUCAGUCUAGAUUUGAUAAUCUUCAGGAUCGUUAUGAUACACUCCUCACUGAUCAUGAGAAGCUUUCCUAUGAAUUUAUUCAAAGGAAGCUUGAUCUUGAGAAGCUGAGGAUGUCUCAUGAUGAUCUUCGGAUGGAAAAUGAUUCAUUACUAGCUCAACAGAUCAGCGCUAGUCAAGUUGAAUUUAUUCCUCCAUGUCUUAAAUGCAUUGAACGCGAAACUGCUAAUUCCUCACCAGAAUCAUCAAAUGCUACCAUUGCCACAAAUUCUUCAACUGCACCUGUUGUGUCUAUUUCCUCACUUGAGGAAAACACAAAUGUUACUGAUGAAAAUGCAGGGUUGAAGGAAUUGUACGUGACAGGCAUGUACAAAAGCCUCAAAGGACAUCAAACCCUUUGUGAUGUGCUCAAAAAGCAGAUCUUGAACAGGAACCCGAGGAAAGAAGGAAUUGCCUUUGAGAGGAAAUUAAAUGCUGAUGGAUCUUAUUGGAAACCUGAGCAGUAUCCCAAAACCUCAUGGGUUGCUGCUACUGGGCCUCCUUUGGAUCCAUCUAAUCUAACUGGAUUUUCAUGUGAAUUAUCCUAUUCCUCGGAUGAGUCAUUUGAUUCCAACUAUAAACUGUUCAAAAAUCAAUCUGGUGAAGUAUUUGCUCGAUAUGUUGGAACUAACUGCAGGAAUGGCUCUCCUCUGCGGAAAAUCUGGGUUCCCAAAAGCUGUCUUGAAAAUCUUCAGGUAAAUGUCCUCAUGACACCACAACUGAAGAAUCUGAACCCCAGAUCAAAUUCCUCAGGAGGACCAAAGUCUUCAAGAGGAUCAAAAUCCUCAACUGGUCAAAACUAUGCUCGUACCCGUGCUUAUGCGUCUAACAUGCAGGGAAACUACAAGGAAUAUGAAUAUGAGCGUUACUCCUCAAAUCAUUAUGUUCAUAAAUCCUCAAACCAGUUCUCUGCAUAUUCAUAUGAGUAGUUUAAUCCCCCUACUGUUAAGAGAAGUGCAUUGGCUUCAAUGCCACCUUUCUCAUAUGGUGCUCGCAGGAUGAUGAACGCUUUGCCACCCCUUCAGAUGUGGGUGGUGAAGAAAUCGAACUAAUCACUUCUGCAGGUCAGGUCUCCAGAUGAAAAUCAUCAUCUGAAGAAUUUGCUGGAGACCUGAGGAAAUGCUUGAUAGGACGCAAGCUAAUGAUUGAUGAAAUAGAAAUAUUUCACACGUCCUUACAUUUCUGUUAUGAUGAAAUCACUGAUCUGAUGAAGUUAGUAUCAUAUUCUUCAAAUCUGAAGCAUAUGAGAUGGUAAGCUGUACUAAUUCAUCUGCAGGAUGAGAAACCCAAGAAUACUGAGUGGUUCUUGAUAGUGGCUGCACACAUCACAUGACUGGUGAUAAAAGCUUACUGAUGAAUAUGCCACUAACUCCAUCACCUCUGAAGCAAAUCACAUAUGCUGACAAAGGUAAAAGCAAGGUAUUGGGACUUGGCAAAGUGGCUAUUUCCAAGGAUAGGCAUAUGGACAAAGUGAUGCUUGUUGAAUCCCUUGGUUUUAACCUUAUGUCAGUCUCGAUGCUUUGUGAUCUUGAUAUGAUUAUUAUCUUUGGUAGAUAUAGAUGUGUAGUCAUCAUGGAAUCUGACAAAUCCAAAGUCUUCGAAGGUGUAAGAAGAGGGGAUUUGUACAUUGUUGAUUUCUCUACAGGUCCUCAACCAGCCACUUGCUUACUAGCAAAAACCUCAGAAGGAUGGUUGUGGCACCGAAGACUAGUUCAUGCAGGCAUGAGGUAUUUGCACACGCUCGCGAAGAAGAAGCAUGUCAUCGGCAUCGAAUCAGUCAAAUUCCUCAAGGAUCAUCUCUGCGGAGCUUGUGAAUCUGGGAAAAUGACCAGAUCCAAGCAUCCCUCUAAGACUAUCAUGACCACUACACGUCCAUUCGAAUUGCUUCAUAUGGAUUUAUUUGGACCUACUCACUAUGCCACACUAACCAAUGCAGCAUCUUUAUAUGGCUUCGUCAUAGUUGAUGAUUAUUCCAGAUACACUUGGGUGCAUAUCAUAGUGUAUAAAACUGAAGUGCAGGAAAUCUUCAAACGAUUUUCUUCAAGGGCCUCGACGAACUUUGGCAUCAAGAUCAAACAUAUCAGGAGUGAUAAUGGAACCGAGUUCAGAAACACUGGUCUUGAUGAUUAUCUUGAUGAACUUGGUAUUACUCACGAAUUGUCUGCUCCUUAUACUCCUCAGGAGAAUGGUGUCGUCGAAAGGAAGAACUGGACUCUCGUUGAAAUGGCAAGAACUAUGCUUGAAGAAUAUCAGACUCCUCGUUGCUUUUGGCCUGAAGCAAUCAACACUGCAUGCCAUAUCAUCAACAGGGUAUAUCUUCACAAAUUCCUCAAGAAAACCUCAUAUGAACUCCUCACUGACAAGAAACCCAAUUUAAGUUAUUUCAAAGUCUUCGGUGCAAAAUGCUGGAUUAGAGAUCCUCACCAUAGCUCAAAAUUUGCACCAAAGCACAUGAAGGUUUUAUGCUCGGUUAUGGAAAGGACUCGCACACUUACAGAGUCUUCAACAACUAUCACUACAAAGUUGUUGAGACUAUAGAUGUGCGGUUCGAUGAAACUAAUGGCUCGCAAAGAGAGCAAUUGCCUUCUGAUCCAGAUAAACUGUCUGCUGAGGAAGCUAUAAAGCUUAAGCCUACUGAAGACAUUGUCCCCACUGAGGAAAUUGGUGAAGAAACGAUCCCCAUCGCUGAUAAAGACCAAGAAGAUGCUCCUGAGGAAAUUGCACCAGCACCACUUCCUCAGCCCAGACUAAAUCCUCAACCAGCUCAUCCGAGGAUUGCAAACGAAGUAGAACUUGACAAAAUCCUCAACGACAUCAACGCACCAGGUCCUCUCACUCGCUCAAAAGCUUCACACUUAGUUAACUUUUGUGGGCACUUUUCCUUUGUAUCCAUCACAGAACCCUCAAAAGUUGCUGAGGCUUUUCUGGAACCGGAGUGGAUCCAAGCUAUGCAAGACGAACUUCUUCAAUUCAAGCUGAAUGACGUAUGGGAGCUCGUCAAACGACCAGAUCCUCGCAAGCACAACAUCAUCGGAACCAAGUGGAUUUUCCGAAACAAGCAAGAUGAGGACGGUCAGGUGGUGAGGAACAAGGCACGACUUGUAGCCCAAGGCUACACCCAGGUUGAAGGAAUAAAUUUCGAUGAAACUUUUGCACCUGUUGCUAGACUUGAAGCUAUUCGAAUACUACUUGCUUAUGCUAAUCAUCAUAACAUCACCUUAUAUCAAAUGGAUGUGAAAAGUGCAUUCCUCAAUGGUAAGCUUGAGGAAGAAGUAUAUGUUGCUCAGCCCCCAGGUUUUGAGUAUCCAAAGAAUCCAGACAAAGUCUUCAGACUCAAAAAGGCUCUUUAUGGCCUCAAGCAAGCCCCUCGGGCAUGGUAUGAUACAUUGAAGGAAUUCCUCAUGAAGAAAGGCUUCAAACCUGGUUCACUCGAUCCAACUCUUUUCACAAAAUCCUAUGAUAAUGAGCUGUUUGUAUGUCAAAUAUAUGUCGAUGAUAUCAUAUUUGGCUGUACUGACAAAAGAUACAGUGAUGAAUUUGCCUACAUGAUGAGUGAAGAAUAUCAGAUGUCCAUGAUGGGGGAGCUGAAAUUCUUCUUAGGUCUUCAAAUUCGUCAACAAAGCAAUGGAAUCUUCAUAUCACAGGAGAAAUACCUCAAGGAUGUUCUGAGGAAAUUCGACAUGCAUGAAUGCAAAGGUGCCAAGACUCCAAUGCCUACCAACGGCCACCUCGGCAGUGAUGAAGAUGGUAAAGAUUUCGAUCAGCAUGUAUAUCGUUCUAUGAUUGGCUCUUUAUGGUAUCUAUGUGCAUCUAGGCCAGAUAUAAUGCUUAGUGUUUGCAUGUGUGCACGUUUUCAAGCAAAACCGAAGGAAUCACACCAUAAGUCUGUGAAACAUAUUCUUCGAUACUUAGCUCACACACCAACACUAGGGUUAUGGUAUCCCAAGGCCUCCAAUCUUCAUCUGGUAGGGUAUUCUGAUUCAGACUAUGCUGGUGACCGUGUGGAUCGCAAGUCAACUUCUGGCACAUGCCAUUUCCUCGGAAGAUCACUAGUUUGCUGGUCCUCAAAGAAGCAGAACUGCGUAUCACUCUCCACUGCCGAAGCUGAGUACAUUGCUGCUGGUUCUUGCUGUGCUCAAUUGCUAUGGAUGAAGCAAACCCUCAAGGACUACGACAUCAACAUGAAGAAUGUGCCUCUCUACUGUGACAAUGAGAGUGCUAUCAAGAUUGCAUACAACCCAGUACAUCACUCGAAGACCAAGCACAUCCAUAUUCGUCAUCAUUUUCUUCGGGACCAUGUCCUCAAGGGCAAUAUCCUCAUCGACCAUGUGAAGACUAAUGAUCAACUGGCAGAUAUCUUCACUAAGCCCUUGGAUGAGAAAAGGUUUUGCAAGUUGCGGUGUGAGCUAAAUAUCUUAGAGUCUUCAAAUAUUUUGUAAAAACAUGCACACAUCCUAACACUUAUGCAAAGUUGAUGACUUAGAUGUGCAACACAUGAUGAAUCGAUUUUCUUCAACUGAUGAAGAAUGUCACUCUGAAUGUGAAGAAAUUAGCGAAUAAAUUGAUUCUCAGGGCCCUAUGACAAUUGUACGCGGCGUCUGUAAUCAACAUUCUUAUAUGGUGGGUAACGCCACCGUCCAAUGUGAAAUUCCUCAAGUUGAUUUUCUUCAAAUGAUCAAUUUCCUCACAAUAUGUUUUUCUUCAAAACAGCUAUUCUUCAUUGUGAUGAUUUAUUAUAAAAAUCCUCAAAAACACUUGAAGACUUUCAUUUGACUAGAUAGACUGUGAUUUCUAGUCCUCAACAACAUUCACUUAUUGCUAUUUCUUCAAGUUGAUGUUUCUGCUAAGUGAAUGUGAUCGGACCCUACUUUCCCUCUAUGCUAUACUCAUCCAGUCUAUUCAAUUCUCCAUAUGCGUUCUACUUGACACUUUGUUCAAAAUCCUCACUGCGUCCUUGUCAGCUGAUGAUUUUGUAACGAAAAUCCUCAAAUCUUCAAAAAUUGUUUCUUUAAAGACACAAUAACUGAACCCCCACUUCCCACGAUUGGAUAACUACGAUCUCCACUAUCUCCACCGCAUCGUACGGGAGCUACACGUGUCCUGCGGAGACGUAGAGGCAGGGGCUAUUUGGUCCGACAUUCUCGCGCCAACAGUAACUUUUGGCUAUAAAUAUGUCCUUAUCCCCCUCGGCAUCCUCUUCUUCGCCUCAUCGCUUUCCUGCCACAGCACACUCCACCGAACCCUAGCGCCACCGCUGGUAGUCUCGUCGCCGGUGAGGAAGAGCUUCACUGCCUUGACUUCUCCGUCGCUAGAACCACGCCAGAGUCGGACCAUCUUCGUCCGCCGCCUCCGUAGACGUCCUCUAUCACAGAGUUAGGGUGCAUUGGACACUCGAACGAAGAGCCUCUGUACACACAACUUUCUGUGCUCUUCGUGCGCACCUUCUAGGGUAAAUAUAUCCCAUAUUUACAGCAAGUUAGAUCUAAAAUUUUAUAUGUUCUAUGUGAAAUCUGUUUUUCCUCAAGAUACGAUGCGCACUUGAUUCCUCAAACACUACCUAUCACCACAAUCAUUGAUGAACUAUGCUAAGCAUCUAAGAUUUUCACGAGAUUCCUCAAUUGUGCGAAUUUUCGGAUCUGUACAACUCUGGAACCCAAGAACAGUAUGCUUAGGCAAAUUCCUCAACCACUGGUUAUAUUCCUCAAACCAUCAAAAUUUUACGUUUUCUUCAAAUCUGAGAAUGCAUAUGACCUCUCCAAAUUCCUCGCAACUAUACUCUGUUCACAGGUACACACAUGUCAGCUGAUGAAUCUCUCGGUUCUCAUCACAUUAACUCAUUUGCAGCGUUUCUCGAAGAAACUCUUCAAGGCUCAACAGAAUCCUCAAGAGUUCAAACUCAUCAGCAAAAUUCUCAACUGAAGAAAAUGGAGGAAGACAGAAAACAGAAGGGAGGAAAGAAACUUGAGCAAAACACAGCUGUUGAUAUCCCUGAGGACAUUUACUUGGACUAUUGCACGCCUGAUGAAAAUGAGACAAUGGCCAAGAGAAAGAUACGGCUGCAGAAGAUUGAACGCCGAUGGGCGAAGGAAUGGAAGGAGUACAGGUUUGUGACUCCCAAAUAUGCGAAGAAAUUCGCUCUGAAGCCUCCUGGCAGAAGGGCCCCACUUGAGGAUCAUCAAGUAGCACAUCUCUCAAGCCUCAUGACCAUUGAUGACUAUCCAGAUGAGAAAGAAAAGCAUCUGGCCAAGCUCAAGAAACAGGCAGAAGCUGCAGUGAAGAAAUUUAAUGAAUCCUCAGUUGUUGCCUCAGGUGCUGCUAAUUCCUCAGCUGCAGAAAUCUCAGGCUCAGAAAUUCCUCAAAUGCAGUCCGUGCCAUCAAAGCCAAGGGCUCCAAAGCCUCAAGAAAAGUCUGCUCAGGCUUCUGUCACAAAACCCUCAGCACCAAAACCCUCAUUACCAAAACCUUCAACACCAAAACCAUCAGCGCCAAAGCCCUCAGCACGAAUCUCGUCAGUACCAAAAUCCUCAGCUCCACCUCCAAAGCCUUAAGAGAAACCAGUACAGAAGCAAGUCGUGAAGCCUACGACCGCCAGCUCCAGCUCCUCACUCCCAGCUGCAACCAGCUCAGAGACAAAUCUUCAACACCUCCUGCGAAGACUUUGGUAACUGCUGAACGUGCACCUCUGCCUAGCCCUAGCAAAAUCAUCACAGUCCCGUGUGCAUUAGAGGGAAGUGAUGAAUUUGAUGAUGAAACCCUACAAGCCAUCAUCAGAAACAAGCAGGAAAGAGUAGCUCAAGCAUCAGGCAGUGCCAUUCCUCUAGCCAUGACCCCAAGGUCCUCCUUGACUACAUCAACAUCUGGUAUGAGGACCCAAAUACUCCGCUUGAUGAUUUGAAACUUCCCCCUGGCAUUAGCCACAUUGUGGCCACUUUCAUCAAUGAAGCCAAGUGGAAAGAACAGUAGGCCAUGCAGGCCAAAGUUGCAAAGAUUAAAAAGGAGAAAUUCCUCAAGCAGAAUCUUCUCAAAUUAACUCCCGAUGCACUGGUGUCAACACAGGCAGAGCUGAAGAAAUUGACUGACAAGUACUCCAAGUUGUCAGAUCGCAAAAGCCUCAAGAGUAAUUUCAUCAAGCUAGCCACCAGUGUUGUUGAUGAAUACAAUAAGAAGGCCGCACCCCCAGCACCAACUUCUCAGCCCCUGAUUGAGGAGCCAGCAGAUGAAUCUCCUCAUGAUGAGGAAACUCCUCAAGCUGAGGAAGUACACCAAGAAAGCCGUGUGGAUGAACCGGCUAUUGAAGAAAUCAUCAUGGAAACUCCUGCUGAUGAAUUUACUGCAGCUGAUGAGACUGCCCCUGAACCAGUUGCUUCGCUAAAGCAGGCUGAUGACUCUGUUCCAGCUGGUUCCUCAAUACCAGCUGAAGAAUCUGUAGAGAGAACCCCUUCACCAAAAGCUUCAAAGGUGAAGAAGAUGAUUCCGUCUGCAUCAGACGUGGAGAAAACAAGGGCUGCUGAAAAGGAAGCCAAAAAGAGAAAGGCCUACUCAGCAGAAGAAGAAACAGAGGCGAAGCGCCUCAAAGCACUUGAAGAAUCUGCUCCUCAGGACCCUGUGCCCCUGAAUGUCGCUCCUUCCUAUGAGAUUGUCAUCAUUGAUGAUCCAGCGAAAAAGGCAGAUGAGGAAAUGAAAGAUGUCGCCCCUGAGGAACACAUUGAUGAGGAAAUUCAGAUAGACGACAGUCCUCAACCUCUCAUUCCUCAGACAGAAAAUGUUCAAGCAUCAGCUGCACCAGCUGAUGAAAUUGCCUCUGCGACAAAGCCAGCUGAGGAAAAACAAGCUGAAAAUCCUCAAGCUGACGAAAUUCAACACUCUGAGCACACUCCUCAAGAUGAGGAACAGGCUGAUCCAACUCCUCCAACUGAGAAAGAAGCAGAAAUUCCUCAGCCUGAAGCUCAGCCAGAGCAAGCACCAUCUCCUCAGCCUGAAGUACCAGCUGCUGAAAUUCCUCACCCUGAGGAAAAUGAUGAAGAGAAUGCACCUGCCCAAGACGAUGCAUUCAUUGUGCUCAACCCAGAGACUGCUAUUGUUGUCUCCCCUCCUAUUCCUCAGCAAAAUCUUCAGCCAAUUCAGCAUCAACCAUUCUCCAAGCGUCCAAAGUUUCAGAAGGAGAAUUUCUUUGAAGAACGCAUGCACUUCAUCGGAGAGAACCCCUAUGACAAGCCUCAAAUGAGGCAUCUGAAGUUUUGGACUAGGACUCAGAUGAACUACUAUGCCUCUGUGCUCUGUGGACGAAACAAGAUAUUCCAGCACAGGCAUAUUCCUUGUGUUGAGCUUGAAGCAAUACCUUGCCUAGAGCCAGUUCUCAGUGUACUCCAUGAUGCAGGUUUGCUCCCAAUGUGGUCCGACAUAUCUGACUGGAACAGCGAGUUAAUUCUUCAGUUCUAUGCCACUCUUCACAUAUCUGGCAACCGUGAAGACAUCAACACUUGGGUGUUUGAUUGGAUGUCACAAAACACUCACUACAAGGCUCCUGCUACUGAACUCCUCAGAGAACUGCCCGUACCAAUUCCCUCAGAUGAGGCCGUGAAGCUUUAUGGUGAGCGUGAGCUGCCAAAUGGAAUGAUGGAAGUCCUCAUGAAGCCUUUGGCUGAAGGAAAAUCUUCAAGAACAACCUUCCUCGUCCACGAGCUCAAGUACACACCCAGGUCUGUCUACAGAAUCCUCUGUAGUGUGCUCGCACCGAUCAAAGGCCAUGACGAUGAAGGUGUUGUAGGCCUCUUGAAGAAUAUCCUCUUCAACAUCAUUCAUGGUAUUCCUAUCAAUAUCCAUGAUUUCUUCUUGAGGACUUUGGCCGACAAUCCUAUGUGCCCUUUUGAUCACAAUAUAUAUGCCCCGUGGAUCAUGAGAUUCAUCAGGACAAGGACAGGCAUCAACUUUCACGCUGAUUGUCAAAACCAUGUUGGUUAUAUGCCUCCUAUCCGGGUCAACAAGAAGACUUUCGAGCCCAUUGAAGGAAAAGGAAAAUCAGUGAUUGAAGAAGGCAGUAGGCCCCUUGAUGGCUAGUUCAGAGAGCCAGAAGCUUAUUCUUCAUGGGACGAUAUUGGGACUCGUCCAGCAAGCCCCGUUCCUCCUCGCGUGCUGACUACCAGAGAGCUCCUCCUCAGUCUUCACCAGAAGGUGGAUCGCAACCACAAAUGGGUCAAACGCUAGUUUCGUGCCAUUGUGAAAACCCUCACUGAAACACAGAACUCUGUGAAGAUUAACCAUCACUAUAUGCAUGAGGUUUUUGAUCGCACCUGGGCUACACUUGCACAUCUGAAGACUCAGACUGAGCUUGAAGAAAUGGACUUUGAGCGAGACUUUGACUGGUCGUGGCCUCCCAAGAAGAAGUUCAGGCCCAUUCCAGUGCCAGACCUUGAAGAUGGCUCCUUUUCUUCAUUCCGCACUGCUGAAUGUGAUGAAGAAUAGCUUGACACUGCUACCGGCCCAAGGAAGAAGACUACUCCCAAGAAGCAUCACGACUCUUCCUCAACCGCCAAGAAGUGAAGUCUUCACGGGCGUUAGUCCUCAGUUUGUCCCUUUUUGUCAGUUGAUGACAAAGGGGGAGAAACUCGAGAGUUAGUCUUCAAGCGGGAUAUUUUUUGGGGCUUAUAAACUAUAUUUAAGUUACAAACUCUUGGCUCUUCUGAAGUUUUUAUGUAAUGAGUUGUAACUUAAGCCCGAUGGUACUCUGACGCUUUUGAACGUUUUUCUUCGCAUGCUUAUUCCUCAAGUUUUAAUGCACGCAUGCUGGAAUUCGUCAGAUACCAUUUUUCAUCAUGCAUCUUCAUUUUCUUCAUAUGAUAUGUUACAUGUAUGCAUGAUUUACAAGACUCAGGGGGAGAUCUCCAUGAUACAAAUCAUCAAUGUGCAUUUGCUGUGAAAAGCAAAAUCCUCAAGAUAUGCACAUCUUCAGGGGGAGUCUCUCUGAAACUUCUUUUAAAAUUCCUCAAAUGAGUAUUUACACUUCAUAUUUUUUAUCCCCGUUGAAGACUUAACCUAAUUGUCAUCAACCACCAAAAAGGGGGAGAUUGUAAGUGCAUCUAGUGCCCCUUAGUGAUUUUGGUGGUUUGAAGACUUAUAGGUUAAGUAUCUAAUGUGUUUAUGAGUGUACACAGGAUUUAUAAGUCAUUAAGGAGUUUGAGAUAUUUGAAGAAUAUCGACCUGUAAAAAUAUAUGUCUUCAGUUGAAGAAAUUGGUGUGAAGCUGAAGAAAUGAAUCGCGAGAAAUCUGCGAUGAAAUUGAUAUUCCUCAUGAAGAUACUGAUAUUGAGAAGACCGGUGGUUCCUGAAGAAAAUCAUUCUGAAGAAUUUGAAGCAUGAAGAUUUACACUUUCUGUUUUACUUUCUUCGCAUUUGAGUAAUAGGAACACCGUACUGUUAAAGGGGGUCGAAGUUACACUAUGGAAUGAAUUUCCUCAUGAUGCUCAACCCAAGCCUAAUCCUACCAAAAGCCUCAAGUGAGGAAUAUGAGUGACAUGAGGACUCUCACAGUUGAGGGUUCCGACCGUUUCGAUAGCCACGCCAAGUCAUUGGUCUUAUCCAUUCCAACUGUCAUAUUAUUUAAGGGCAUAAGUGUCAAAUCAUGUAGGGAUGCUCCCAGGCUAUAAAUAGCCACCCCCACAACCACUAGCUGGUUGGCUGCUCCUUUAGAAACUGACACUUGUCAUAAGAGCAACCCAAAUUCCUCAGAGCCUUCGAGAGUAAAUCAUCAGUGAGGAAAUACACCACCCACCGAAACCACAAACCAAACCUAGUGAUUAAGCAUCACUGAAGAAGUUGUUCCUGUGUGGGACUGAAGCCUUUUACCUUUGAGGACUGUGCAUCCUCCAAACGGUUAGGCGUCAUGGUCUAGAGCUUUCCAGCAGUCAAUUGUGGAUCACUGGGUGACCAAGUUUGUGAGGGUUUGGAAGUCUGCCCUGAAGACUUACCACGAGUGUUGGGCGAGGACUAUGUGUCCUUAGCUCAAGGAGAAUACGGUAGGGACUGUGUGUCCCAGGACUGGGUGUCCUUUGGUUUCAAUACCAAGCCGCUCCAAACCAGAUGUACGACUGUCACAGCAGUUGGAUCUGGGUCAUCAACGACUGUCUUCACUGAGAAACGGGUUCUAAUUCCUCAACUCUUUACUUUCCCGUAUUAUGUGUUGAUGACUUUGACCGUGACUGUUUGAAGAAUUUGCUGAAGACUUUCUCCGAAUUUCCUCAACCCCAAAUUCUUCACAUUAGUUAUUCCUCACCUGUAUUCUGCGUGCCUGCUCACUGUGCAAUCUGUUUUCACAUUCUUCACUCUGAAAAACUGCUGUUGUGAAACUUUGCACUUCUGAUCCUUUACUGUUUCCGCUAUAAGUUAGUCAUCAGUGAGGAAUUUCCUCAAAAGGAAUUUCCUCAGUGAUGAAAUUCUAAAAAUCUCCUAUUCACCCCCCCCUCUAGUCGAUAUAGCGCACUUUCAGUAGUUAGUAGCUAGAUGGCUUCUUCUCUCUCUUGGAUCUUCAAUACAAAGUUCUCCAUGAUCUUCAUGGAGAUCUAUCCGAUGUAAUCCUCUUUGGUAGUGUGUUUGUCGAGAUCCGAUGAAUUGUGGAUUUGCGAUCAGAUUAUCUACGAAUUAUAUUUGAGUUUUUGCUGAUUUGUUAUAUGCAUGAUUUGAUAUCCUUGUAAGUCUCUGUGAGUCUUGGGUUUUGUUUGGCCAACUAGAUCUAUGAUUCUUGCAAUGGGAGAAGUGCUUGGUUUUGGGUUCAUACCGUGCGGUGACCUUUCCCAGUGACAGAAGGGGCUGCAAGGCACGCAUCGUGUUGUUGCCAUCAAGGGUAACAAGAUGGGCUUUCAUCAUAGAUUUGAGAUUGUCCAUCUACAUCAUGUCAUCUUGCUUAAGGCGUUACUCUGUUCUUAUGAACUCAAUACACUAGAUGCAUGCUGGAUAGCGUUCGACGUGUGGACUAAUAGUAGUAGAUGCAGAAAGUAUAUCUACUUGUUUUGGACGUGAUGACUAUAGAUAUGAUCAUUGCCAUAGAUAACGUCAUGACUUUGCGCAAUUCUAUCAAUUGCUCGACAGUAAUUCGUUAACCCACCGUCUACUUGCUUUAAUGAGAGAAGCCACUAGUGAACACUUCGCCCCCCGGGUCUAUUCACAACUAUCAACUCAGCUUUUACUUUUACUUUGCUCUGUUUACUUUUUGCUUUCAGUUCUCACUUUGCAAACAAUCUAUAAGGGAUUGACAACCCCUUCAUAGCGUUGGGUGCAAGCGCUUUGUGUUUGUGCAGGUACUUGUGACUUGACGCGAUCCUCCUACUGGAAUGAUACCUUGGUUCUCAAACUGAGGGAAAUACUUACCGCCGCUGUGCUACAUCACCCUUUCCUCUUCAAGGGAACACCAACGCAAGGCUUCAAGGCCGCGGGGGAAUCAUUUGCAUAUUUGCCAAGGAAAUCCCUAUAGGUGUAGCCAAGCAGCAGAAGGAUUUCUCGCGCCGUUGCCGGGGAAGGUAUUUUGUUGCAGUAGCAGAAGGAUUUAUGGCGCCGUUGCAGGGGAGAGAUCAAGUCAAGAUCUAUCCAAGUAGGUGUCACAAACUCAUCUCUUGCAUUUACCUUUUUUGCCAGUUGCCUCUCGUUUUCUUCUCCCCCACUUCACAUUUGCCGUUUUCAUUUGCCUUUCUCCUUUGCCGUUUUCAUUUUCCUUUCUCCUUUGCCGUUUUCUUUUGCCUUUCGCCGUUUUCCUUUGCCAGUUUUCUUGCUUGCUUGUGUUCUUGUUUGUUUGUUGAAGUCAUCAUGGCUGAAAACACCAAACUUUGCGACUUCUCGAAUACUAAUAAUAAUGAUUUUAUUAGUACUCCGAUUGCUCCCGCCACUAGUGCGGAAUCAUAUGAAAUCAAUGCUGCCUUGCUGAAUCUUGUUAUGAAAGAGCAAUUUUCUGGCCUUCCUAGUGAAGAUGCCGCAUCCCAUAUCAAUACUUUCAUUGAACUUUGCGAUAUGCAAAAGAAGAAAGAUGUGGAUAAUGAUGUUGUUCAAUUGAAGCUUUUCCGUUCUCUUUGCGAGAUCGUGCGAAAACUUGGUUUUCUUCUUUGCCUAAAAAUAGUAUCGAUUCUUGGAAUAAGUGCAAAGAUGCUUACAUAUCCAAUUAUUUUCCGCCGGCUAAGAUUAUCUCUCUCCGUAACGAUAUCAUGAAUUUCAAGCAACUUGAUCAUGAACAUGUUGCACAAUCUUGGGAGAGGAUUAAGUUAAUGAUUAGAAAUUGUCCCUCUCAUGGCUUGAGUUUGUGGAUGAUUAUACAAAUUUUUACGCUGGUUUGAGUUUUGCUUCUCGCAAUAUCUUCGACUCUGCCUCAACUGGAACGUUCAUGGAAAUCACGUUAGGAGAAGCUACAAAACUCCUAGACAAUAUCACGACCAACUACUCUCAGUGGCACACUGAAAGGUCACCUGCUACCAAAAAGGUACACGCUAUAGAAGAAAUUAACUCACUUAGUGCUAAGUUGGACGAGUUGAUGAAUUUGGUUUCUAGUAGAAAUGCUCCUUUAGAUCCUAAUGGCAUGCCACUAUCUUCCUUGAUUGAGAGUAGCAACGCUAGUUUGGACGUUAAUUUUGUUGGUAGGAACAAUUUUGGCAACAACAAUGCUUUUAGAGGAAACUAUGUUCCUAGGCCUUUUCCUAGUAACUCCUCUAACAAUUAUGGCAAUUCCUACAACAACACUUAUGGAAAUCAUAACAAAUUACCCUCUGAUUUAGAGAGUAAUAUCAAAGAGUUCAUCAACUCUCAAAAGAUUUUCAAUGCGUCCAUAGAGGAAAAACUACCCAAAAUAGACGAUUUGGCUAAGAGCGUUGAUAGGAUGUCUUGUGAUAUUGAUGCUUUGAAAGUUAGAUGUGCUCCUCCCAAGGUUAACUUGGAUGAAACUUUAAAAGCUAUGCGGGUCUCCAUGAAUGAGAGCAAAGAAAGAACCGCCCAAAUUCGCGCUAAGCAUGAAUGGUUUAAAAGGGUGUGUUCUAGUGAUGCAAAUCACGAAGAUCUUAAAGUGCUUGUUGUGACUCCUCUUGAAUCUUUGUUUUUGCGUGUCAAACCUAUUGAUGAAGGGGCUGGAUAUGAAUCCACUUUGGUUGAAAAACACCCCAAUGAUUCAGAGUCCACCUAUCUUGGUGAUAAAGGUGUGGAGAGUGGAGUAGAAGAAAUCAAAAUAUUGGGUAGUAAUGAAACUCCCACUUUUGACUUCAAGGAAUUCAAUUAUGAUUGUUGCUCAUUGUUUGAAUGCAUUUCCUUGAUGCAAUCCAUUGCAAACUCUCCACAUGCUUAUAGGCAAAGCAAAGUCUUUACCGCGCAUAUCGUAGAUGCUAUGAUGAAAUCUCUUGAAGGGAAACUCGAAUUAGAAGUCUCUAUACCUAGAAAACAUCAUGAUGAGUGGGAACCUACUAUCAAAAUCAAAAUCAAAAACUAUGAAUGCAAUGCUUUGUGUGAUUUGGGUGCUAGUGUUUCCGCGAUUCCAAAGUAUUUAUGUGAUAUUCUUGGUUUUCAUGAGAUUGAAGAGUGUUCUCUUAAUUUGCAUCUUGCGGAUUCUACUGUCAAGAAACCCAUGGGAAGGAUCAAUGAUGUUCUUAUUGUUGCAAAUAAGAACUAUGUACCCGUGGAUUUCAUUGUACUGGACAUAGAUUGCAAUCCUUCAUGUCCCAUUAUUCUUGGUAGACCUUUCCUAAGGACUAUUGGUGCUAUCAUCGAUAUGAAGGAAGGGAAUAUUUGAUUUCAAUUUCCUCUAAAGAAGGGCAUGGAGCAUUUUCCUAGAAAGAAAAUAAGAUUGCCUUAUGAAUCCAUGAAGAGGGCUACUUAUGGUUUGAGCACCAAAGAUGACUAUACGUGAUUCCAUCACCUUAUGCCUAGCUAAGGGCGUUAAACAAUAGCGCUUGUUGGGAGGCAACCCUACGGAUCUAUCCUUUUUCUUUCUGUUUUGUGUUUUCCACACUUUCAUAAUUCUUUUAUGAUUGUGUUUUUUGUGUUUCUUUUACGUUUGUGCCAAGUAAAACCGUUAUGAUUAGUCUUGGGCAUGAUCGUUUGAUCAUGCUGGAAAAGACAGAAACUUUCUGCUCAUGAAAAUAAUUUUCAUUUUUUAUCUGUGAAAGAUUUUGAGUUGAUUCUUUUUGCUGCUGAUUGCUACGCAAAUUUUUCAGAAUUUGUGAAGUACCAGAAGUAUAUGAAGUAUACAGAUUGCUACACACUGGUCUGUUGUUAACAGAUUCUGUUUUUGUUGAGUUGGUUGCUUAUUUUGAUGAAACUAUGGAUAGUAUCGGGGGGUAUUAGCCAUGGAAGAUUGAAAAUACAGUAACCCAACAUCAACAUAAGUAGAAUUUAAGUUUGCUACAGUACCUAAGGAAGUGGUGAUUUUCUUUCUUAUACUAAUGAUAUCACGAGUUUCUGUUUAAGUUUCAUGUUGUGAAGUUUUCAAGUUUUGGGUGAAGUUCUUAUGGACAAAGAUAUAAAGAGUGGCAAGAUCUCAAGCUUGGGGAUGCCCAAGGCACCCCAAGUUGAUUCAAGGAUGCCUAAAAAGCCUAAGCUUGGGGAUGCCCCGGGAAGGCAUCCCCUCUUUCGUCUUCAAUCCAUCGGUAACGUUACUUGGGGCUAUAUUUUUAUUCACCACAUGUUAUGUGUUUUGCUUGGAGCGUCUUGUAUCAUGGGAGUCUUUUAUUUUUGUUGUGUCACAAUCUUCCUUGUUGCACACCUAGAGAGAGAGACAUGCACUCACCAUGAUUUUGUCGAGCUUCACUUAUAUCCUUUGGUUAGACAAUUCAGCUCACAUGUGUUUCACUUAUAUCUUUUGAGCUAGUUGAUUUUGCUCUGUGUGUUUCACUUCUAUCUUUUAGAGCACGGAAGCGCGUGGCGUGGUAGUUGAUCUAUGCUAUGAAAGUAGUCUCAAAAGGGGCAGUUAUCCAAAGGGAUAUGAAAACUUUCACCUUCAUGUGCAUUGAGUAGUUAGAGAAGUUUGAUUCAUCUCAAUUAGUUUUGAGUUGUGGUUGUGGUAAUAUUGAAGUUAUACUAGUAAGGUGUUGUGGAUCUAGAAAUACUUGUGUUUUAGUUAGUGAUUCCCGUAGCAUGCACGUAUGGUGAACCGCUAUGUGAUGAAGUCUGAGAAUGAUUAGUUUAUUGAUUGUCAUCCUUUAUGUGGCGUUCGGGAUCGCGGGAUGGUUUAUACCUACCAACCCUUCCCCUAGGAGUAUGCGUUGAAUGCUUUGUUUCGAUUACUACUAAAACUUUUGCAACACGUAUAUGAGUUCUUCAUGACUAAUGUUGAGUCCAUGGUUUAGAUGCACUUUCUCCUUCAACCAUCACUAUCUUCUUUAGUGCCGUGCAACUUUCGCCGGUACAUAAAACCCACCAUUAGCCUCCCUCAAAACAGCCACCCUACCUACCUACUAUGCCUUUUUCAAAGCCAUUCCGAGAUAUAUUGCCAUGCAACUACCACCAUGACAUGUGCCACUGCUUCUACAUUGCCAUUGCAUGAUCAUAAGAUAGCUAGCAUGAUGUUUCCAUUGAUGUCUAUGACAUGCUAGAUCAUUGUCACGGUACACUACCGAAGGCAUUCCAUAUAGAGUCAUCAUUGCUCUAAGUUUUGAGUUGGAAGUGUGAUGAUCAUCAUUGAUGGAGCAUUGUCCCAUGUGAGGAAAUAAAAGAGGCCAAAGAUGCCCACCAAAAUAUAAAAAAAUAAAAAAGAGGCCAAAGAUCCCACCAAAAAAUUAGAGAAAAAGAGAGAAGGGACAAUGCUACUAUCUCCUUUCCACAGUUGUGCUUCAUAUUUAGCACCGUGAUCUUCAUGAUUGAGAGUCUCUCGUUUUGUCACCACCAUAUAGCUAGUGGGAAAUUUUCAUUAUAUAACUUGGCUUGUAUAUUCCAAUGAUGGGCUUCCUCAAAAUUUCCUUAGGUCUUGGUGAGCAAGCAAGUUGGAUGCACACCCACUAGUUUACUUUAAGAGCUUUCACAUACUCUUAGCUCUAGUGCAUCAUUUGUAUGGCAAUCCCUACUCAUUCACAUCGAUAUCUAUUGAUGAGCAUCUCCAUAGCUCAUUGAUAUGCCUAGUCAAUGUGACCAUCUUCUCCUUUUUUGCCUUGCAACCUCCACCACACUCCAUUCCACUUAUAGUGCUAAAACCAUGGCUCACGCUCAUGUAUUGCGCGAGAGUUGAAAAGGUUUGAGAAAGUAAAGGUGUGAAAACAAUUACUUGGCCAAUACCAAUGUUGUGCAUGAUUUAAAUUCAUUGUGCAAGGAUGAUAAAGCAUAGCCAGACUAUAUGAUUUUGUAGGGAUAACUUUCUUUUGGCCUUGUUAUUUUGAAAGUUCAUGAUUACCUUGCUAGUUUGCUUGAAGUAUUAUUGUCUCCACGUCAAUAGCAAACUAUUGCUUAGAAUCUAACGGAUCUGAACAUUCAUGUCACAUAAGAGGAGUUACAAAGGACAUCUAUUCUUGGUAGCAUGAAAGCAUCAAAAAUUCAUUCUUUAUCACUUCCCUACUCGAGGACGAGCAGGAGUUAAGCUUGGGGAUGCUUGAUAGGUCUCACAUUUAUCUAUAAUUUUUGAUGGUUUCAUGUUGUUAUCUUGUCAACUUUGGAUGUUUUAUAUACCUUUUAUAUCUUUUUUGGGACUAACUUAUUAAUUGAGUGCCAAGUGCCAGUUCUUGUUUUUUCUGUGUUUUUGACUCUUUUCUGAUCUGAUUUUGGAACGGAGUCCAAACGGAAUAAAAUCCCCGAAAUAAAUUUUUCCAGAACAAAAGAAGAUCGGGGGACUUGAGGGACAAGGCAGGAGGCCCACAGGGAGCCCACAUGUGACAGCCCGAGACCGACGUUCCAGAAGAUUCCCCCUUCUAUUUCGUUUCCGUCGUGUGUUAGUUUUAUUUGUUGCAUCAUCAUGUAGUUUGCAUCAUGGCAUAUUGCAUCGUCUAUCGCGUGUGGUGUUUUGAGUGUGUGUGCUUCGAGUGCUUUGAGUGUGCCUGCUGAUACCUUGCUGCGCCGCCCUUGUUCCCCUGCCGAGCCUGCUGCUGUUUGCUAUGCUGCGUGCCUACUGGUGUUGUAGCCGAUGCCUUGCUAGUUGCCUGCCAAGCUGCUGCUCUUGUUUGCUUGCCUUAGUUGUGUUGUUGCUCUUGUCGUGCCUUGCUGCCAGCUAGCGAGUUGAUGCUUGCUCGCUGCCUGCCGUGCUUUGCUUCUAGUGCUAGUUGGUAGGCUGCUGUAGAUAGUUUGCUGCUAGAUAGCUAGUUGUUGUAGUUGGUGCUGGCUACUGCUUGUCGUCGAUGCCGNGACUACCGUCGACGAGACCGGAGUACCACGACUUCCACUACUUCCACGACGACCACGAUGAUCUUUGUUCUUCUUCACCGAACCGAUCCGCUCCGAUUCACACGCUUCGAAGGUAUACCGUUGGGACGUGUCGUGGCCGAAUGCAUAUGAUGUAUGAGAUGUACCGUAUGUUUGCGUCGUAUGUUUGCCCGUUGCACGUUGUCUCUCUUCCGCCGCGCCCUCGACGCAUGGGAACCCGGUAGCGGGAUCACCCCAUCUUUAUUUAGCAUUCCCGCACCCGCUUCCAGUUUGUUAGCACCGACAUCUCGUUGAGCAUCGGCAUAGGAACGUUGCCAUGGCAUCGUUUCUGUCUUGCCGCCAUGGUUCCCUUUCGCUCGCGGUGGCGACACUUGUUUCUUUCUCUUCUUGCCCGUGAUGUUAUGAACUUGCACGCAUGACGCAUUCAUGGCAUAAUUCCCUGUGUUGCAUGUUUCUUGUGUCGUAGCUCCGUGCUAUGUUCCGCGUGUUAACCGACUAGGAUGACAUGUAGGAUUAUCGCUUCACCCCUUGCCAUGUUAACAACAAUUUAAUAUUGCCGUGUAAAUUAACGGGAGUUAACUAAAUAAUUAAUUGUGGAGUUUUUUUCGAUAUGCAACUCGUUGCAUAUUGAGCUUCACUUAAUGUGUAGUGUUUGCGUGAGAUGAAUUGCCAUGCCAUCCCUUGCAUGUUGACCUAAUCAUGCAUCAUAGUAGGUUGUAAAUCAUGUUGUGCAUCGUGUGGUGAAUAUCUGUGUUGAUGUUUGUUUCCGAUUUGCUCCGUCUCGAUAGAGUUCCGCAAGCGUGUCGGAAUGUGAGGACCCACUGGACUACGUUGGUUCGUCUGCUUCUCGAAGUUGUUCUUCUUCCAAGCGGGAUCUCAGGCAAGAUGACCAUUUCCCCAGAUACCAUUAGUAUCAUUGCCAUGCUAGUUUUAUCGCUUCUAUCGAAUAUGUCUCAUUGCCUACCACAUGUUAAAUAUCAGCCUCUCUACAAUGCCAUAAUAACCUUCAACCUGUUUGACCUAGCAAACCACUGAUUGGCUAUGUUACUGCUUGCUUAACCGUGUUGUUAGCGUUGCUAGUUGCAGGUGCAGUGCUUCCAUGUGAUAACAUGGGUUCCUUGUCAUAUCACCAUAUUUUAAUGCUAUUUAAUUUAAUGGACCUAUAUACUUGGUAAAAGGUGGAAGGCUCGGCCUUUCUAUCCUGGUGUUUGGUUCCACCUUUGCCCCCUUAGUUUCGGCUACCGGUGUUAUGUUCCAUAAUUGAGCGCUCCUAACACGAUCGGGGUUAUUAUGGGGACCCCCUUGAUAAUUCGUUUUAGAUUAAAGCUGGUCUGGCAAGGCCCAACAUUGGUACUACAUUUGUCUAAUAACUAAUGAACCGCAUAGGGAGUAAUUAACCCGAGGGAAAUUUAAUCAACCCCGGGGCUAGUGCUCCUCAUGAGUGUUGGUCCACCCACCUAGCAGUCGGCGGUGCCACCACGGGGCAACUCGAGGUUUGGUUUCCGUCCACUAUGCAUAGACGGUGUGUCCUGAGAACGAGAUACGCGGCUCCUAUCAGGAUCGUCGACACACCGGGUGGCCUUGCUGGAUUAGUUUUACCUUUGAUGGAAUAUCUUGUGCAUCGGGAUUCCUGUGAUCCUUUGGGUAAUCUUAGAGUUGAGGUUUUCCACUAGGGAAUCCGACGAGAUCGCGAGCUUCGUGAUUGAGGAUUUCUAUGCGGCUUGUGGUAAUUUGUGAUGGACUAGUUGGAGCACCCCUGCAGGGUAAAAUAUUUUGGAAAGCCGUGCCCGCGGUUAUGUGGCAACGUGGAAACUUUGUUUAACACUGGUUCUAGAUAACUUGAAGUUAACUUAAUUGAAAUAUGCCAAUUGUGUGCGUAACCGUGACUGUCUCUUUUGUGAGUUCCUUCUCCGAUCAUGGACAUGGUGGGGUUAUGUCUGACGUAGGUAGGUGUUCAGGAUCAUUCAUUUGAUCAUCAGUAGUUCACGUCCGUUAUGCGUAGAACUUCCCCCUUUUAUUUCUUGUACUCGUAAGUUAGCCACCAUAUAUAUAUGCUUAGCCGCUGCGGCAACCUCACCACUUAAUAUUACCUCACGCGUUAAGCUUUGCUAGUCUUGAUACCUUUGGAAACGAGAUUGUUGAGUCCCUUGUGGCUCACAGAUUACUACAACACCAGUUGCUGGUACAGGUAAAGGUUGCUUGACGCGAGCGCGUUGAUUGUUCAUUUGGAGUUGCUUCUUCUUCUUCUUCUUCUUCUUCUUCAUCGAUCUAGGAUGGGUUCCAGGCCGGCAACCUGGUAUAGCAAGGAUGGACGUCGUUCUUCUUUUCUCGUUUGUUUUCGUCCGUAGUCGGACCCUGCUCUUACUCUUGAUGAAUAUGUAAUGUACUGAUGUGACUCUGAUGUAGCUUGUGGCGAGUGUAAGCUAAUUCUAUUAUAUAUCUCCUCUUUUUCAGUACAUGUACUUGUAACGAUAUCCAUUUUUGCGACACGACGAGGUGCGCUUCUAUCCCCGACGAGGCCCUCGUGCCAAAUUGAGGAUAGGGUCGCAUCUUGGGCGUGACAAGUUGGUAUCAUAGCAGUAUUGACCUAGGAGCCCCCUUGAUUGAUCGAACUUGGCCGAGUGGAGUCUAGUGAAAAAACUACUUUGAGUCUAGUUAUAUAUCGGAGAGUAGGAUUCUUUUUUCUCCUCUUCUAUGCUCUGGUGAGGAAUCUUGACGUAAUAAUUUAUUCUACUCCUCUUCUCACUCAAAUUUUUUUUAGGAUCACGCGGAUAUUUUUGGAAUCUAUAUGAUGCCGAUGUGACAGAGUUCUGUCUUCGUGCCUCCUGUCUGAGUUGAUUUCUUCCGGGGAGUUAAGCUCUAGGGGAUUCUCGAGCACAUCGUUGUCAUUCAGGUUUCUUAGUAUCUCAGAACGAAGGAUGUUCAUAAUUGCUUCAAUACUAGUAGUGGCGAGAUAACCCCGAUGUCCCCAGUACUGGUGCAGAUUGUUUGGGAGUACUACCAUACUUUGUAUUAUUGUGAUCACGAGGGUCUGUUGUAGAUGAAGGUCCGAGAUUCUGGUUGUGAGUUGAGGGAUGUGAUACAGGUGACGGGUUAGUAUAGGAGUUGUGUGAUAUUACUCCUUGUAUCCGUGUACCAGAUUGAAUGACCAGAUAUAUCGGGAAUUCUUAGGUGGGAAUUCAAGUAGUUACUUAUAGCACAAUCUUCCAUCAAAUACAUGAUGUUAGGUUGGGGUUCGACAUCUACUGGAUUUGUUUGUUGACGGUCGACUUACAGCGGUUCUCGUUGUGUCUUAAAGAGUCCUUGUAGCUUGCUACAACUCGGGGACGCUUCGUAUGUCGGGUGCACUGCCUUGCUCUUGAUGUCUACUGUAAGGUUCGAGCCCGUGCGAUCCUGUCCACGAAAAUAUCGAACAGAAAUCUCUCUCAUGAGUUUGUUCUGGCUUGCUUCAUAAGCCGCACCUUUUGUUUUUGUUGGAAUAUGGUAAUUCAAGUUGCUUCGAUGUCAGGUGGUGAUUUCAGAUCUUUUCUAAGUAGUGUUCUUAUAUUCAUAUGAGAGUGCUAAUCCUUUUGCUUAAUCAAAUGUCAUAUCAAUUCUUUUCAACCAGAGUCAUCGUAUCAAUUCCAUUCACCGGUGUGCUUCUCUCCAACUGAAUUCAAUCUUCUCCAGUUUUUGCAGAUGAUUCUCUCAAUUCUUUCCAGAGUUCAUCUCAUCUGUCUCAAGUUAUCUUUGUUUUUCCCCGCCCUCCCACCCUUUUCUUUAGUGAUUCAAUUUUCAUCCAAGAGUUUUCUCUUCUUUGUGCUUCUGCUGUCUGUUCUUUCUCUCUUAUCCGGUGUUCCGUUGUGAAGAUUUUCAGGAGCUUCGUCUUCAUCUUUAUUCAGUCUUGCUAUCUUUUCCGAUGAAUUCAGUUCAGCUAUUCGUGUUCCUCAUAUCAUUUUCAUUCUUUGUAAUUCUUUCCGGUGUUGGAGAUUCUUAUCAGCCUAUGUUUGUUUCAUUUCUCUCUAUUCUAUCCGGAGCGUUGAAGUUAUCUCGGUAGUUCUUGUUUCCAAUCUUUUUAAUUAUUUCGAGGUGCUAACCUCAUCUAGUUCUCUUAAUACCGGUGUAAUAUCUUUCUUCUAAGAAAUCUUUUCUAACAGUGAGUUCUUUGAGUGGGCCCAUAACCCACAGGUUUUCCCAGGAUCUUACCUGACUCUUUUAAUCUUUUCCCGGAGAUCAUUAAAUCUUUUCAACUAUGACGUAAGUAUGAUUUCCAUCAGUGAAAUUACUUCUUCAAGCUCUAUUUGAAUUAGUUCUCUUAUUUGGUUCAACCUUUCAUUCUUCAUUAUUCCGGAGUGUCUCAGUCAAUUCUUGGUGGUGUUCUUCUCAUCAUUCUCUUCUUUCCAGACCGAAGGAGUGUUUCUCUCGAAUCCUGGUCCAUUCUCUUGCAGAUUCUUCAUUUCAGCUUUGUGGCAUUAUCUUAUUUUUUCCAAUCAUGAGUAAUCCCUUUCGUGCUAUCCGGUGCUUCUCUGAGUUGUUUUUAUUUCUCGUUCCUCCGAAGGCCGUCAUUUUAGAAGAUUCUUCGUUCUCAGCUUUCAGCUUUCAUCCUCAAUUCUUCUCAAUUGUUGUCGCUUCGUUCGUCUCUCGUUUAUCCGGUGCCUUGUUCUAGUUUUCUCUCAGGUGGCUCAUGAUCUCUUCAUUCUCAUGUUUCUCCAUUAAUUCGUGGUGUUCCCAUUCAAUUCUAAAUUCUUACCGGUGCUUCCUUCAAUUAUGCCUCAAUUGGUGCUUAUCUCUCUCCCUCUUCGAGAUUCAAUUCUAGAAGAAUAAGUGGUAUGCUAAAUCCGUUGCUUGUCAUCAAUUAAACUUGAUGAAGGAUAAGCAUAACAUAAUUCUUAUUCUUGUUCAUAGUGGUUUCAAUUCUCUUCUCAAGUGCUUAUCUUUAUUUUUCGGAGUUCCAAGUUCUUUUAAGUAUCUCUUUGUGAGGCUUCAUCUAAAUCUUCGCAAGGUCUUAAUCUUAUUCUUUUCUACCUUCAUAUCGUUGCAUCAUUCAUUUGUAUACGGAGGUCCUUCAUGGUGGUUCAUCAAGGUUUCAAUCCAUUCUCAAGUGUUCUUCAAGAUUCUUGUUGGAAUGCCUCAAGUAUUCUUUCUCUUGCAUCUCCAGUACAUUUGUUCUUCCUUUAUCCUUUGAGGUGGUAUUAUAGCAUUCUUGUUAGUGUAGGAGCCUCGAAGAGAUUUCCUUUCAGAAAUGACAUAAUUAAACCCACCAAUUCUAUGAUCAUGAGAUAUUUUCAACCCAUGAUUUCUUCAUUGAGCUAUCUUGGUUUGGAUUACACCUAAAGCUUUUCCUAUGGAUUAUGCUAUCAUGGUGCUUGUCAUUAAUCCCAGUUCUCAAUGUACCCUCUUGGUGUAAGAAGUUUGGAUAUCUUGUUGCUCCCAAUCUAUCCUUGUUUCUUUUAGUUGUUGGUUGUCACCUCAUAAAUGUUGAGAUGAUCUUCAUAAUCCCACUACAAUCUUGUUCUUCGUUGUGGGUUUUCCAACUAUUUCGUCAAUUCUUUGUCCGGAGGCUCUUCAAUUCUAUUGUGAUGUUAGUUGUCAUUCUUUUCUUCAUUCUCUUCUUCAGCUUGAGCAAGUUCAUAUUCUAUUGUUCCGGAGGCAUGGUGAUGUUGCUCAUUUGGGUCUAGCUUCUUGUUCUGUGAAGAUUAUGGUGUUCCCUUGUUCUAUUUAGUUGUUUGUUAUGUAUAUUGUCUAAUUCUCUCUUCUUAUCGAAUUUUUUGUCCCAUUUUCCUACCGAAGUGCUGCCAAAAUUUUCCGUGAAUUCUUGCUUGUCUCUUAUAUAAUUCCUCAUCUCUUUGCAACCUUCAAGGAUCGUUAGUUUCACUCGUUUGUCAAAGAAGCGAUUAAGUUUUUACCUCUUGUUCGUUCUCAUCCUCUCCCCCUUUCAUUCUUGGAUCUCGGGGCGAGAUCCUCUUGUAGUGUAGGAGAGUUGUGACAGCCCGAGACCGACGUUCGAGAAGAUUCCCCCUUCUAUUCCGUUUCCGUCGUGUGUUAGUUUUAUUUGUUGCAUCAUCAUGUAGUUUGCAUCAUGGCAUCAUGCAUGGCAUCUUGCAUCGUCUGUCGCAUGUGGUGUUUUGAGUGUGUGUGCUUCGAGUGCUCACCGAGUAUUAGUGCGAUAGGAACUCCCCUCCUCUCUUCUCUUUUAUUUGUUUUGGGGUUGCGUAAAAGUUUCCGUUUUAACCCCUUUUUAAAAUCGUCUUCUUUUCAAACUCCUUUUGUUAAAAGGUAGGGGCAACCCCUUGGGUUUUUCGCUUAUUUCUUCUUUUGUUUCAUUUCAAACUAGAGUUGCAUUUUUAUUUCUAAAAGGGGGUUAUUUUAUUCUCUUGUAAAAAAGGGGUUUGAUUUUAUUCUCUUAUAAAAAAGGGGUUUUUAUUAUUUCUUCAAAAGGUUUCAUCUUAUUAUUUUAAAUGCCCAAUCUAUUUUUUAGUUUGGGGUAUAUUAUAAAGGAGUCAAAAAGCUUUUUUUUAUUUUGUUAAAAACCUUUUUUUCUUUGUGUUUGUUUUUCUGUUUUUUUAAAAGGCAAAAGAGAGAGAGGGAGCCUGCCCAGGCCAGCCGGCCCAGGCCCACCAGAACCUCCAACCCUAGCGAGCCGCUCUGCUUGAUCCCCUUCUUCCUCCCGUUUCCUUCUCGUUCCCGCAGCCCCCUCGUCCCUUGCUCCUCCCACCCUCGAUGCGUGCCAACCCCGCCGUCCUGCCGUGCCCGCCGCCUGCGCUCUCCGCCGCCGCGCCGCGCCCCGUCGGCCUCGCCUCCGCUGGCCUCAAGCUCGCCAGCCCGUGCCCGAGGUGCCUCCAGGAGCUGCUCUGCGCCUUGCCGAGCCGCCUGCUCCAGGGCCCCGUGGCCUCCUCCUUCCUCCCGAUCGCCCGCCUGCGCCCUCCGGUAGCCCCGCGCGUCGCCGUUCCCCGCCGGUGCCCUGCCUGCGCCAGAUGCCGUGGCCGUCUCCAGCGCCCUGCCAUGCCCAGCCUCCUCCUCCUGCUGUGCCUGUGUUGCCGCGCUUGCUUGCGUGGCCUGCUGCCUCUGUAGCUGUUGCUUGCUGCGCAGCUUGCUGCUGCCGUGCAUGCUAGGAUAGUUGCUUAGCUGUAGGUAGUUGUUGCUUGUGUUGUAGAUGCGUUUUGCUGAUGUAGCUGCUCCUGCUAUAGUAGCUUGCCGCCGCUGUUUUGUUGUAGAGGCGGUAGGUUGCCGCCUUGGCCUCCUCCUACCAGUUGCUUGCUCGCCUGAUGCGUGCCUGCUGAUACCUUGCUGCGCUGCCCUUGUUCCCCUACCGAGCCUGCUGUUGUUUGCUAUGCUGCGUGCCUACUGGUGUUGUAGCCGAUGCCUUGCUGGUUGCCUGCCAAGCUGCUGCUCUUGUUUGCUUGCCUUAGCUGUGCUGUUGCUCUUGCCGUGCCUUGCUGCCACCUAGCUAGCUGAUGCUUGCUCGCUGUCUGCCCUGCUUUGCUGCUAGUGCUAGUUGGUAGGCCGCUGUAGAUAGCUUGCUUCUAGAUAGCUAGUUGCUGUAGUUGUUGCUGGCUGCUGCUUGUCGUCGAUGCCGCUAUGUUGCUGUCGCGUUGCUGUUUGCUGUCGCUGGUUACGCCACCGAAGUUCGCAAGCACCAUCCCCUCCUUCGUGGAACCGUCAAGAUCGUGUGUGCAACUACGUCCUCGACGACCCCCGGAACGUGUUCAACUACCGACGCCGAAGACCGUGUACUGUCGACAAGAGAACGAUUAUCGUCGACGAGACCGGAGUACCACGACUUCCACUACUUCCACGACGAUCUUUUUUCUUCUUCACCGAACCGAUCCGCUCCGAUUCGCACGCUUCGAAGGUAUACCGUUGGGACGUGUCGUGACCGAAUGCAUAUGAUGUAUGAGAUGUACCGUAUGUUUGCGCCGUAUGUUUGCCCGUUGCACGUUGUCUCUCUUCCGUCCCGCCCUCGACGCAUGGGAACCCGGUAGCGGGAUCACCCCAUCUUUAUUUAGCGUUCCCGCACCCGCUUCCAGUUUGUUAGCACCGACAUCUCGUUGAGCAUCGGGAUAGGAACGUUGCCGUGGCAUCGUUUCCGUCUUGCCGCCAUGGUUCCCUUUCGCUCGUCAUGGCGACACUUGUUUCUUUCUCUUCUUGCCCGUGAUGUUAUGAACUUGCAUGCAUGACACAUUCAUGGCAUAAUUCCCUGUGUUGCAUGUUUCUUGUGCCGUAGCUCCGUGAUAUGUUCCGCGUGUUAACCGAGUAGGAUGACAUAUAGGAUCAUCGCUUCACCCCUUGCCAUGUUAACAACAAUUUAAUAUUCCCGUGUAAAUUAAUGGGAGUGAACUAAAUAAUUAAUCGUGGAGUUUCGUCGAUAUGCAACUCGUUGCAUAUCGAGCAUCACUUAAUGUGUAGUGAUUGCGUGAGGUGAAUUGCCAUGCCAUCCCUUGCAUGUUGACCUGAUCAUUCAUCAUAGUAGGUUGUGAAUCAUGUUGUGCAUCGUGUGGUGAAUAUCUAUGUUGAUGUUUGUUUCCGGUUUGCUCCGUCUCGAUAGAGUUUCGCAAGCGUGUCGGAAUGUGAGGACCCGCUCGACUACGUUGGUUCGUCUGCUUCUCGGAGUUGUUCUUCUUCCAAGCGGGAUCUCACGCAAGAUGACCGUUUCCCCAGAUACCAUUACUACCAUUGCCAUGCUAGUUUUAUCGCUUCUAUCGAAUAUGUCUCGUUGCCUACCACAUGUUAAACAUCAGCCUCUCUACAAUGCCAUGAUAACCUUCAACCGGUUCGACCUAGCAAACCACUGAUUGGCUAUGUUACUGCUUGCUUAACCGUGUUGUUAGCGUUGCUAGUUGCAGGUGCAGUGCUUCCAUGUGAUACCAUGGGUUCCUUGUCAUAUCACCAUAUUUUAAUGCUAUUUAAUUUAAUGGACCUAUAUACUUGGUAAAAGGUGGAAGGCUCGGCCUUUCUAGCCUGGUGUUUUGUUCCACCUUUGCCCCCUUUGUUUCGGCUACCGGUGCUAUGUUCCAUAAUUGAGCGCUACUAACACGAUCGGGGUUGUUAUGGGGACCCCCUUGAUAAUUCGUUUUAGAUUAAAGCUGGUGUGGCAAGGCCUAACUUUGGUACUACAUUUGCCUAAUAACUAGUGAACCGCAUAGGGAGUAAUUAACCCAAGGAAAAUUUAAUCAACCCCCGGGUCAGUGCUCCUCAUGAGUGUUGGUCUACCCACCUAGCAGCCGGCGGUGCCACCACGGGGCAACUCGAGGUUUGGUUCCCGUCCACUAUGCAUAGACGGUGUGUCCUGAGAACGAGAUACGCGGCUCCUAUCGGGAUCGUCGACACACCGGGUGGCCUUGCUGGAUUAGUUUCACCUUUGACGGAAUAUCUUGUGCAUCGGGAUUCCGGUGAUGCUUUGGGUAAUCUCAGAGUUGAGGUUUUCCACUAUGGAAUCCGACGAGAUCAUGAGCUUCGUGAUUGAGGAUUUCUAUGCGGCUUGUGGUAAUUUGUGAUGGACUAGUUGGAGCACCCCUGCAGGGUUAAAUCUUUCGGAAAGCCGUGCCCGCGGUUAUGUGGCAACGUGGAAACUUUGUUUAACAGUGGUUCUAGAUAACUUGAACUUAACUUAAUUAAAAUAUGCCAACUGUGUGCGUAACCGUGACUGUCUCUUUCGUGAGUUCCUUCUCCGACCGAGGACACGGUGGGGUUAUGUCUGACGUAGGUAGGUGUUCAGGAUCAUUCAUUUGAUCAUCAGUAGUUCACGUCCGUUACGCGUAGAUCUUCCCCCUCUUAUUUCUUGUACUCGUAAGUUAGCCACCAUAUAUAUAUGCUUAGCCGCUGCUGCAACCUCACCACUUAACCUUACCUCACCCAUUAAGCUUUGCUAGUCUUGAUACCUUUGGAAAUGAGAUUGCUGAGUCCCUUGUGGCUCACAGAUUACUACAACAACAGCUGCAGGUACAGGUAAAGGUUGCUUGAUAUGAGUGCGUCGAUUGUUCAUUUGGAGUUGCUUCUUCUUCUUCAUCAUCGAUCUAGGAUGGGUUCCAGGCCGGCAGCCUGGGAUAGCAAGGAUGGACGUUGUUCUUCUUUUCUCGUUUGUUUUCAUCCGUAGUCGGACCCUGCUCUUACUCUUGAAGAAUAUGUAAUGUACUCAUGUGACUCUGAUGUAGCUUGUGGCGAGUGUAAGCCAAUUCUAUUAUAUAUCUCUUCUUUUCAGUACAUGUACUUGUAACGAUAUCCAUUCUUGCGACACGGCGAGAUGCGCUUCUAUCCUUCAUGAGGCCCUCGUGCCAAAUUGACGAUAGGGUCGCAUCUUGGGCGUGACAAGUUGGUAUCAGAGCAGUAUCGACCUAGGAGCCCCGUUGAUUGAUCGAACUCGGCCGAGUCGAGUCUAGUGAAAACACUACUUUGAGUCUAGUUAUAUAUCGGAGAGUAGGAUUCUUUUUCUCCUCUUCUAUGCUCUGGUGAGGAAUCUUGACGUAAUAAUUUAUUCUACUCCUCUUCUCACUCAAAUUUUUCUCCAGAACAGAAGAAGAUCGGGGGACUUGAGGGCCAAGGCAGGAGGCCCACAGGGAGCCCACAAGCCCUGUGGCCGCGGCCACCAGGCUUGUGGCCUCCCUGGCGCUCCCCUGCCCUACCUCUUUGGCCUAUUUAUUCCCUAAAAUCCCAAAAAAAACUCAGGGCGUCCACGAAACCACUUUUCCACCGCUGCAAGCUUCCGUUUCCACGAGAUCUCAUCUGGAGACCCUUCCCGGUGCCCUGUCGGAGAUGACUUUGGAGCUGGAGGGCUUCUACAUCAACAUCAUUGCCUCUCGAAUGACUCAUGAGUAGUCCACUUCAGACCUACGGGUCCGUAGUAAGUAGCUAGAUGGCUUCUUCUCUCUCUUGGAUCUUCAAUACAAAGUUCUCCAUGAUCUUCAUGGAGAUCUAUCCGAUGUAAUCCUAUUUGGCUGUGUGUUUGUCGAGAUCCGAUGAAUUGUGGAUUUGUGAUCAGAUUAUCUAUGAAUUAUAUUUGAGUCUUUGCUGAUUUCUUAUAUGCAUGAUUUGAUAUCCUUGUAAGUCUCUCCGAGUCUUGGGUUUUGUUUGGCCAACUAGAUCUAUGAUUCUUGCAAUGGGAGAAGUGCUUGGUUUUGGGUUCAUACCGUGCGGUGACCUUUCCGAGUGACAGAAGGGGCAGCAAGGCACGCAUCGUGUUGUUGCCUUCAAGGGUAACAAGAUGGGCUUUCAUCAUAGAUUUGAGAUUGUCCAUCUACAUCAUGUCAUCUUGCUUAAGGCGUUACUCUGUUCUUAUGAACUCAAUACACUAGAUGCAUGCUGGAUAGCGGUCGACGUGUGGAGUAAUAGUAGUAGAUGCAGAAAGUAUCGGUCUACUUGUUUAGGACGUGAUGCCUAUAGAUAUGAUGUUUGCCAUAGAUAACGUCAUGAAUUUGCGCGGUUCUAUCAAUUGCUCGACAGUAAUUCGUUCAGCCACCGUCUACUUGCUUUCAUGAGAGAAGCCACUAGUGAACACUACGGCCCCCGGGUUUAUUCACAAUUAUCAUCUCAGCUUUUACUUUUACUUUGCUCUGUUUACUUUUUGCUUUCAGUUCUCACUUUGCAAAAAAUCUAUAAGGGAUUGACAAUCCCUUCAUAGCGUUGGUUGCAAGCCCUUUGUGUUUGUGCAGGUACUUGUGACUUGACGCGAUCCUCCUACUGGAUUGAUACCUUGGUUCUCAAAUUGAGGGAAAUACUUACCGCCGCUGUGCUACAUCACCCUUUCCUCUUCAAGGGAACACCAACGCAAGGUUCCAAGGCCGCGGGGGAAUUCUUUGCAUAUUUGCUAAGGAAAUCCCUAUAGGCGUAGCCAAGCAGCAGAAGGAUUUCUCGUGCUGUUGCCGGGGAAGGUCUUUUGUUGCAGUAGCAAUAACCCAAUAGCUGAUAACUUGUCUAGGUUGGAGAACGUUCUUGAUGACCCACAACCUAUUGAUGAUAGCUUUCCCGGUGAGCAAUUGAAUGUCAUCAAUGCUUCAUGUAGUGCACCAUGGUAUGCUGAUUAUGCAAACUAUAUCGUUGCCAAAUACAUACCACCUAGUUUCACAUACCAGCAAAAGAAGAAAUUCUUCUUUGACUUGAGACAUUACUUUUGGGAUGAUCCUCACCUUUAUAAGGAAGGAGUAGAUGGUGUUAUUAGACGUUGUGUACGUGAACAUGAACAGGGAUAGAUCCUACAGAAGUGUCACUCCGAGGCCUACGGAGGACACCAUGCGGGAGAUAGAACUGCACACAAGGUAUUGCAAUCAGGUUUCUAUUGGCCCACUCUCUUCAAGGAUGCAUGUAAGUUUGUCUUGUCUUGUGAAGAAUGUCAAAGAAUAGGUAAUAUUAGCAAACGUCAGGAAAUGCCUAUGAACUAUUCGCUUGUCAUUGAACCAUUUGAUGUCUCGGGCUUUGAUUAUAUGGGACCUUUUCCAAAAUCCAAUGGGUAUACUCACAUCUUAGUUGCUGUUGAUUACGUCACUAAGUGGAUAGAAGCUAUCCCCACUUGUAGUGCUGAUCACAACACCUCUAUCAAGAUGGUGAAAGAAGUCAUCUUCCCUAGAUUUGGAGUCCCUAGAUAUGUAAUGACCGACGGUGGUUCACACUUCAUUCAUGGUGCAUUCCGUAAUACGCUUGCUAAGUACGAUGUCAACCAUAGAAUAGCGUCUCCCUAUCACCCUCAGUCCAAUGGUCAAGUAAAGCUAAGAAAUAGAGAGAUUAAACUAAUUCAGCAAAAGACUGUCAACAGGUCUAGAAAUAAUUGGUCUAAGAAACUCGAUGAUGCACUUUGGGCUUAUAGAACUACCUAUAAGAAUCCCAUGGGCAUGUCUCCGUACAAAAUGGUGUAUGGGAAAGCAUGUCAGUUAGCUCUUGAGCUAGAGCAUAAAGCUUAUUGGGCAAUCAAAGAGCUCAACUUUGAUUUCAAACUUGCCGGUGAGAAGAGGUUAUUUGAUAUUAUCUCGCUAGAUGAGUGGAGAACUCAGGCAUAUGAGAAUGACAAGCUAUUCAAAGAGAAGGUUAAGAGGUGGCAUGAUAAGAGGAUACAAAAGUGUGAGUUCAAUGUAGGUGAUUGUGUCUUGCUAUAUAACUCUCGUUUAAGAUUCUUUGCACGCAAGCUUCUCUCUAAAUGGGAAGGUCCCUAUGUUGUUGAGGAAGUAUAUCGUUCCGGUUCCAUCAAGAUCAACAACACGGAAGGUAAUUGUCCGAGAGUGGUAAAUGGGCAGAGAAUCAAACAUUAUAUCUCAGGUACUCCCAUAAAUGUUGAAAGCAAUAUCAUCAAUACCAUAAGUCCGGAAGAAUACCUAAGGGACAUUUAUGAGCCUCUUUCAGACUCCGAAAACGAAGAGGUAUGUGAUUCGGUAAGUAAACAGAGUCCAAAACUUUUCCAGUAGGAAAUUUUCUCCGUUUUGGAAUUUUCAAAAAAUACAAAAAUUGGAAGUAGUCCGGAAAGUGCGCGAGGAGGCGACAAGCUUGCACUGCGCGGGCCCACCCCCUGGCCGUGCCGUGAGGGCUUGUGGCCACCUCGUGCGCCUCCCUACUCCGUUUUCGUGCAGGGUACUCCUUCUGGUCUGGAAAAAACUUAUUAUAUAUACUUCCGUUUGGUCUGACCCCUGCAUCACGCAGAUUUCCUCUGUUUUUCGUUUCGAGCCUGUUUUCUGCCGCAGAUCUAGGUCAAGAUGUCGUCCUAGGAAUCUGUUGGGGAGAACAACCUCCGUCAAAUCUAUGGAGACGUUCAUGGUGAUCUGAAAAGGAUGGAGGUCAUGGAGGUUAAUUAGAAGGAUCAAGCAUGGGAUGAAGUGCAAUCUGUGCGGAACAAGGAAGAUGUUGAAGAAGUUGAUUUCCUCCAACCUUACCUCCACCUAGUGUCUCCAUCUUUGAUUGAACUCUUGAUGUUUUUGGAAACAACUCAUGCUCGCAAUACUUGUCUCACUCGUGUCUUUUGCCUUUACCUUUGUUUUAGUUUUCCUUUUCACAUUUUAUUUUUCUCUAGUAGUUUAAAAGUCUUAGUGUUUUAGUUUUGAGUUUUGCUUUGUGUCACCCCCGCUGUAUUCUUGCUCGUGAGCCAUAUAAUAAAGAGUGUCUUAGUUGAAGGGCUUUGCCUCUUGCCAUGAUAAAAAAAGUGAGAAUAGGACAAAAGCAUGAAAAAUCAUGUAAUGAUCUUAUGGGAAGUGAUGGCUUCACAUAUAAAAAGGAUGAUGAUUGAAACUUGUUGAGGGUAGGAAAACAUAGACCUUGGUCAUUGUUGCAAUUAAUAGGAAGUGAUAAGGAAGGAGAGGUUCACAUAUCAAUAUAUCAUCUCUGACACCAUCUAUGGUUGUGAACACUCACUAAACUAUUGCAUGCCUAGAAGUAGAUGUUGGACAAGGAAGACAACAUAAUGAAUUGUGUUUGCUUGGCUCAGAACAAUUUUAUAUGAUUAGAGAUCCCUUAGCAUGUGACGAUUGCUUCGACCUCAUAUUAGCCAAAACUCCCGCACUAAGUAGAGAUACUACUUGUGCAUCCAUAAACCAUCAACCUAGUUUUGCCUUGAGUGUCCACCAUACCUACCUAUGGAUUGAAUAAGAUCCCUCAAGUAAGUUGUCAUCGGUGCAAGCAAUAAAAAUUGCUCUCUAAUAUGUAUGAUCUAUUAGUGUGUGGAAAAUAAGCUUUGUACGAACCUCUGAUGAGGAAGACAUAAAUGCGACAUAUUGCAUAAUAAAGUUCUUUAUCACAGGAGGCAAUAUAAAGUGACGUUCCUCUGCACUAAGAGGACACACAUCCAAACCUCAAAAGCGCAUGACAACCUCUGCUUCCCUCUGCGAAGGGCCUAUCUUGUACUUUUACUUUUUGCCCUUGAAAGAGUCAUGGUGAUCUUCACCAAUUCCAUAUUUCGCCUUUGUCUCAGCUAACGUCAUAUGCUUGGGAAAGAUCUGUAUUCAUAUGUCAACUCGGAGGUAGGCAUUCAUGAAUUAUUAUUGUUGACAUUACCCUUGAGGUAAGCAGUUGGGAGGCAAAACUGUAAUCCCCUAUUUUUCUCAGUUCCAGCUGAAACUUUGAUCUCAUGAGUACCAUGUGAGUUGUAGCAAUUGUAGAGAACGAAAGAAUGAUUGAGUAUGUGGAUUUGCUUUACAAGCUCUUAUUUGACUCUUUCCGAUGUUCUGAUAAAUUGCAAUUGCUUCAAUGACUAAAGGCUAUCGGUUGUUACUUCUCGGUAAGGUUCUUGAUCCAUGCUUUACUUUGUGAAGGAAUUAUCACUUUAGCAUGAGAGAUUAUAUGUUGGUAUUGCUGUUCUGAUCAUGAUCAUGAUGCAUGCAUGUUUGUAUCUUGUUUUGUCAACACCUCUCUCCCUAAACACGUGGACAUAUUUACUGCGCUCGGCUUUUGCUUGAGGACAAGCGAGGUCUAAGCUUGGGGGAGUUGAUACGUCCAUUUUGCAUCAUGUUUUCAUGUUGAUAUUUAUCGCUUCUUUGGCUGUUAUUUCACUUCACGGUACAAUUCUUAUGCCUUUUCUCUCUUAUUUUGCAAGGUUUACAUGAAGAGGGAGAAUGUCGGCAACUGGAAUUCUGACGUGAAAGUGGAGAAAAGUUGAGAUACCUAUUCUCCGCAACUCCAAACGCCAUAAAAAUCAAUGAGGAUUUUUUCCCCUAAUUUAUCAAAAAUACUGGGCCGAAGAAGUGCCAGAGGAGCGCCACGGGUUGGCCACAAGCCUGCACGGCUCAGCCACCCCCAGGCCAUGCCAUGAGGGCUUGUGGGCAACCUGCUGGCCCACUUGCCCCCCUCUUUUUCUAUAUGAAGUCGUACAAAAAAAACUCAGAGAGGAGCUUUUUCGUGGAUUCGCCGCCGCCACGAGGCGGAACUUGAGUAGAACCAAUCUAGAGCUCCGGCAGGACGAUCCUGCCGGGGAAAUUUCCCUCCCGGAGGGGGAAAUCGUCGCCAUCGUCAUCACCAACACUCCUCUCAUCGGAGGGGACUCGUCACCAUCAACAUCUUCAUCAGCACCAUCUCAUCUCCAAACCCUAAUUCAUCACUUGUAACCAAUCUCCGUCUCGCGACUCCGAUUGGUACUUGUAAGGUUGCUAGUAGUGUUGAUUACUCUUUGUAGUUGAUGCUAGUUGGAUUACUUGGUGGAAGAGUUUAUGUUCAGAUCCUUGAUGCUACUCAUUACCUCUCUAGUCAUGAAUAUGAUUAUGCUUUGUGAGUAGUUACUUAUGUUCCCGAGGACAUGGGAUAAGUCAUGCUAAUAGUAGUCAUGUGAAUUUAGUAUUCGUUCGGUAAUUUGAUAUGUUGUAUCUUGUUUUUCCUCUAGUGGUGUUAUGUGAACGUCGACUACAUAACACUUCACCAUUAUUUGGGCCUAGAGGAAGGCAUUGGGAAGUAGUAAGUACAUGAUGGGUUGCUAGAGUGACAGAAGCUUAAACCCUAGUUUAUGUGUUGCUUUGUAAGGGACUGAUUUGGAUCCACUAGUUUAAUGCUAUGGUUAGACUUUGUCUUAAUUCCACUUUCGUAGUUGCGGAUGCUUGCGAGAGGGGUUAAUCAUAAGUGGGAUGAUUGUCCAAGUAAGGGAAGUACCCAAGCGCCGGUCCACCCACAUUUCAAACUAUCAAAGUAACGAACACGAAUCAUAUGAACAUGAUGAAACUAGCAUGACAGAAAUUCCCGUGUUUCCUCGGGAGCGUUUUUCCUCCUAUAAGACGUUGUCCAGGCUUGUCCCUUGCUACAAAAGGGAUUGGGCCACUUUGCUGCACUGUUGCUACUUUUGUUACUUGUUGCUUGCUACGAAUCAUCUCACCACACAAUCACUUGUUACCGACAAUUUCAGUACUUGCAGAUAUUUCCUUGCCGAAAACCACUUGUCAAAUCCUUGUGCUCCUCGUUGGGUUCGACACUCUUACUUAUCGAAAGUACUAUGAUUGACCCCCUAUACUUGUGGGUCAUCAGCCAUUAUCACUAAUCUCACAUUGGUAGGGAAGGUAUUUCUUAGGGGCUUCAGAAUAACAAGUAAGAUCAUAUAUUUCACAUAAAUUCCAAGCAUAGCAAUGCAAAGUAUUAAUAUGAUACCAUCAACGUUUUCAUUUUGAGAUAAGCGGUGUUGCACAUAUUAACAUGCUCAUCUAAUGAUUUUCCCUCAACUAAAAUUGUUGGGGUUUCAGCAUGAGCACAUAGGGAUAAAAGAUUAUCCAAGUAAAAAGCUGCAAGAGUAUAAUAUAUUUUCAGUGGUUCUUCAACCAUUGGUUCGGUAGGUACAACAUUUUUUUUGGUAUUUUGCGUUUCCUACCCAUAACUAAGGAUAGAAAACACGAACAAAAUAAAAACUACUUAGUGAUAAAGCAAACAAACACACACGAGAAUAUUCACCCCACGCUAUUGCUACCCCGCAACGGCGCCGGAAAAAGGUAUUCACCAAACGUAUAGGGGAUCGUGUGUAGCCCUUUUGGAUAAAUAAGAGUGUCUGUCGGGCCGGUGGGACCGAGGGUACCAAUGCCCGUCGGUGUGUGGCCACAGACCUGAUGAAGCGGGGUAAGCCUGGUUCGGCCCAUCGAUGAGCCAGACAAGGAGAACUCUCGCGAGGAACAUUGCCUCGCGAGGUGAGCGCUUCAAGAUCAUCGCCAGGGGCCUUAGGAGGGCGUGUGUUGCAAAGUUUUCCCCUCAAUCCCCCGCAAAGCAAGCACAGGCAGCACUGAGGCGGUGCCAGCGAUUGCGUAUGGGGGGUAUCCCCUUCUGUGCUAAGUAAGUCGGGACAGCUGGCUUAUUCCAGAAGCGACUCCCAGAGGUUUCUUGUUUGGUGCAAGGAGACUAAAGUCGGAGGCACCGCGAGACGAGGUCAUCCCCGAGCCCAGAGCGCGUCAUGAAGUGUGCUUCUGCAGGCGAACACCACCUUUGUGAGGGCAGACUACAUUCGUGUCCCCUUUCGAAAAUGGCUAUUGUGGCAACCCUUCCUGCCAAUGUUUUCAAGGGGAAGAGGACCAAUUCCCGUAUAUAGGAGAGGCCGGGCCUUCAUAGAGUGGGGGGGGGUCCAAUCUCACCAUCGAGCUAGGCAAGAACCCUAUUUUUUACUAUUCUACCACCUCAAGCAAUCCCACCACAAGCAGGAGUAGGGUUUUACGCAGCAAGGUAGCCCAAACCUAGGUAAACUGCCGUGUGUUCCAGUUCAUCUUCCAAGCCCGGGAGGCACCGCCUCGGCAGAUUGCCCGACCAAGGACUCCACGUGUCGGCGUACCUCAUCCCAGAGGGGGGCCCCGGAGGUCCACGGACACUAGCUCCAUCGCGCGGGAGAGGUUGAUCAUAGGAUUAUGGCAGCACAGGUUGGAGAAAAUGAGAGUCAACACGUUGCCCAUAAGGUCGCGUGCGCCGGACUCGGCGUCCUCCUCCACCUUGGAAGCAUCCGACUCGAGCGCCUCCACCACCAUGAGGAGAAAGUCGGGGUGCUCCCCAUCGCCAUAGGCUAGCGGCAGCACAUGGGCGUCCCUGAUGAAACGGUGAAGUUCGGCGCUCGCGCGCAGGUUCAGCUCCCGAGACCACUGGGAGCACCGCUCCUCCAUGCAGCACACAUGUGCCGGAGUGCGUUGCGCGUGCGCUAUGUUGUCUUUGGCCGCAUGUGCAUCAUCGGCGAGUUCACCAACGUGGGCCACGAGCGACUUCAGCUCGCUUGUGGCGGCGGUCUCCUGGGCAGCUUGGACCCCUUGCAGGUGGGCCCUUAGCGCACUUGCCUCCUUCUCGAGCACGUCGUACUUAAGCUGGAGGAAGGCCUCCCGCCACGUGAACUUCCUGUGGUACUCCUCCAGGGCCGCGGCCCACUCGUGAGACACCCUUGCGUUUGCACAGAUCAGGGCCUCCUCGCGGGCUACCACGAGGGUGGCCUCACUAGCAAGGAUGCGCCUCUCCAAGGCCUCGAGGCGUUCACAUUCCGCCCCAUGGUUACGGGCGAUAUUGGUGGCCUCCCACUCGCGACGGGACACGACCGCCUGCCGUUGGAUGACGACGGUCUCCUUGAGGGUCAAGUAGGCCGUGUGCACGAGGCCCUAAAAGGCUAGCGCAGCAUCGACGGCCGUCUGUUCUCGGGGUUCCACCGCCGCCUCGGCUAGGAUCGAGGGCUCCUCAAGCCCCGUUACGUCAGGAACCCAAGAAGAAGCUUCACCAUCGGAGGAACACCGAGGGGUGCCCCUAGUGCGACGCUCCUGGGCCUCUUAGACGCAUGCACCUUGAAGAACUAGGCAACGAAAUUUUCAGAUCAGGCAGGAUAUGUGAGGGUAGGCGAUGAUGGCGGCGCACUUACUCAUCACUGGUGACCCGGCGCCCGCACACUGGGACUGACCUUGGGGGCCGAGCCUCGCCGCUCCCGGGUGACGACGACGGUGCUAAGAGCUCUGCUCGCGCUCCGGUGCUCGUAGUAUCACCGCCGGACGUGAGGGAAAUAGCAAAGGUCGAGUUCGCUCGAGGGCGACGGGGAAGCAGAGGAAGAAGGUGGCCGAGGAACGGUGCGAUACUAGAUCCAGCCCUGAGGUGCGAUGGUUUUUAUAAGCAUAGCCAUCGUUCUUGAGGCAGCGCAUGAGAGCGGGGGCGAUGAAUGCCUUGUUGGACGUCGCGCACCACGCCUGCCCCAUGGGCAGUGGGGGCUUGCACCUCCCCAUUCCACCAACAAGCUCCCAACGCAUGCCGCGGGCCCGGGGCGAUCCAUCAUGGGACGGGUGGCGCGAAUGGGAAGUGUCGGUCGAAGGAGCAAUGAUGACCUAUGCUGCGCACAAGUGGCAUGACAACUCGCUCACAAUAGUUCCUGAGGCGGUGCGGGGAGGAAGGAUCCCACGUUGCAUCGGGUGCCGCACGUUGAGCCUGGCCCGCAAGCAUUUGGGCUCACGUCGCCACGCUCCUCCCGUUGGUAGGAGUCAUACUCAACGCAGGCCUCGUGGCUAUUGUCGGCCCCCUGGGACCGGGGGUACCCAGGACCGUCGUCCUGCGGCCACGAAUGCGUCGCAGCGGGAUAAACCUGGUACAACCCAUCGGCGGGCCCGACAAGGAGAACCCUCGCGAGGUGAGCGCUUGAUGCCUACGCACGCUUCUAUUCUUGUAGACUAUGUUGGGCCUCCAAGAGUAGAGGUUUGUAGGACAACAGCAAUUUCCCUCAAGUGGAUGACCUAAGGUUUAUCGAACUCAGGGAAGUAUAGGUUGAAGAUGGUCUCUCUCAAGCAACCGUGCAAUUAAGAAACGAGAAGUGUCUUGUGUCCCCAACACACGUGAUACAAUGGUAAAUUGUAUAGGUGCACUAGUUCGGCAAAGAGAUGGUAAAAUAUGGGUGAUAGGUGUGGCAAAUCAAGGUAAUAUAAAUCUGAAAUAAAAAUGGCAGCAAGGUAGCAAGUGACAAAAGUGAGCAUAAACAGUGUAACAAUGGUGAGAAAUAGGGCCUAGGCUUCAUACUUUCACUAGUGGCAACUCACAACAACAUUAACAUAGUCUAACAAAAUGAUAUUUCCACUAAAACAUGCAAUGGAGACGUACUUGAAGGUCAUUCCUUUGUGAUCAAGAGAGGGCGAGAAUUAUGUAGGGCUACAAAAGCACACCUGAGAGUUCGUAGUUCUCUUCUAUGGAUUUCCCAAAGUCAGCGCGGCCAUCCAAAGAGAGUACCACAAUCACCACAACAUAUCUCAAUGAUAGUCAAAGACAAGCACCAAGAGACUCUCAAUCUUCAAUCAAUUCACAAAAUAGGAAAUCUCUCAUGGAAAUAUUCUUCUAAUCCAUGUCCAAUAGACCACUGUCACCAUGGUCUCGGGGAUUAUACUAGAUAAGAUCAAGUAAAUACAUCAAUCCAAUACAUAGAAGAAGGGGAAACAUCAUGGGAUCACCCUAGAUUAACAUAGCCUAUGAUCACAAUCAAGAUCACAUCAUGGGAGAGAGAGAUAUCCACAUAGCUACACGUAGAAUACCUCAGCCCCGAGGGAGACUACUCACACAUGGCCAUGGUGAGCAAGAGGUUGAUGGAGAGGUGCAGCCCGGAGAGGAGGCGGCGGCCACGGCCCUUGGCCCCCCUUCUUCCUUGGAGAUGGUGCUGGUAUGGAGGUGGUUCUCCACCCCAAGGCGGCUGCGUGGGAGGAGGAAAUCUCGUAGCUCUUGGUGGCUCUCGAGAAAUCAGGUUUUUCCUCUCCUUAUAUGAGUCGGGACGAUCAUCCUUGGCCCUCCGCUGGAUGCCCCGUUGAACUAAGGACUCUUGGGCACCUCUGGAACCUUUGUAGGAACCCCUCUCAGCCCUAAUGAGGUCCCCAAAUCGUGGCUUGGCCGAAUCCAUCUAAUAGGGUAAGAGUUGGACUCAAUCACGUCACCGAUUCCCGUAAUCCUGUAAUCAGAUAUUUGUCCUCCAGUAAAAAGGGCUUUGCUAAAGCGGCCAAACUCCUAAUGGGCCUAAUUUAAUGUCUAGAGUUAUGAGCAAAAAAUUCCCCACAACUUUCGCAUCUAUUAUUUUUCCAUUUGACAUCCUCUUCGAGGCGGAAACAUACGAUCUCUAAAAUCUGUAGGGGGGAGAUUUCAGGAAAGUCAGAGUCCCACUCCAACAAGGUUUCCUCUUCUAUUUUUUGUAGUUCCUACACAUCAAAGUGUAAAACAAGAACAUUGUGUAAUUUUGCAACUAUUAGUAUGUUAGUCCAAAUAAAUCAUUAACUUAAUAUAAAAACAAUUAUCAAAAGCAUAAAAGUAGCAUGAAACGAUAAAAAAUUAUAGAUAUGUUUUGGAUGUAUCAGCGCUUGAAGAUCGUCGCGAGGUUUUCCCCUGAGGACCCCAUGGAGCAAGCCCUUCGAGGAUGACUUGGUCGGGUCCCAUGACCCAACUCCUUCACGUGGAUGAGACGGACCGCGCCUGUGGCGCGGGAGCGGUGCCAGCGAUUAUGUACGGGGGUUUUCCCUUGCGUGCUAAGUAAGCCGGGACAACUGGCGUGCUCCCGGAAGAAUCUCCCAAAGGUUUCCUGUUUGGUGCAAGGAGACUAAAGUCAGAGGCUCCGCGGGAUGGAGGUCAUCCCCGAGCCCACCAGUGCGUCAUGAAGAAAAGAUUUUGCACGCGAAGACCACCUUUGUCACGACAGACUACAGUCCUGGCUCCUUUCAAAAAUGGCCGUUGUGGCAACCCUUCCCGCCAAUGUUUUCGGGGGGAAGAGGUCCAAGGCACGUAUAUAGGAGAGGACCAGUCUCCGUAGAUGGGAUCCAUUCUCACCCUGAGCUAGGGCAAGAACCCGCUUUUGUACUUGUCUUCCACCUCAAGCAAUCCCACCACAAGCAGGAGUAAGGGUUUACCCCACGAGGUGGCCCGAAUCUGGGUAAACUACCGUGUGUUCCAGUUCGUCUUCCUAUUUCGCGCUACCGUAGAACCGUCGUGAGGCUGAGACGAUGAAUAGGGUUGGAGAGCGAGCACACCCGAGUGUUCGAACCUUGUCUUAGGUCUGUGGAGCCCCAAUUCCGACAGUGUCUAACCCAAUGAGGAGCUAAAGGUAGAACAAAUAUUCCCUCAACUUUUAUCAACCAUCGAUACAAUUCUACGCACACUUAACGUUUGCUUUACCUGAAACAAAAAUAAAACUAGAAGUACUUUGCGAGAAUAAAACUAGAAAUAAAUUACAAGAUAAUAAAUACAGUAGUGUAGUAGUAGGAUUUGUCCCUAGGAAAUUGAGUACGUUACUAGAUCGAUAGCAUGUUUUUAUGUGGGAGAGGCCACUGCUAGCUUGGCAUCCCUUACUUCAAAUUCUAUGCACUUAUGAUUGGAACUAUUAGCAAGCAUACGCAACAACUAACGUUCACUGAGGCAAAAACCAACCAUAGCAUUAAGAUAUAUAUUGUUCAACCAUCAAUCCUGUAUGCAUCAAUUUCUAUGUUAGGAAGAAGUAUUCUAUCACUCAUGCCCUCCAAUGCGCAACCCUAUCAACAUACAACUAACCCUAUGGUGUGAUCCACAUGCGCGCUCAUAUGACGGGCACCAAAGGACAUUGCUACCUCUUGAGCUUGCGUUGGUUUUUCCCUUGAAGAGGAAAGGGUGAUGCAGCACAGUAGCAGUAAGUAUUUCCCUUAGUUUGAGAACCAAGGUAUUAAUCCGGUAGGAGUAUCAAGCCAAGUCUACAAAGUACGUGCGCAAAAAUAGCAAACUUGCACCCAACGCUACAAAGGGGUUGUCAAUCCCUUCACGACUGAUUGCAAGGUGUGAUCUGAAGGCGGAAAGUGCAACAAAGUAAAAGUGUAGGGCUGAAAAUAUGACGUGAAGUAGACCCGGGGGCCAUAGUGUUCACUAGAGGCUUCUUUCAUGAUAGCAAAUAUUACGGUGGGUGAACGAAUUACUGUCGAGCAAUUGAUAGACCGCGCAAAGUCAUGACAAUAUCUAAGGCAAUGAUCAUACAUAUAGGCAUCACGUCCGAGACAAGUAGACCGAUACUUUCUGCAUCUACUACUACUACUCCACACAUCGACCGCUAUGCAGCAUGCAUCUAGUGUAUUGAGUUCAUGACAAACAGAGUAACGCCUUAAGCAAUAUGACAUGAUGUAGAGGGAUAAAUUCAUGCAAUAGAUAUAAACCCCAUCUUUUUACCCUUGAUGGCAACAACAUGAUGCGUGCCUUGUUGCCCCUUCUGUCACUGGGAAAGGUCACCGCACGGUAUGAACCCAAAACCAAGCACUUCUCCCAUUGCAAGAAUCAUAGAUCUAGUUGGCCAAACAAAACCCAAGACUCGGAGAGACUUACAAGGAUAUCAAAUCAUGCAUAUAAGAAAUCAGCAAAGAUUCAAAUAUAAUUCAUAGAUAAUCUGAUCACAAAUCCACAAUUCAUCGGAUCUCGACAAACACACCGCCAAAGAGGAUUACAUGAGAUAGAUCUCCAUGAAGAUCAUGGAGAACUUUGUAUUUAAGAUCCAAGAGAGAGAAGAAGCCAACUAGCUACUAACUACGGACCCGUAGGUCUAAAGUGGACUACUCACGAGUCAUUGGAGAGGCAAUGAUGUUGAUGUAGAAGUCCUCCAGCUCCAAAGUCCCCUCCGGCAGGGCACGGGGAAGGGUCUCCAGAUGAGAUCUCGCGGAAACGGAAGCUUGCGGCGGCGGAAAAGUGGUUUCGUGGACGCCCUGAGUUUUUUCUGGGAUUUUAGGGAAUAAAUAGGCCAAAGAUCUAGGGCAGGGGAGCGCCAGGGAGGCCACAAGCCUGGUGGCCGCGGGCCCCCCUGGCCGCGGCCACAAGGCUUGUGGGCUCCCUGUGGGCCUCCUGCCUUGGACCUCAAGUCCCCCGAUCUUCUUCUGUUCUGGAAAAAUUUAUAUCGGGGAUUUUAUUCAGUUUGGACUCCGUUCCAAAAUCGGAUCUGAAAAGAGUCAAAAACACAGAAAAAACAGGAACAGGCACUUGGCACUGAAUUAAUAAGUUAGUCUCAAAAGGAGAAAAAAAGGUAUAUAAAACAUCCAAAGUUGACAAGGUAACAACAUGAAACCAUCAAAAAUUAUAUAUACGUUUGAGACGUAUCAAGCAUCCCCAAGCUUAACUCGUGCUCGUCCUCGAGUAGGGAAGUGAUAAAGAAUGAAUUUUUGAUGCUUUCAUGCUACCUAGCAUAGAUGUCCUUUGUAAGUCCUCUUAUGUGACGUGGAUGUUCAGAUCCGUUAGAUUCAAAACAAUAGUUUGCUAUUGACGUGGAGACAAUAAUACUUCAAGCAAACUAGCAAGGUAAUCAUGAACUUUUAAAAUAACAAGGCCAAAAGAAAGUUAUCCCUACAAAAUCGUAUAGUCUGGCUAUGCUCUAUCAUCCUUGCACAACGAAUUUAAAUCAUGCACAAGCUCGGUAUUGUCCAAGUAAUUGUUUUCACACCUUUACUUUCUCAAACCUUUUCAACUCUCACGCAAUACAUGAGCGUGAGCCAUGGUUUUAGCACUAUAAGUGGAAUGGAGUGUGGUGGAGGUUGCAAGGCAAACAAGGAGAAGAUGGUCACAUUGACUAGGCAUAUCAAUGAGCUAUGGAGAUGCUCAUCAAUAGAUAUCAAUGUGAAUGAGUAGGGAUUGCCAUAAAAAUGAUGCACUAGAGCUAAGAGUAUGUGAAAGCUCUUAAAUAAAACUAGUGGGUGUGCAUCCAACUUGCUAGCUUACGAAGACCUAAGGCGAUUUUGAGGAAGCCCAUCAUUGGAAUAUAGAAGCCAAGUUAUAUAAUGAAAAUUUCCCACUAGCUAUAUGACGGUGACAAAACGAGAGACUCUCAAUCAUGAAAAUCAUGGUGCUUAAUAAGGACAAGUGUGGAAAGAUAGUAGCAUUGUCCCUUCUCUCUUUUUCUCUCAUUUUUUUGGUGGGUUCUUUGGCCUUCUUUUUUUAUUUUUUAUUUUUUUGGUGGGCAUCUUUGGCCUCUUUUAUUUCCUCACAUGGGACAAUGCUCCAUCAAUGAUGAUCAUCACACUUACAACUCAAAACUUAGAGCAAUGAUGACUCUAUAUGAAAUGCCUUCGGUAUUGUACCGUGACAAUGAUCUAGCAUGGCAUAGACAUCAAUGGAAACAUCAUGCUAGCUAUCUUAUGAUCAUGCAAUGGCAAUGUAGAAGCUGUGGCACAUGUCAUGGUGGUAGUUGCAGGACAAUAUAUCUCGAAAUGGCUUUGAAGAUGCCAUAGUAGGUAGGUAUCGUGGCUUUUUGAGGGAGGCUAAUGGUGGGUUUUGUGCACCGGCGAAAGUUGCACGGCACUAAGAAGAUAGUGAUGGUGGAAGGUGAAAGUGCAUCUAAACCAUGGACUCAACAUUAGUCAUGAAGAACUCAUAUACUUGUUGCAAAAAAUUUAUUAGUAAUCGAAACAAAGCAUUCAAUGCAUACUCCUAGGGGAAGGGUUGAUAGGUAUAAACCAUCGCGCGAUCCCGACCGCCACGCAAAGGAUGACAAUCAAUAUACUAAUCAUGCUCAGACUUCAUCACAUAGCGGUUCACCAUACGUGCAUGCUACGGGAAUCACUAACUUCAACACAAGUAUUUCUAGAUCCACAACACCUUACUAGCAUGACUUCAAUAUUACCAUAACCACAACUCAAAACUAAUUGACAUGAGUCAAACUUCUCUAACUAUUCAAUGCACAUGAAGGUGGAAGUUUUCGUAUCCCCUUGGAUAACUACCCCUUUUGAGACUACUUUCAAAGCAUAGCUCAACUACCAAGCCACGCACCGCUGCGCUCUAAAAGAUAUAAGUGAAGCACAUAGAGCAAAAGUAUCUAGCUCAAAAGAUAUAAGUGAAGCACAUGUGAGCUGAAUUGUCUACCAAAAGAUAUAAGUGAAGCUCGACAAAAUCACGGUGAGUGCAUGUCUCUAUCUCUAGGUGUGCAGCAAGGAUGAUUGUGACACAACAAAAAUAAAAGACUCCUACGAUACAAGACGCUCCAAGCAAAAACAUAUAACAUGUGGUGAAUAAAAAUAUAGCCCCAAGUAACGUUACCGAUGGAUUGAAGACGAGAGAGGGGAUGCCUUCCCGGGGCAUCCCCAAGCUUAGGCUUUUACGACAUCCUUGAAUCUCUUGGGGUGCCUUGGGAAUCCCCAAGCUUGAGCUCUUGCCAAUCUUUAUCUUUUUGUCCAUAAGAAGUUCACCCAAAACUUGAAAACUUCACAACACAAAACUUAAACAGAAACUCGUGAUAUCAUUAGUAUAAAAACGCAAAUCAACACUUCCUUAGGUAUUGUAGCAAUCUUAAAUUAUACUUAUGUUGAUGUUGGCUUACUGUAUUUUCAAUCUUCCAUGGCUAAUACCCCCCGAUACUAUCCAUAGAUUCAUCAAAAUAAGCAACCAACUCAACAAUAACAGAAUCUGUUAACAGCAGACCAGUCUGUAGCAAUCUGUAUACUUCGUAUACUUCUGUUACUUCAAAAAUUCUGAAAAACUACGACGGUCUGAAGAAUUUGCGUAGCAAACAGCAGCAAAAACAAUAAACUCAAAAUCUCUCACAGAAAAAAAAUGAAAAUUAUUUUCCUGACCAGAAAGUUUAUGUCUUUUCCAGCAUGAUCAAACGGUCAUCCCCAAGACUAAUCAUAACGGUUUCACUUGGCACAAACGCAAAAGAAACACAAAAAACACCAUCAUAACAGAAUUAUGAAAGUGCGGAAAACACAAAACAUAAAUAAAAAGGAUAGAUUCGUUGGGUUGCCUCCCAACAAGCGCUAUUGUUUAACGCCCUUAGCUAGGCAUAAGGUGAUGGAAUCUAAGUCUAACAUACUUCCUAUGCAUAAGCGUUUUAUAGGGAAACAAAUUGGCAAGACAAGCAAUAGUUACCAAAUGCAAUGAAGAAGAAAGAGACAAUACCAAUCUCAACAUAAUGAGAGGUAAUUUGGUAACAUGAAAGUUUCUACCAAAAUAUUUUCCUCUCUCAUAGCAAUUACAUGUGGGAUCAUAUUCAAAUUCAACAAUAUAGCUAUCCCAUAGGAUAUUCUUUUCAUGAUCCACAUGCAUGCAAAGUUGAUGCUCUUCAAAAAUAGUGGGAUUAUCAUCAACUAAAGUCAUGACUUCUCCAAACCAACUUUCAAUAUUAUUGCAAAUAUCAUAUUCAUCAUGAGGUUUAAACAAAUUUUCAAGAUCAUAAGAAAGAUCAUCACCCCAAUCAUGAUUAUUGCAAUAAGUAGUGGUCAUAGCAAAACUAGCAUCCCCAAGCAUAGGGUUUUGCAUAUUCUUAGCAUGAUUCUCACUAAUAGAAUUUAUAGUGAAACCAUUGCAAUCAUGCUUUUCAUCCAUGGAGCCCUCGUGAAUCACUUCAUAAAUUUCUUCCUCACAAUUUUCAGAUUCACGCAUCUCAAGCAAAACUCCAUAACGAUAGUCAAGUGCACUCAACUCACUAGCAAUUGGAUCAACAUAAUUGGAUCUCUUAAAGAGAUUAGCAAGUGGAUGAGGAUCCAUAUCACUAGAUUUUCAGCAAGCGAAGAUGCAAGCAUAUUGAAGGCACAUGGCACACAAGCGAACAAAGAGCAAGCGAGAAAAAGGGCGAACGAAAAGGAAAACAGAAAAGGCAAACCAAAAAGGCAAAUUGUGAAGUGGGGGAGAGGAAAAAGAGAGGCAACUAGCAAACAAAGUAAAUGCAAGAGAUGAGUUUGAGACACCUACUUGGAUGAAUUCUUGACUUGAUCUCCCCGACAACGGCGCCAGAAAUUGGCGUGUUGACGGGAGAUUAUUCUUGUCUUGAUACUCCUCCCCGACAACGGCGCCAGAAAUCCUUCUGUUGUUGCAACAAAAGACCUUCCCCGGCAACGGCACCAGAAAUCCUUCUGCUGCUUGGCUACGCCUAUAGGGAUUUCCUUGGAAAAUAUGCAAAGGAUUCCCCCGGUGGCCUUGGAGCCUUGCGUUGGUGUUCCCUUGAAGAGGAAAGGGUGAUGUAGCAUAGAGGCGGUAAGUAUUUCCCUCAGUUUGAGAACCAAGGUAUCAAUCCAGUAGGAGAAUCGCGUCAAGUCACAAGUACCUGCACAAACACAAAGAGCUUGCACCCAACGCUAUGAAGGGGUUGUCAAUCCCUUAUAGAUUGUUUGCAAAGUGAGAACUGAAAGCAAAAAGUAAACAAAGCAAAGUAAAAGUAAAAGCUGAGAUGAUAGUGGUGAAUAGACCCGGGGGCCGUAGUGUUCACUAGUGGCUUCUCUCGUGAAAGCAAGUAGAUGGUGGGUGAACGAAUUACUGUCGAGCAAUUGAUAGAACCGCGCAAAGUAAUGACGUUAUCUAUAGCAAUGAUCAUAUCUAUAGGCAUCACGUCCAAAACAAGUAGAUCGAUACUUUCUGCAUCUACUACUAUAACUCCACACGUCGACCGCUAUCCAGCAUGCAUCUAGUGUAUUGAGUUCAUAAGAACAGAGUAACGCCUAGAUGGACAAUCUCAAAUCUAUGAUGAAAGCCCAUCUUGUUACCCUUGAUGGAAACAACACGACGCGUGCCUUGCUGCCCCUUCUGUCACUGGGAAAGGUCACCGCACGGUAUCAACCCAAAACCAAGCACUUCUCCCAUUGCAAGAAUCAUAGAUCUAGUUGGCCAAACAAAACCCAAGACUCGGAGAGACUUACAAGGAUAUCAAAUCAUGCAUAUAGGAAAUCAGCAAAGACUCAAAUAUAAUUCAUAGAUAAUUUGAUCACAAAUCCACAAUUCAUCGGAUCUCGAUAAACACACCGCCAAAGAGGAUUACAUCGGAUAGAUCUCCAUGAAGAUCAUGGAGAACUUUGUAUUGAAGAUCCAAGAGAGAGAAGAAGCCAUCUAGCUACUAACUACGGACCCGUAGGUAUGAAGUGGACUACUCACGAGUCAUUGGAGAGGCAAUGAUGUUGAUGUAGAAGCCCUCCAGCUCCAAAGUCCCCUCCAGCAGGGCACCGGGAAGGGUCUCCAGAUGAGAUCUUGCGGAAACCGAAGCUUGCGGCGGCGGAAAAGUGGUUUCGUGGACUCCCUGAGUUUUUUCUAGGAUUUUAGGGAAUUAAUAGGCCAAAUAGCUAGGGCAAGGGAGCGCCAGGGAGGCCACAAGCCUGGAGGCCACGGGCCCCCCUGGCCACGGCCAUAGGGCUUGUGGGCUCCCUGUGGGCCUCCUACCUUGGCCCUCAAGUCCCCCGAUCUUCUUCUAUUCUGGAAAAAAUUAUUUCGGGGAUUUUAUUCCGUUUGGACUCCGUUCCAAAAUCAGAUCUGAAAAGAGUCAAAAACACAGAAAAACAGGAACUGGCACUUGGCACUGAAUUAAUAAAUUAGUCCCAAAAAAUAUUUAAAAAGGUAUAUAAAACAUCCAAAGUUGACAAGGUAACAACAUGAAACCAUCAAAAAUUAUAGAUACGUUUGAGACGUAUCAAUACCCUGUUGAUGAUGUGGCAAGAAGUGUUGAUUGCUUCAGGCCAAAAGCGACGGGGAGUCUGAUAUUCUUCAAGCAUAGUCCAUGCCAUUUCAACCAGAGUCUUGUUCUUGCGUUCAACGACGACAUUCUAUUGAGGAGUAUAAAGAGCACACAAUUCGUGAGUAAUACCAACUUCAUCAAGAUAAUCAUCAAUACCAGUAUUUUUUAAUUUUGUCCCAUUAUCAGUCGUGAUGUGUUUGAUCUUGACGCCAAAGUUCGUUGAGGCCCUUGAAGAAAAUCGUUUGAAGACUUCAUGUACUUCAGUUUUAUACAGAAUGAUGUGUACCCAAGUAUAGCGUGAAUAGUCAUCAACAAUAACAAAGUCAUAUAAAGAUGCUGCAUUGGUUAGAGUAACAAAUUGAGUAGGUCCAAACGGAUCCAUGUGAUGCAAUUCAAAUGGACGAGUAGUAGUCAUGAUAGUCUUCGAGGGGUGUUUGGAUCUGGUUAUUUUUCCAGACUCAGAAGCACCGGAGAGAUGGUCCUUGAGGAAUUUGACAGAUUCAAUGCCAAUCACAUGCUUCUUCUUCGCGAGUGUGUGCAAAUUCCUCAUGGCUGCAUGACCAAGUUGUCGGUGACAUAGCCAACCUUCUCAGGUUUUUGCUAGUAAGCAUGUGGCUGGUUGAGGACCUGUGGAAAAAUCAACAAUAUACAAAUCUCCUCUCCUAAAGCCUUCGAAGACUUUGGAUUUGUCAGAUUCCAUGAUGACUACACAUCUAUAUAUUCCAAAGAUGACAAUCAUAUCAGGAUCACAAGGCAUUGAGACUGACAUGAGGUUAAACCCAAGGGAUUCGACAAGCAUGACUUUGUCCAUGUGCCGGUCCUUGGAAAUAGGCACUUUACCAAGUCCCAAUACCUUGCUUUUACCUUUAUCAGCGUAAGUGAUUUUCUUCACUGGUGAUGCAGUCCGUGGCAUAUUCACCAAUAACCUUUUAUCACGAGUCAUGUGAUUUGUGCAACCACUGUCAAGAACCCACUCUGUAUUCUUGGGUUUGUCAUCCUGCAGAUGAAUUAGUACAACUUACCAUCUCAUAUGCUUCAGACUUGAAGAAUAUGAUAUCAAUUUCAUCAGAUAAGAAUUUCAUCAUAAACAGUAAAUUUUAGGACGAGUGAAAUGUUAUCAUUUCAUCAUUAUUAGCUUGCGUCCACUCAAGCAAUUUCCACAGGUCUCCAGCAAAUUCUUCACAUGAGGACUUUCAUCUGGAGACCUAUCUGGCAGAAGUGAUUAGUUCGAUUUCUUCACCACCCACAUCUGAAGGGGUGGCAAAGCGUUCAUCAUCCUGCAAGCACCAUAUGAGAAUGGAGGCAUUGAAGCUAAUGCACUUCUUUUCACACUAGGGGGUUAGAGUACUCAAAUGAAUAGGCAGAAAAAUUCUUUGAGGACUUAUGAACAUAACGAUUUUAGGAAUAACGAUCAUAUUCAAGUCCCUUGUAGUUUCCCUACAUAUCAGAAGGAUUAGUGCGAGUAUGAGCAUAACAUUGACCAUUUGAGGAAUUUGAUCCUCGUGAAGACAUUGAUCCACCUGAAGAAUUUCAUCUGGGGUUAUGGUUCUUCACAUGUGGUGUCAUGAGGACAUUCACCUGAAGAUUUUCCAAGCAACUUUUGGGGACCCACAUUUUCCUCAGGGGUGGUCCAUUCCUGCAGUUAGUUCCAAUAUAUCGAGCAAAUACUUCACCAGAUUGAUUUUUGAACAGUUUAUAGUCGAAGUCAAAUGACUCAUUGGAGCAAUAGGACAUUUCACAUGCAAAGCCUGUUAGAGUGGAUGGAUCAACGCGAGGGCCUUUAGCAGCAACCCAUGAGAUUUUGGGCUACUUCUCAGGUUUCGAGUAUGAUCCAUCGGCAUUCAAUUUCCUCUCGAAGGCAAUGCCUUCUUUCCUCGGGUUCCUAUUCAGAAUCUGCAUUUUGAGCACAUUGCAAAGGGUUUGAUGCCCAUUGAGAGUUUUGUAUAUGCUUGUCACAUACGAUUCCUUCAACUCUGCAUUCUCGUCAAUACUACUUGUGGUUUUCUCAAGUGAAGAAUUUGAUGCCACAGGAACAAUUGAAGAAUUUGUAGCGGUAGAAGCACUUGAUGAUUAUGGUGAAGAAUUAGCAGUUUCACGCUCGAUGCAUUUCAGACAUGGUGGAAUGAAUUCAACCUGAGCGGUACUAAUCUGUUGAGCAAGUAAUGAAUCAUUCUCCAUUCAAAGAUCAUCAUGAGACAUUCUUAACUUUUCAAGAUCAAGCUUCCUUUGAAUAAAUUCAUAGGAAAGUUUCUCAUGAUCAUCCAAGAGUGAGCCAUGACGAUCUUGAAGACUAUAAAAUCUAGACUCAAGACUUUUUGCAUCUUCAGUGAGGACUUGAGUACGAUUGAUUUCAUCGUUCAACACAUCAUCGCUUUUGUCUAUUAGUUUAUGAAGCUUUUCAAUGGCACUUUGUUGCUUAGUGCCAAUGUUGGCAAGUUUAUAGUAACUGGGUUUUUGAUAAUCAUCAGGUUCAUAGUCGCUAGAAUGAGAGGAGGAAGUAUGGUUUGGUACCUUUGAACCUUUUGCCAUGAAGCAAUAGGUUGGAGCGAAGUUAUCACCAUAUUCAUGAGUGUAGAUAGUGUUGUCAUUUUCUUCAAGGUUGAAGUUUGACUUCCUGACAAAGGUGGUAGCCAGUGCAAGACUUGCCACACCAGACUCUGACUCCACUUCAGAACCUUCCUCUUCAUCACAUUCCUCAGAUUCUUCUUCAGAAUCCAUUUCCUUGCCAAUGAGUGCCCAAGCCUUUCUCAAACUGGUCUUCUUGUGCGAUGAGGACUUUGAAGAUGAGGAUUUUGAAGAUUUCUUGUUUUUCUUCGAGUCAUUUGAACUUUCAUCCUUGUAUUUCUUCUUUCUUGAUUCUUUCACCCAGCGAGGACAACAAGCAAUAUAGUGACCAGAUUUCUUGCAUUUUUGGCAGGUUCUUUUCUUGUAGUCCUGAGAUGACGAUUCUGAUUUCCUCAUAUACUUUCUUGAAGAUUUUCCGAACUAGCCACGUUUAGUGAACUUCUAGAAUUUCCUCACGAGCAUUAAAAGUUAGUGUCCAAGUUCUUCAGGGUCACCAAGACUGCAAUCCGAAUCUUCUUCUUCAGAUGAGAAAUUUGCCUUAGCCUUCAGCGCAUGAGGUCUUGAGUAGCUUGGUCCAUACAGAUCUCUCUUUUUCUUCUUGUUGGAAUUCAUGAGUAUUGAGUCUCUCAAGUAUAUCAGUAGGAUCAAGCAUCUUGUAGUCCCUUCGUUCUUGAAUCAUCAGAACCAGUGUGUCAAAUGAUGGAUCAAGAGAUCGUAGGAGUUUCUUCACAACUUCAUGGUUAGUGAUGUCUCUAGCUCCUAGUGCUUGCAGUUCAUUAGAGAUGUGAGUGAGGCAAUCAAAGGUAUCUUGAUAGCUUUCAUUGUCAAGCCUCUUCAAGCGAUUGAAGAGAUUGUGAAGAACAUUGAAACGAGAGUCAUGAUGUGUUGAGACUCCCUCAUUGAGUUUGGACAUCCUGUCCGAGAUAAGCUUAGCAAUACCCAAAGCACUCACUCUGCCAUAAUUACCUUUGCUCAGAUGGCCACAGAUGAUAUUCUUCACUUGUGAGUCAAGUUGCUUGAACUUAUUCACAUCAGCGGCAGAGAUAGUAGCACUGAUGGAGGGAAUGCCAUUUUCCACAAUAUACCAGAGAUCAUUGUCAAUUGCCUGAAGAUGCAUUUGCAUCUUGGUCUUCCAGUAGGGGAAGUCCUUUCCUUCGAAGGUCGGACAUCCUGCAGUAACCAUGAUCAUACCUGCGGUCGACAUAACUAAAACUCGAGGUGGUUAAACCAAAAUCACACAGAACAAUGGAGUACCUUGCUCUGAUCCCAAUUGAAAGUGUGUUAUAUCGACUAGAGGGGGUGAAUAGGAGACUUUUAUAGUUUCAUCACUGAGGGAAUUCCUUGUGAGGAAAGUCCUUAGUCUUGAACUGAGUGGAGCGUAAAUAGUUCAUGAUGAGGUGUACAAAAACGUCUACAACAAAGUACUCGAUGAGAUUUCAGAGAUUCACUUUGCACAGUUCGCAAGUACAGAGUAAGGAGGUGAAGAUUAACUGAAAUGAAGAAUUUGAGGUUGAGGAAAUUCACAGAAAGUCUUCAGACAAAUUCUUCAAAUAGUACAGAUGAAAGUCUUCAACAUACAAUUGAGGAAAUAAAAGAGUUGAAGAAAUAGAACCCGUAGCUCAAUGAAGACACUUGUUGAUGACCCAGUUCCAACUGUUGUGAGAGUUGUACAUCUGGUUUGGAGCGGCUUGGUAUUGAAACCAGAGGACACACAGUCCCUACCAUAUUCUCCCUGAGCUAAGGACACACAAUCCUCGCCCAACAAUCAUGGUAAGUCUUCACAGCACACUUCCAAACCCUCACAAACUCGGUCACCCGACGAUCCAUAACUGACUGCUCGAUGCUCUAGACCAUGACGCCUAACCGUCUGGACCAUACACAGUCCUCAAACGUAACAAGCGUCAGUUCCACAUAGGAACAACUUCUUCAGUGAGGCUCAAUCACUUGGGUUUUUGGUUUGGGUUUGGUGUUUGGGGGUAUUUCCUCACUUGAUGAUUUUCUCUCGAAGACUCUGAGGAAUUUGGGUUCCUCUAAAUGACUAGCAUCAGUUUCUCUCGGAGCAGCCAACCAGUAAGUGGUUGUGGGGGUGGCUAUUUAUAGCCUGGGAGCAUCCCGACAUGAUUUGACAUAAAUGCCCUUAAAUAAUAUGACCGUUGGGUGGAUAAGAUCUAUGAGAUGGUGCGUGGCGCGGCAACGAUCGGAACUAUCAACUGUGAAAGUCCUCAUGUAUCUCAUAUUCCUCACUUCGAGGCUUUGGUAGGUUUAGGCUUGGGUUGAGCAUCAUGAGGAAAAUCAUUCCGUUGUUUUACCUCAACCCCCUUUAACAGUAUGGUGUUCCUAUGACUCAAGUGUAAAGAAAUUGAAACAACAAGAGUAAUCCUUCAAGAUUCAAAGUCUUCAGAGUGUUUUCUUUAGGACACACCGAAUUCCUCAUCUUCAAUAUCUUCAUGAGGAAUAUCAAUUUCUUCGCAAUUUCUUCGCGAUCAAAGUCUUCAAGGAAUGACCAAAGUCUUCACCGAAAGACAUAUAUUUUUAGGGGUCGAUAUUCAUCGAAUAACUCAAACUCCUUAGAGACUUAUAGAGCCUCUGUACACUCACAAAAAUAUUAGUCUCUUAACCUAUAAAUCUUCAAACCACCAAAAUCACUAAGGGGCACUAGAUGCACUUAAAAGGUCUCCUAACCCUAAUCCCUGGCCUAUAAAUUCCCAAAUAUUCCACUAUUAUCGAAGAGAGCCACGAAAAUACUUUUCCGCCGCCGAGAGCCUCUAUUCCCAUGAGAUCCAAUCUGGGAGCCUUUUUCGGUAAUCUGUCAAAGAGGGAAUUGAUCACGGAGGGCAUCUACAUCAACUCCAUUGCCCCACCAAUGAUGCAUGAGUAGUGCACCAGAGACCUACGGGUCCAUAGCUAGUAGCUAGGUGGCUUCUUCUCUCUCUUUGUUCUUCAAUACCAUGUUCUUCAUGAUCUUCAUGGAGAUAUAUCCAAUGUAAUACUCUUUUGCGGUGUGUUUGUCGAGAUCUGAUGAAUUGUGGGUUUAUGUUUAGAUUAUCUAUAAUAUUAUUUGAAUGUUCUCUGAAUUCUUAUAUGAAUGAUUUCAUAUCUUAGCAAGUCUCUUCGAGUUAUUGGUUUGGUUUGGCCAACUAGAUUGGUAAUUCUUGCAAUGGGAGAAGUGCUUAAUUUUGGGUUCAAUCUUGCGGUGUCCUCACCCAGUGACGAACUAGGGGUAGCGAGGCACGUAUUGUAUUGUUGCCAUCGAGGAUAAAAAUAUGGGGUUUUCAUCAUAUUGCUUGAGUUUAUCCAUCUACAUCAUGUCAUCUUACUUAAUGCGUUACUUUGUUCUUCAUGAACUUAAUACUCAAGAUGCAGGCAGGAGUCGGUUGAUGUGUAGAGUAAUAGUAGUAGAUGCGGAAUCAUUUCGGUCUACUUGAUACAGACUUGAUGCCUAUAUGCAUAAUCAUUGCCUUGGAUAUAUUCAUAAUUAUUCGCUUUUCUAUCAAUUGCGCUCGACAGUAAUUUGUUCACCCACAGUAUUAUUUUCCUAUAUGAGAGAAGCCUCUAGUGAAACCUAUGGCCCCCGGGUCUAUUUUCUAUAUUAUACUUUCAGAUCUAUACACCAAAAAUACCAAAAAUAUUUUUCUGCAAUUUAAUUAUUUUUGUUUUAAUUUCAGAUCUAUGGAUCUUUUAUAUCUAUCUCUAUCAGAUCUCAUCCUUGCAAAUAAUUCUGAAGGGAUUGACAACCCCUUUUUAGCUGUGGGUGCAAGUGUUUGAUUAUUUGUGUAGGUACUACGAUUGGGGCCUUCCGUGUUCCUCCUACUGGAUUGAUACCUUGGUUCUCAACAAACCGAGGGAAAUACUUAUCUCCUUUGCUGCAUCACCCUUUCCUCUUCAAGGGAAAACACGCAAGCUUAAGAGGUAGCAAGAAGGAUUUCUGGCGCCGUUGCCGGGGAGGAUACAUAACAAGAUCAAGCCUACCAAGUACCCAUCACAAACUCAUCUCUUGCAUUUACUUUAUUUUCCAUUUGCCUUUCGUUUUCCUCUCCCCCACUUCUAAAACGAUUUUCACAAAAUACCAAAAAGAUUUGCAUUUUUAUUCGCCCUUCUUUCCUUCGUCUUUUUCAUUUUUCGUUUGUUUGUUCCCAUGGCUCAACCCCAAAAUUCUGAUCUGUAUCUUAAGAAGUUGGAAGGUAUUGAGAAUAAUGCUAGGGGAUUCAUGUCGCUCCAAUUCGACCAUAAUAGUUUCUUUAGGAAUGAGCUUAAAGAACAAAGGUUUAUGCUGGAAUACAUGAGUAAAGAUCUUGAUGAUAUGACCAAGGAAUUUUGUGCUUCGAAAUCUCAGUUUCCCACCUUGAAAAUUUAGUAGGCCCAAUUUCUAAUAAAUAAGCCACCUUAGUCAAUAAAAUGGCCGCGAAGCCAGAAUCUUUAAAUGAUGAGGAAGAUCUUAAAGUGAUUGAUGUGACUCCUAUUCAAUCUUUGUUUUCUAGUAUAAAUCUUGAAAAAGAUGGGACUGGAGAUGAGUUAGCUUUAGUUAAAAGGCGUCCCAAUGAUUUGGAGUUUAUAGAUCUUAAUGCUAAGAUUGAUUAAAGUGGGAUUGAAGCAGUCAAAACUUUAAAUAGCAAUGAACCCACUCUUUUGGAUUUAAAGCACUUUAACUAUGAUAGUUGCUCUUUGAUUGAUUGUGUUUCCUUGUUACAAUCCAUAUUGAAUUCUCAACAUGCUUAUAAUCAAAAUAAAACUUUUACUAAACAUAUUGUGGAUGCUAUGAUGAAAUAUUUUGAUAAAAAACUUGAGUGCGAAGUUUUUAUACCUAGAAAUCUUUAUGAUGAGUGGGAACCUACUAUCAAGAUUAACAUUAAAGAUUAUGAGUAUCAUGCUUUGUGUGAUUUUGGUGCUAGAGUUUCCACGAUUCCAAAAACUUUAUGUGAUGUGCUAGGAUUCCAUGAAUUUGAUGAUUGCUCUUUAAAUUUGCAUCUAGCAGAUUCUACAAUUAAGAAACCUACGGGAAGGAUUAAUGAUGUUCUUAUUAUUGCAUAUUGGAAUUAUGUGCCCGUAGAUUUCAUUUUUCUUGAUAUAGAUUGCAAUCAUACAUGUCCUAUUAUUCUUGGUAGACCUUUCCUUAGAACGAUUGGUGCAAUUAUCGAUAUGAAGGAAGGAAAUAUUAGAUUCUAAUUUCCAUUAAGGAAAGGCAUGGAGCAAUUUCCUAUAAAGAAAAUAAAAUUGCCUUAUGAAUUUAUUAUGAGAGAUACUUAUGGAUUGCAUACCAAAGAUGACAAUAACUAGAUCUAUUGCAUUAUGCCUAGCUAGGGGCGUUAAACAAUAGCACUUGUUGGGAGGCAACCCAAUUUUAUUUUUAUGCUUAUGUUUUUCCUUAUGUUUAGCGCUACACACAUUAUUACCUCUGUAAUAAUUGUUUUUUCUUGUUUUAAUUAGUGUUUGACCCAAGUAAGACCUUUGGGAAGGUCUACGGUGUUUGCAAGUUGCUUAUGCUAAAAACAUAAACUUUCGCUCUCAGACCAGGAAUUUUGUAAAUUCGCUGGAAUGUGGUUUUGAUCUUAAUAUUUUUAAACAAGAUUGAUUUACAAAUUUCGCUCAUUGUCCUAAUUUUUCAGAAUUUUGGAGUUACAGAAGUAUUCAAAGUAAACAGAUUGCUACACAUUGUUCUGUUUUUGACAGAUUCUGUAUUCUUUGUGUUAUUUACUUAUUUUAAUGAAUCUAUGGGUUGUAUCUGGGGGGGUAUGAACCAUGGAGAAGUUGUAAUACAGUAAAUAUUACAUCAGUAUAAAGAAAGAAUGAGUUCACAACAGUGCCUAAUGUGGUGAUUUAUUUUUCUUAUACUAACGGAUCUCAUGAGUUUUCUGCUGCGUUUUGUGUUGUGAAGUUUUCAAGUUUUGGGUAAACAUUUGAUGGACUAUGGAAUAAGGAGUGGAAAGAGCCUAAGCUUGGGGAUGACCAAGGCACCCCAAGCCAUAUUCAAGGAUACCAAAGAUCCUAAGCUUAGGGAUGCCCCGGAAGGCAUCCCCUCUUUCAUCUUCAAUUCAUUGGUAAAUUUACUUGAGGCUAUAUUUUUAUUCACCACAUGAUAUGUGUUUUGCUUGGAGCGUCUUGUAUGAUAUGAGUCUUUACUUUUUAGUUUGCCACAAUCAUCCUUGUUGCACACAUCUUUUGAGACAGACACGCUAAAUCAUGAAUUUAUUAGAAUACUCUAUGUGCUUCACUUAUAUCUUUUAGAGCACGGCGUUGUUUUAUUUUAUAGAAAUUAUUAAACUCUCGUACCUCACUUAUAUUAUUUUCAGAGUUCUUUAAACAGCAAGGUAAAUGGUUUAGGUUAUGAAUUUAGUCCUAAUAUAAUGGGCAUCCAAGAGGGAUACAAUAAAAACUUCCAUAUUAAGUGCAUUGAAUAUGAUGAGAAGUUUGAUUCCUUGCAUAUAGUUUUGAGAUAUGAAGAUGGUAAUAUGAGAGUCAUGCUAGUAAGUAAUUGUGAAUUGGAAGAAAUACUUGUGUUAAAGUUUGUGAUUCUCGUAGCAUUCACGUAUGGUGAACCGUUAUGUGAUGAAGUCGGAGCAUGAUUUGUUUAAUGAUUGUCAACCUUUGUGUGGAGGUCGGGAUCACGCAAUGGUUAACUCCUACCAACCCUUCCCCUAGGAGCGUGCGUCUAAUACUUUGCUUCGAUAACUAAUAGGCUUUUGCAAUAAGUAUUUGAGUUCUUUAUGACUAAUCUUGAGUUCAUGGAUUAUACGCACUCUCACCCUUCCACCUUUGCUAGCCUAUAUAGUACCGCGCAACUUUCGUCGGUACAUUAAACCCACCUUCCUCAAAACAACCACCAUAUAAUUUCCUCAAAACAGCCACCAUAUCUACCUAUUAUGGCAUUUUCAUAGCCAUUUUGAGAUAUAUUGCCAUGUAACACCGCCGUCCCGUUGUUUUUAUGACACGCACCAUCACUUCCAUAUUGCUUAUAGAGUCAUAUUUUGUUCUAGAUAUCGAGUUGUAAUCUUUGAGUUGUAAGUAAAUAAAAGUGUGAUGAUUUGCAUUAUUAGAGCAUUGUCCCGUGUGAGAAAAGGAUGAUGGAAGCUAUGAUUCCGUCAUAAGUUGGGAUGAGUCCCCGUACUUUACAAAAAAUAAAAGAGGCCAAAGAUGCCCAUCAAAAAAUGAGAGAAAGAGAGGCGGGACAAUGCUACUAUCUUUUUCCACAACUGUGCUUCAAAGUAGCACCAUGUUCUUCAUAGAGAGUCUCAUAUUUUGUCACUUUCAUAUAAUUAGUGGAAUUUCAUCUUUUGCACAACCAAUUAGUUUUCUUUUUGAGCUUUCAUACACUUAUAGCUCUAGUGCAUUUGUUGCAUGGAAAUCCCUACUCACUCACAUUGAUAUCUAUUGAUGGGCAUCUACAUAGCCCGCUGAUACGCCUAGUUGAUGUGAGACCAUCUUCUCCUCUUUCUUUUUGCAACCUCCACCAUAUUCUAUUUCACCUAUAUUGCUAUAUCCAUCGCUCACGCUCAUGUACUGCGUGAGAGUUGAAAAGGUUUGAGAAAAUAAAAACUGUGAAACAAUUGCUUGAUUUUAUCGGGGUUGUGCAUGAUUUAGAUACUUUGUGUGGGGAAGAUGGAACAUAGCCAUACCAUAUAAUUUUGUAGGGGUAACUUUCUAAGACCAUGUUAUUUCGAAAGGAAGCAAUUGCCUUGUUAGUAUGCUUGAAAUAUUAUUAUUUUCAUGUCAAUAUUAUACUUUUGUUUUGAAUCUUAUGGAUCUGAAUAUUCAUGCCACAAUAAAUAAUAUUACACGGAAAUAUGUUAGGUAGCAUUCCACAUCAAAAAUUCUGUUUUUAUCAUUUACCUACUCGAGGACGAGGAGGAAUUAAGCUUGGGGAUGCUUGAUACGUCUCCAAUGUAUCUAUAAUUUUUGAUUGUUCCAUGAUAAUAUAUUAUCUGUUUUAAAAGUUUUAUAUGCAUUUUUAUGCUUUUUUAUAUUUAUUUUGGGACUAACCUAUUAAUCUAGAGCCUAGUGCUAGUUUUUAUUUUUUUACCAUGUUUUUGAGUAUUGCACAUAAGGAAUAUUAAACGGAGUCAAUCGGAAUAAAAUCUCGGGAGUGAUUUUUCUUGGACCAGAAGAAACCUGCCAGACUUGGAGUAGCGGGCAGAACACCUGCCGGGAGGUGACCAGCCUGCAGGGUGCACCCUAGGGGGGAGGGCCGCGCCCCCAAGCUUGUGGGCCCCCUGCAGGUCUCCUAACCCUAAUCCUUGGCCUAUAAAUUCCCAAAUAUUCCCCCAUUAUCAAAGAGAGCCACAAAAAUACUUUUCUCGCCGCUGAGACCCUCUGUUCCCGUGAGAUCCAGUGUGGGAGCCUUUUCCGGUAUACUGCUGGAGAGGGAAUUGAUCACGGAGGGCAUCUACAUCAACUCCAUUGCUCCUUCGAUGAUGCGUGAGUAGUUCACCACAGACCUACGUGUCCAUAGCUAGUAGCUAGAUGGCUUAUUCUCUCUUUUGUUCUUCAAUACCAUAUUCUUCAUGUUCGUCAUGGAGAUCUAUCCCAUGUAAUACCCUUUUGCGGUGUGUUUGACGAGAUCUGAUGAAUUGUGGGUUUAUGUUCAGAUUACCGAUGAAUAUUAUUUGAAUCUUCUCUGAAUUCUUAUAUGCAUGAUUUCAUAUCAUAACAAAUCUCUUCGAGUUAUUGGUUUGGUUUGGCCAACUAGAUUGGUAAUUUUUGCAAUGGGAGAAGUGGUUAGUUUUUGAUUCAAUCUUGCGUGUCCUCGCCCAGUGACAAAGUAGGGGUAGCGAGGCACGUAUUGUAUUGUUGCCAUUGAGGAUAAAAAGAUGGGGUUUUCAUUAUAUUGCUUGAGUUUAUUCCUCUACGUCAUGUCAUCUUACUUAAUGUUUUACUCUGUUCUUCAUGAACUUAAUACUCUAGAUGCAGGCACGACUCGGUCGAUGUGUGGAGUAAUAGUAGUAGAUACAAAAUCGUUUCGGUCUACUUGACACGGACGUGAUGCCUAUAUGCAUAAUCAUUGUCUUGUAUAUCUUCAUGAUUAUUCACUUUUCUAUCAAUUGCUCGAAAGUAAUUUGUUCAUCCACCGUAUUAUUUUCCUAUAUGAGAGAAGCCACUAGUGAAACCUAUGCCCCCCUGGUCUAUUUUCCAUAUUAUACUUUUAGAUAUAUAUACCAAAAAUAUCUUGCUACAAUUUAUUUACUUUUGUUUUACUUUUAGAUCUAUCAAUCUUUUAUAUCUAUCUCUAUCAGAUCUCAUCCUUGCAAAUAAGAGUGAAGGGAUUGACAAGCCUUUUUUAGCGUUGGGUGCAAGUGUUUGAUUGUUUGUGUAGGUACUACGAUUGGGGCCUUGCUUGUUCGUCCCACCGGAUUGAUACCUUGGUUCUCAACAAACUGAGGGAAAUACUUAUCUACUUCGUUGCAUCACCCUUUCCUCUUCAAGGGAAAACCAACGCAAGCUCAAGAGGUAGCAGUUUGCUACGCAUUUGGGCUAACAUUUCCCCCAAAUUUACAUGGUUCAUUCAUAGCACUAGUAGUUGCAUCGAGUUUAUCCUCUAUUUUAGGAGAAACAAAAUCAAGUGUAUUUUCCAAUAGAACACAACAUUCAAGAGAGUUGGCUGAUUUGUUUGCCAAAUUAAUUAAGAGACAAAUCCUUAUAACGAUGUUGUGCUUCUAGUUUUGGAUUUUCUACCAUGAUCCUUUUGUGCCUCUCUUGUAUACGUCCGUUGUAUGCUUCUCUAGUUCAUCUCUUUAAGACAUAAUGUGUUAGAAAUGUCUUUAUAUUCAUAAAAUUAAGGACCUUUAGACCAUCGUCCAUACAAUACUCGUGCCCUAUUGAACAUUCCACAACUAUCAAUAUUCCCUUUCAUUCCAAUGUCCCCACUGGAACACACAAAUCUGCGUGAAGUGGCCUUUCCACCAAACUUGCUUACAUUGGUGCACCUUUUCCUCACAUAUGUGACCCCCAUGAAAGCCUAUGUGACCCCACAUUUUYACCUACCAAAACACCCAAGCCUCAUCUGAAUCUCUAAAUCUCAUACGAACUUCAUGUAUCAUGUCGGUUUCUACCAUUACACAACACUUCCACAAUUGUGUAACACCAAAAUUCUGCCAAAAUUCUUAAAACAUGUAUAAUUUAGUUUCGUUUUAAACCAAAAAUACAAAAAAUGAAUCAUUGGCUCUCUAAGCCGAAAGAGAGAUUGUAUAUUUCAACCUCAAACUCUCCACUAGUUUAAUUUGGAACCAUGAACUUCAAACCCAGUGAGGACACAACCUCGAACUAACUAUACUAGUUACUUUGCACCCCCACACCAUUGUGAAGUGGUUUUGACCCCGUUAACCUUCUAGCCAGCCAGCCACGUCAGCGCAAAUUUCAUUUUCGACCAUUUUGUAAAAUAAAUCAAAGUUUCCUCGUUUUUUUAAUUAUAUGAAAUCAAGCAAACAAUACAUAUCAUUCUUUUUAUUAUUGUUUUAUUAAUUUUCGAGAAUGUUUUCUUUUAUUUUUGAAAGCUUUCAUUUUUUGAUAAAAUUUGGGCAAAAAAUGAAAUUGACAAAUUUUGUUUAUUUCAAGCAAAAAAAUCUGAACAUUCCAAGAAUCUAAGUAUUGUUUACUAGAAUUUAGAGGAUGUUUUCAUUUGUUUCUGGAAACUAUGAUUUCUUGCCAUUGUUUGGUAAAAGGGCAGAAAAUAAAUUUUACACCAACGUACUUUGCAAAGUGGAUGGUCAACGGGGUCAAAACCGGUCAAUUGGGUCAAAACCACCUCAUAAUAGUCUGGGCGUGGGGAUGACCCAACAUUGGUAAUUCGAGAUGUGUUGUAACCGAUUUUGAAGUUUAGAGUUGCAAACUAGACUAGAGCAUGAGUUUGAGGUUGAAAUACCCGCUUCUCCCAAAUUGAAAUGCAUGUUGUCAUUAGUGCAUAUACAUGAUUGGGCUUCAUGUGCACAUUACUUAGUAAACUGAAACUAUCCAUCGUGGCAUGGCCAACAUAAAAUUUUUGCACCGAAUAAGAAAAUGUGUAGGUUUCUUGCCCUCGAUGAUUUGUUAAUUGUUACCAAAUCAAAUAAUGUUGCAGAGAGGGGAUGUUGAAUACUUGUGACUAAUCAUAUAACAUUGAAGAGAAGUUAUCUUGUAUAUUUUCAUUCUAUAAAAAUACAUGAGCAGCGAUAAGCUACAACUUCAGAUAGGCCAGUCAAGAUGCUACAUACAUGCACUCUUAUUAAGAUCAAAAUAAUCAAUGAAACGACACAUGUAGUGCCUUCGUACAACUGAUUUGGUGUAAAUAAGAACUUUAGUGAAAGUAAAAUUUCAGAAUAUGUUGUAGUAUGAAUAUGAACAACAUGGGACUCACAAUAAAACUGUCCGAGCAAGUUCACAUCGAAUCAUAUGGUGGGGUGGCCGCGGCUCCCCUCCUCUACAACAACCCCGUAACCCCUGUUACUUUCCUCCAUGGCAGCGUAGAUCCUACCCGCGAUGGCGCUAAGCUGUCUUGCUUUCACAGGCGCAACUUCCCCCUUCUCCCUAGACUAUCCCAUGUGUGGCGGCUCACGUUCCUCUCGUGCACAACAGAGACAAUCACCCUCGACCCUCUCGUCCAUGGUGCGGCCAAAAUGCGGGAGAGCACAAGGCCUCCCGUCAAAUCCCUAGCUUUUCCCCGACAUAGCCCUCGUCCGUCCCUUAUAACUCUAUAGUUGGGCUUAGUUUCACUUAGGCCAAUCGCAUCCGUUGGAUCAACAUUGGAUGGCAAAUGAGAAGGGUUGUGUUACAAUGUGACUUGCCAGCGGCAAGCCACGUGAUCUCAGUCUAGGGAACUCACCACUACACGCACACCAACUACUCACCAGAGAGAAUGGAAGCAUGUGACACCUAGGAGAAGGUCGACUACCUUCGAGUUGGUUUCUCUGCAUCUAGGUCCACCCUACUAGAACCACCCACCCACCCCGGUUUUCACCAACUCGAUAUUUGACAGCACAUAUAUCGCUAGUUAGUUUUUUAGGACAUACAAGUAGUUUUAAUAACAGGAUGUACACAUAUGAUGAGAGCUGCUAUUCCCCGCGUGGCUCGGUGGAUAGCGAGAUAUCACAUACCCUCAUCGCCCCACAUGUGCGCUUUGGGCUCGUCCACUUUUAUGUGGAGUGUCUUUGUUCUUUAUUGAUUCUUCAAAAGAUGUAAGAAAGCUUUGUAUUUCAAGAAAGAUUCAUGAAUUUGAAAAAUGUUCCUUGAUUCCCAAAAAAAUGUUCACGAAUUCAAAACUCGUAUCCUCAUUUUCGAAAAUGUGUGAAUUUUACAAAUGUUCAUGAAUUUCAAGAAAACAUUAAAGAUAUUGAAAAACAAAUGUUUUCGGAUUUCAAACAAUGGUCAAUAAUUGAAAAAUGUUCCAAAAUUCAAAAAAAAUGUUCUUCGAUUUUAAAAAAAGUUGCAAAUCUCAAAAAUAUUCUAAAUUUCAAAACAAAUAUUCUUAAAUUUUGAAAAUGUUCUCGAAUGUGAAAAAAUGUAUGAGAUAGUUUUUUUAAAUUAGCUAGUUUGAAAAAUAUUCUCAGAUUUCAAAAAAAGUUUGCUAAUUUGACAAAUGUUUUGGAUUUGAAAAAGGUUUCGAGAUUUCAAUAAAUAUUCAUGAAUUUUAAGAAUGUUCCUACAUUUCAAGGAAAUGUUCACCGAUUUGAAAAUAUGAGGUGCACUUUUAUAUGAGAUUUGAAGAAUGCAAUAAAUAACAAACAAAAAACAAAACAAAACCGAAAAAUAUUGAUGCUUUGUUGGGUGGGAUCUAUUGGCUGAGGUUAGAGAGGGAGGACAUGUCAGUUGCCUAUUGAUGCUUUGUUGUAGAAGGAAUCGUGUCUUAGUUGCUGCUAGGCAUUGGAGGACUUUGCCCGUAGACACUAGCUAGUGGUGGCGAGGAGACAUGGAGUCAGUGGCUAGGGAUCCUUCCCGAGCCGUCCAUGAGGAAUGAGGAGGGAUAGGCUCCUUAGAGCAUCUACUGCCGGAUCUUUAAAAUCCGUCUCAAACGCUUGGAUAGGUUGCUUGAUCAUUGAUCGAUCAUAAAAAUUUAAAACAGUCAGACUCCUCAAACGGGCCUCAAACGUUCGGGUUGACCGAUACUCCUUAUAUCCAUCCAUAAUAUGGGGCGGAUAUGAGGAAGCCCAGACACGCCUGGGCACACCCGCCACAUCGGCCUGACGACGUGGCCCCACAUGGACCCGCUUGGAAACCCGACCGUCCGAUGGGCUUCUCCGUCGUCAGCAUGGUCUGAACUCCGCGUGAUGCUACUCCGGCUCCCCGUCCUUAUCCAUAGCCAGCUAUUUAAGCUGGUCGGCGUCCCCACCCCUAACACAUCCCCCUCGUCCCUUCUUUCACCGCCACCCGAGCCCGUCAGCCAUGCCCCCUCAUCGUCGUCACUACACGAUCCAGCAUCGUCUCUAGAUCCUUGUGCAAGUCUGGAUCCGGAGGGCCAUGGGGCUACCUCUGGAUCCGGAGGAGGAUUUCGAGGAGGACGAUGAGAUGUAGGAGGAAGAGGACGAGGUAGUGAGGGUGGAAGAGGACAAGGAGCNNNNNNNNNNNNNNNNNNNNNNNNNNNNNNNNNNNNNNNNNNNNNNNNNNNNNNNNNNNNNNNNNNNNNNNNNNNNNNNNNNNNNNNNNNNNNNNNNNNNAGGAUACACUCAGCAGCCCGGGCUCUACUGCAGUGAUGAGCAUGUUCAUGUGGCUUUCAUCUGCUGAAGCAUGGAUUGAUGUUGUGCUUUGUUUUCUUUCUACGAUGAGCUGUGCACGAGAGGUUUCAGUUUUCCCUUCCGCCCCCCCCCCCCCCUCCUCCCCCCCGCGCGGUUUGCUGUGGUUAUGUAUUUAUGUCAAUAUACUGUAAGUUGAACUACGUCAAUACUGAAAUAAGGAAUUGCCAUGUAAACUUUAUACAUAGUACACAUAUACUAGUUGCUUCUUUAGGGUGUGUUUGGUUGCUGUCAUGGACUGGAAUGUCACGGGUCGGACCCGUUCCUAGCCCUCGUUCCUGCGUUUGGUUUACCAACCGGAGUAGAACCCACCCAUUCCACUUUAGGGAAUAUUCCCCUCAGAUCCGGAAUGCGCUAGCACCAGCAAAUCCACGGAAUCGCACGGAACGGCUCGUCUCGCGCAGCCCUAUCCUCAUCUCCUCCCCAGCUGCGCCGGCGC